AAAAAAUUACUAGUGUUUAAUUUAGAUUUAUUAUGGUAGAAUGUUUUUUUUUUUUUACUAAAUCCAUAUUUAAUUGGGUUAAAAAAUCCAUAAUAAAAUGGAUCCAGAAUUACUACAAUAAAAUUUUCAUUGCAGUACAGCAAAAUGGUUAAAAGAGGAACAUUCACAAUGCUAUUCACGAACUGAAAAAGGUAAAACAUGCCAACCAUUUCUGGAUUCUGAAUGGUUCGAAAUCAACGUCGUCAAACAUUUCUUCGAUCUCUUCCACCGAGUUCACAAGCAACCCGAACAUGACGACGUCGUGGAUACCAAGUUAGCUCACUGAUUAGCAAUGCCUCCAUAUAAGUUGGUAUCAGAUGAUCAGCUGCAGCACAAUAGACCUUCGCAUUCCAUCAGAAAACCCAAAAAGGCCGUUACAAAAUUGGCUAUUCCCGGAAUGGUCUCGCUUAGAUGGGCAAAGAUGGGGCCAUUCUUGAUUCACAUUUGAGGCUGCAGCUGAGACAAAGCAUCCUUGGGAUUUAUUUGGAAUAGCUUUUCAAGUGCUUUCUGUUAUGGUUAGAACACCAUUUUAAGCACUUGAUGGUCGAUUCCAAAUAGGCCUUGGUUAGAGAGGAUAUUGAUGUCAACAGCAGAUAUCAAAGUUAGAUGAAGCAGUGAGAUAAUGAAACUUGUGAGUUUUGACAAGAAAGUGGGAGGCUUCCUUUGAACAUUAUCAGAUAUUUGACAAGCCGAGAAUCCUCAUCGACAGUUAAUAAACUCGUUUCGAGAACCAAUGACAACCAAAUUCAUGAUUCUGACUUACCUUCUGCAAGCAUAAAGUUGCCUUCUUUCCACUCAUUGAACCCUCUCUCAAACAAAUUCUCUCACCACAUUCACCGAUCACUUCUUUGAGAUGGAACCGAUAACCAUACCAUCAACAUUAGGUCUGGAAGUUCGGUGAAUUGUUGUUAGGUUUUCUCCCGCGGAGUUAGUUGUCAGCGUUUCGUUUGCAUUACUGCAAGCUUCAUUUUCUUUGGUCAUUUCCUCCCUCAUAGCUCCAGAAAUAUCAUUACUUUCUGCACAUGCAUCUGAAUCGUGCAAAUCGGUAUUUGAUCCUUCGCGAUGAAGCUCCUUGACUUUUUGGUCGAGGGCUUUUGUUUUCGACAUCUUGGUUGCAGAAGAUUUAUGAGAUUUCAAAUUCAUAGUAGGAUUCGCACGAGUUGUGCUCUUGGGCAACAAUCUAGCAGGUUGGAGCUUUGAGGGCUUGAUCUUACUUUCGCCUCCAUUAGUGCUGACAUUUCCAGCUCCAAUCUUAGUCAUGCCACCGGGUACAGCCAGAUUAGAUUUCGUGCUAGAUGUUUUACUCUGUGAAAUACAGUCACAAAUUUUGGUUCCCUUGCUUAGGAUGACUUUAAAAAAAUCCCCAACUAAAGAUACCGAAUCAUAUAAAUAUAAAAAAACACAAAACUUACCCCAUCAAAGUAACCGAUUUUAGGCGAUGGCAAUCGAAGGCCCGAAGGCUUCACAGAAGCGGGAGGAAGUAUAGAAGAUUGCGAAGAAGCUUUCUUUACUGAUUGAGACAGCAAACCAGUAGUCUGAGUAUGGGGUCCAACAGGAUGGUUUCUUCCAUCAUGAGAAGCCUCACUGUCUGUAGAGAUUCUUUUGCUUGAAAUUGAGUGAAGGCUGACUCUUGGGCUAGACGAUGACUCCGUUGACCACUCACUAAUAGAGCUAGCAGGUGAUAUUCCUGAAGCAAACUUAGAAGAGAGACGUGAUUUCCCAAAAGGACUUGUGACCUUCGAUGUAACUCGUGAUGGUGUUUUUUGGACACCCGAGGAAGGUAAAGCCUUACACUCUGUUUUCUUCCUCACAUCUUUGGAGGAAGAUUUACCAACCUUGUCAGAUGAACUUGUAGAAACGUCGGAGGAAGUCUUUUGGGCACUUUUAGCUGAAGUUGAAAUUCGAGUAGGCCUAUGUGCAGUAGUUCUAAGACUAACUGAAUCCCGUCUAUCUGCAAUUUGCGUGAAAAAGAACAGAAUGGGUAUAUAUUUGCAACCCGUCUCAAAGAAAAUAUAUAUAUAACAAAAUUAAAGUUCUAAUCACCUGCAGGUCUUGUACCACUUAUAGUACCAUCCUUUGCAGUGGCUGUAGGAUUAUGGCCAAGGGAAGGCUUCUUUGAUGAUAAUGAGCUGGAAGGAAGCCUGCCGACUGCCUUCAAUUGCUUCAAAAAUAAGAACACAUUCUUUUUUCAGACACAUCAAGAAAAUGUGGGACAAAUGAGUAGAAAAUGGUCAACAAGAAAUGAGAUGGCUAUUAGACAGGCAUAUGCUAGUCCAUGGUCACAGAAUUCUAUGUUAUACACUUGCAUUACAUGGGCAUCAGUGGUACAAUAGAACAAACGCAAUGGACUUUGACCGUAAUAUCAUAUAGGAAUAAAAUGCAUCGAGUCAAAAGGUCAGAUAUAAGUUUAUAAUAUUGCUGGUGGUCCGUUGAUGUAGAUGCCAUUGCCCUGGGUUAAUAGCCACAGAAGAUAUUUGAAUUCUACAAAAUCAGAAAAAACACUAAGGCUUAUAUACUACCUGUCCACCGCGUGGUUGAGAAGAAUUCUGCUUAAUAGUUUUUCCAGGUCCUUGCAACGCAUCAGGUAGCUUACUGGAUGCAGACCUAUCCUUCAUCUGAAGUGUUACACAGUAACAUCAUGAGUUCAAAUGUACAAAAAAAGUUAAAAUCUAACUUUAGGAUAUUUUAACUCUUAUGCCAUUUUGGUUUAUAUACUUCCAAAUGUUCUAUUUUGAUCCUUAGACUUGUAUAGAAAUCUUCUUUUGUCCUUAAACACAGAACUUCCCAAUACCCUUAACAAAAACUUCACGACCAUGUUUUGACCACCACCUAUAUAAUAGAGUAUGAAUCUAUGAUAUCAUAUCUAAGGACAAGUGAACAAAAUUUUCAGAUAAAUACUAGACAGAAACUUAAUAACAAGGAUCGAAAAUAACUUUUAUGAAAAAUCAAGCAUCAAAAUAAAACAUUUGAAAAUAUAAAGAACAAAGCAAAAUAGCUACGAAAGUUCUAUUGACCAAAACGAUAUUGACACCUAUGAAACACUAAGAGGAUGCAAAAUUGUUUACUUGCCUUAUUUUGUGAAGUAAGAUCAAGCCUUCCUGCAGCUGAAAAUAAUGCAGUAAUGUUAGAUUGAGUUAUAAUGAGAUAUAAAAAGAUAAUAUAAAAGAUUCAUAAAGUCUAGCCAAACCCACAGGUCUCCUGCAGAGUUAGUGGCAAACUCCUACGAAAUUUGAAACAUACAGAUUUGCUUGGAGAAGAACAAAAUGAUCUCUCUUGCUGUUGCAGAACAGUCAUGGUAGAAAGUACAAAGAAGAUAAUAUUUAUGUUCUAUAAUCUGUACUCUACUGUCCCACAUGAAUCUUUUCAUCUAAAUAUCAAACAAAUAGAAGGUUGCAAUUCUAUAUAGAACGUAAAUAGCUUCAUGUUUUGAAAAGAAAAACUGGUUCUUCAAUGAGAACCAUACCAAAAUUAUAGUACUGUUCCCGUUACGAAGCUGGGCUUUUGUGAACAGGCUUCUUAUUUAUUCAUUUUAUCUAAAUAACAUGAGCAAAACUCAAUUUGUUAUCACUAAACCAAUAUUUUUUAGAAACUAGAAAGUAGCUCACAUGGCGGUUUUUGUGCUUCCUGUCGCCCGGGUUCAACUUUAGUUCUGGAAUUGGCCUUUCCAACUAUUCUACUAGAUUUUUGAAUUGAAGCCCUUACAUCUUCGAAUAGAUUGCCCUCAAUGCUUUCUAGUGGCAUAAUUUCACUUUCCAAUGUAGAUAUUGAAUCUGAAGAUUUCUGAACAUCUUCUGAAAUUAUGGGUAAUACACGUUUUUCAUUUCUGCCUACCGGUGCAAUCAUGCUAGUAAACUCCUCAGGAUCCAAAAACCCUGAAACACAAGACGUUGGAACAGUGGAGGUAUAUAGGACAAAAUUAAAGUAAUAUCACAAACGCAAAUAAAACAAUACCUGCACUGGUGAAGAAAGCGCUAUCCCAUGCUAAACUCUUACGCAAAUUAUAUUUUCCAUUUCUUUUGAUCGCUUCCGGUUCCGAUGAUGGGACUAAUUGAGGUUUAUCCUCUCUCUGUUCGAACCCAUCUGUUCUCUCAUCUAUUCUGCUACAAUCUAUGGCCCCUGAUUGUCUGAUUCUAUCAUGUUCCUCGUCUUCAUUUGUAAUGUCUACACAUAAGCACAUAAAAAAUAAAAAAUAAAAAAUUCCAAUACAAUCAUCAAAACUUCGAGUUUCCCAGAUAUUAAGCAAAUCUGCCAGUUCUUAAAGCCAAGAAAAUCGAUAUAAAACUGCCGCAGAUGAACGACGCGUAACGAAGUAAAAAAGAUUAAUAUCGACCAAAAACAAAAAUUAAAGCAACUUCUGAAAUUUGAGUGGUAAAAGAGAAUAUCGAAAAUCCAAGAAAAACAAAAACCACACAACAGAAAUGCAACUCAAGCAGCUCCAUACAUAGAACAUACGGCAAAAACACAAAUUAUCAACAAAAGUAGGAUUAGCAGCACAAUAAAUAUAACUGUACUGAAAUGAAGAAUUUCCGGAACAGACCUAAAGAACUGACGUCGUGGAGGUCGCAUGAAGGAGAAGGGAGGAGAAAAUCGUCCUCGGAGGCGAAAUCAAUGAGGCUGAGACGGCAAAAACGGCGAUCGGGAUCAGCACCUACGGCGUCCAUGGAUAUCGAUCUGGAAGAAUCGCGAAAGAGAUGAUGAUCUGUCGGAAUCGGAUUGAAGGAUUUCGAAAAUCCAAAGGUGGAGAGAAAGGGACGGGAGGUUUUGGAGAGGGAAAAGGAGGGUUCUAAUAUUUUAAUUUAUUUGUUUGAAAUCGGUGGAAAUGGCGGUUUAAAAUUAGAAACUAAAAAGAUCAUUUACGUCCUUGUAUUUUGAACUUCUUUAUAUUUCAGCCUCUCCACUUUCCAUAAAUCUUAAAUUUUGUCCUCAUAAUAUAAUUUAGUUCUUUAAAAUAAAUUAAUUUUAAAGAUGAAUAAGUGAAACAUUAUUAAAAUUAAGUUAACUAAAAUUGAAUAUAAUGAUCAAUAAGAAUGAAACAUAUUCAAAACAAUAUUAUAACUAAUUAAAAUGUACAUGAUAAAACUAGGAAAGAAAAAUUGCAAGAUAGGCCUUCAGUUAUGAUAUUAUUAGAAUAGCACCCAGCAACAACCUUUUAAUUUGAGAUACAUUGCUCCCUAGACUAUAGAUAUAUAAAAUUAUUGUGAUCUAACCAAUAAAUAUAUUGAUAGACAAAAACCAUAUUUGAGUAUUAUGGUUUGAUAUCAGUUUAUUUGUUUGCAAAGCUUUCACAUGUCAAUAUUUUUUAAAUAAUAAAUCAUUUAAGAAAAUCAAAAUUAUUCAAAGUAAUCUUGAAACACUCUAAAACUUUAAAAUAUUUUUGUAUGAAAAGAGCUUUUAAUUUAAAAAAAAUAUUGAAACCCUUGAAUUGAAUAAAUUACUUAAAACCUAAUAACUAUCGAAAAUCGAAAUAAUAAAAUUUAUAUUCAUUAUAAAGAUAAUUACGAUGGUUAGCAAUCUUAUAUAUAGCAACAAUUUUAAUAAUUAAAUAUAUAACAAUUAUGUAGAUCAAUAUUUGAUAAUAAUAUUGUUAUAAAAUUUAGUAGAAGAAUCCUCAUAACUAAUAAGGGGUUGGUACAUUGUAAAGUACUUAUUAUUUAAGAGGGUAAUUAAAUUUAUAACAAACUCAUAAAUUAGAAUUGAUUAAUCGUAUUAUUGUGAUUAUAACAACUUGUCCUUUUUUCCAAGUAAAAAUUACUUGGUUCUCUAACUUACCAAAAAGAGAGUAUAUGUCAAAUAUCAAUUAUUAUUGAAUAGAGUUCACACAAUUAUAUACAUCUCAAACAGAAUGUGCAUAGGCCAUAGAAUGACGGGUACUCAAGAAGUAGUCAAAAUCACCAUACUAGUAUAAACAUCAUAACUUAUUGAUCCAAACUAAUAUCUAUCUCAUUUUUCGUUUGAAUUGAAAAUUGUCGCGUUUUUCCUUUGGAAUGUACACAUUUUUAACUAAGUUAGUCAAAUUGUAAGAACAUGCUAAUAUAAAUAGGUUUCAUCAAAAGCGUUUAAAUAAAAAAUGAUUUUUAAAAGAACAUUUUUUCGUCAAAUCAAACCUAAACCUUGGCAUCAGCCUAAAUGAAAUUAUAACUUCUUCGAAGAGUACUUCUAGCCUGGGAAUGAAACUGCUGCUAUGAAAGAACUCAUUCAAAGACAUGGUUGUUGAUAUAUCUUAAUAAACAAGAGAGUUUUCAGAUCAAAAUGGAAGGAACUCAGUCAAGCGAUUUCAAAAAUAAGACAGCGAGGAGAGAGGCAGUAACUACAUAAUAGUCCAAAACAACCCAAUAAUCAAGAACUCAAAAAUACUCUAAAAUUAUCGAUGGAAAACUGUAAGAAGAUGAUAAACUCUGCCAAGCAAACUUAAGACCUUGGCUUCUCCUUCUUCUCCUUGAAAAGAGCGAGGAGAGACACACCAGAGACCUUCACAACCUUGAAUCGAACACCGGGAAUAUCUCCGACAGCAUGUCCUUUACGACCGAAUCCGGCAAUCAACACUUCGUCCUGCAAUCAAAGUUUUUGUAUUAGUUUCAAACUCCCUCGUAUUAUUUUGCAGAAGAGGAAAGGGGGGUGGUAGCAACUUACAUUUUCUUCAAUGUAAUUCAAGCAACCAUCAUUGGGAACGAAUGCGGCAAUCUUCUUUCCAUUUUUGAUGAGUUGAACCCUGGCACACUUUCUAAUGGCAGAAUUUGGCUGCUUAGCCUCAAUACCUCUGAAAUCAGAUUAGCAUUUGCUCAUUUAGAUACAAAACAUUCAAACAUGGAAAAGAAAAAAUCAUAAUGCAGUUUAGAACUCAAUAAAAUCUGAAGUUACUAACAAAAUUAAAUCAAGUUGGGUGACAAUUACUUGUAAUGUUGGGUGAAGCCAUGUUUGAGAGUGAUACUAAAACAGCUAAAAUAAUUCUAAAACAUAUUUAUAAUCAAUACAAAUCAAUUUUGAUGAUUUGAGAGUCUAAUAUUAAACAAUAAAUUGAUUUCACGUGAUUUCCACACAUUUAAGAGUGAUUUUGAACAUGAAAAAAGUGAUUCCUAACCAUUUCAAAAUAACUCCUAAAACACAAGUUACCAACACUAAAAUAAAUCAGGUGACUCACAUAUAUGGUUGGAUUUAAUUUAUUAUGACAAAAUUACACAUUCUAAUGUAUGCUUGCACAUCCCAAUUGAAAAAAAUAAUCCGAAAAUAACAAAAGCUAAGCUUCAAAUCUGAAGGAGAAAACAGUAUGCUUGCAAUCUUACAUCUUUUCCAAGACGAUGCCUUUGGCAUGAGAAGAACCGGCAAAUGGCUUCUUCCAUUCAUUGCCAAGGUGAGAUUUCUUGUAAGCUUUGUCAGCCCACCUUUGCCUUCUACGGUGGGACUUCAGCUUACGCCCAGCUCCCAUACCUCUUGUUUUCCUGUUGGAUUAAGUAAUAACAACAACCAUUAAUCAAUCAAAAGCAAUAAAAAAACAACAGAUAAAAAAACCGCAAUCCAACCUUCAUCUAGAAAUCUCACUCACCAUUACAGAGUUCUAAAACCAUCCAAAAACUAGUACAUUAGAAAAAUCUAGUGGUAAUUGCAAACCAGAUGAAUACUUAUGACAGUUAAACUAAAAUGAGGAAAAAAAUUCUAAGAAUCAUUCACUCCUUCCGCCAUUUACAUAGAAGUUAGGUUAAAAAUCUCACCCCAUGUUUGCAGAGAGAAAGGUUUCGGCGAAGGCUUCGAAAGUUGAGGAAAGAGCUGCCCAAAACCCUAGUCUUCAAGAAAGGACCGUCGACAACUAAAACUCGAUAAUAUAUGGGGGAAUUUGGGGUGUUUGAUUUCGGCCCAUUCAAGAUUUUGGGCCGGAAAUAAAAUUCGGAAUUUGGGUCUUAUGUAUUUUCUUUUCUUUUCUUUUUUUUUGGAAAAUUGUCACUAUGUACUUUCGAAAUAUAGCCUGCUAUUUUUGUAAAAUGGUAAUAGUUACACAUACACUCCUCUGCCUAAAAGCAAAUAAUCUAAAGAAAUAUUUUCUAGAUCAAAUAACACUAAAGUCAUAUUAGCAGGGAUGAUUGUACUUCCGUCUCGAAGACGAUAACAAAAACACUUAAUAUAAACAAAGUUCGCAAUACAAAAAAUAUCUUCACUAAGCCGAUAUAAUAUGAACCAUCUUGUAUUCUUGCCUUGUCUGUAAUUGAAAUUUUUUUUAUUCGGACGAAUCAAAAGAUUUAAUUUGAUUUUUUUUAUAAAAUUAAUAUCUCAUCAUCUCUUUAUCAAGAGCCAGCUAAAUUUGAACUAAGGUGGAGAAAUUCUUUAAAAUACCUAUCCUUCUAAAAAUGUGUAUGUAUGUACAAAAUGCACCACCACGUAGGCAGGCAAUCUAUGAGUGGCAGUGAGACAAAAAAAAGUUUGUAUUGUCCAUCAGAUCCUUGGAGUAGCCCUAUUAUGGCUUUCCUCUUAUAUCCUUCAUAUCAUAAGUACUCCUCGCCUUCCUAUAUCUUUUUCUUCUCGUUUCACUAAUAGAAAAUCACUGACUUCUUAUAUCCUCUUAUUCCUUCAAAACCGUUGCCUUUUUAUUCCCUUAAAUGAAAACCGUCCGUGGGGUACUAAAUACUAAAUAGUGGGUUUGAAAGAGAGCGUAGGAAAAAGUUAAAGCUAGAAAACCUCCUCCUUCUACGUCCUUCAAUGAAGUUCCUAUCAACUAUCAAGUCAGAAAGAGAGAGAGCCUAGGAGUUGAAACAAACCCUUUUUUUAGAUUUUAUAAUCGAUGCUUAUAUUGAAUUUAAUUAUAAUUACAACAAUAAACAUAAUUUUAAUUGGCAUUAUUAUAAAGUAUAAUUUAAUUUAAAAUCAUUUUUCUUUCUCAUCAUAGCUAGUGAGAAAAAGAUUUAUCCAUUAGCACAAAUUUAUCUUUUCCAUGAGCACUGCAAAAGAUAGAGAGGGAAAGACGUUGAAAAGUAGAGUUAUACAUUGCCCAUUUCUAGCCACGGCAUAAAAUACAUAUUACACAAGUCUUCAAACAUAAAACAAGCCAAAUGGCAAUGGGAAAGUAAAAGCCAGAAAAGAAGAGACCAAUAAAACAUCCUACUAACAGACAUUCAUACAAUAUUCUUCAGUAGUUUAUUCUGAACCCAGUUUACUUCUGGUUUUUCUUCCACAAAACUCCAAUCUUCUUCAACAUAUUUCCAUUCUUCUUCUUCGGUGACUCAUCAUCGAGAUCUUCCGAGUACGGUGAGCCGAGAGGAUAAUUGUUAUCCAAAGAUACUAUUCUAUCAACAAUCUUCCCAUUGUUUCCAGUUGAGAGUAUUGCAGCGGCUGCCUCAGCUGCUUUCCUCCACUGGUCUGCUUGCACUUUUAACCUCCUCAACUCAGCCUCCAUUUCAGAGUUAGCAGCCUGUGCAGCAUCUAACUGCUCGGCGACUCGUGCCACUCUUCUGUUACUGUUAUCUGCCUCUUCUGUUGCAUGCUUGAGUUUCAUUAGUGCUUCUUGCUCUGCAGCCUUGGUUGUUUCUGCCAAAGUAACUGCUUCUUCGUUGAUCUUAUUUGUUUCUACUUUUAUCUUCUCAAUUUCCAUCUUAAGUGCAUCAUUUUCUUGUGUUGUACUCUGCAAUUCUGUCUCCUUUUCCAACAGCCUGGUCUUCAACUCUGCCGUAUCAGCCUCAAAUUUCUUCAACUCCACUGCUAGUUCAGACUUCCUUUCCAUAUCUAUAAUCUCGAUCUUCUUCUUAAGUGCUUCAUUUUCCACCAUUGUACUAUGCAACUCUGUCUCCUUUUCCAACAGCCUGUUCUUCAACUCCCCCAUAUCAGCCUCUAACUUCUUUAGCUCCAUUGCUAGUUCAGACCCCCGGUCGACUGGAAUGAUUUGGCUCAUCUUUGAGUUGAGCUCUUUGUUUUCCUCCACAACACUACACAAUUGAGUUUCUUUCUCCUUAAUGUCUACUUUCAAAUGUUCUAAAUCUGCUCUGGCCUCCUUAAGUUCUGCUUUCAAUUCUGCCUCUUUCUGACGUGACUCAACUUUCAUUUGUUCCACGAGUUCGUGAGCAAUUCUAAUUUGCAAUGCUGAUCGAACAUAUUCCUCCUCGUGCCUAGUCUCAGCUGCAGCUAAUGCAGAUUUUGAUCUAUCUGCUUCUAGUCUCAUAGAAGUGAGCUCAGUUUUUAUCACGUCGAUUUCAUCCUUCCCAUUGUUUUCCUCGGGACCCAAAUCAUUGCUUGUAGAAUCUACUAGCCCUUUCUGAUUCUCACUGAUCUGUCCCUCCAGUGAUUCAAUCCGAGCCUUUGAUUGCUCCAACUCUAAGGACAAAGAGUUGUAAGCCUCAACGGCUUUGAUCGCAUCUGAUUGGAGCUUUUCCACAGCUGCCUUGGCUGUUUCAAAUUGAUUUUUGCUUUUCCUUGCAACUUCAAGGGCUUGAGUUUCGGAUUCUCUACAGUAACUAAGCUCAUCUUUCAGUUUUUCAACUAGGGAGAGAGUCUCCGAGAGUUGUGUUCUUAAAUCAUCCAUCUCGGUUUGUGAAGACUCAGCAAGCUUGCUUCGGUUUAACUCAGAAUCAGACACCAUCUCCAACUGGACCUUGAGCCUCUGAACUUCGUUAAUGGCAGAGGCCAAUGCAGCAGCAUCCAUCGAAUGUUGCUUUUGAACAGCCUCAAGCUCAGACUGCCACGCUCGAUCACGAUCCUGAGAAAUUUUGUGCAGUUCUUGAACACGAUCUUCCUCCGAAGCAGAGAGCUCAAGCACCUGCUGUUGGGAUUGUUCAAGCUUUGCAGACAUAUCUGAAAGUUGUUUCUUUGCUUCUUCUGCCUCCUGUUGGGCUUGUUUUUUAUGUGAUUCAGAUGCACUCAAUCGGUCACUUGUUUUCUUGAGUUCCUCCUGAAGUUGAGAAAGCUGUAAUCCCAAUUCGGCCACUUUGCUAUGCCCUUUACUCUGAAAUGAGAAAAAGAAAUUCCUAAUAUUAACAAAUCAAAGUGGUAUCAUAUAAUGUAGGUAGAAUAUAGAAUCGAUGUACUUGGUCAUAAAAUGUAAACCAGGUACCUCAGUGGCUAAACAUCGUGGUGAUUUCCGGUCAGUCACCACCCUAGGACUUCUCUCUUUAGGUGUCUUACUAGCAGCAAGUGGAGAAGUGGAAACGGAAUCAGGAUCUGUGCUCGGAGUUUUAAGUUGACGAGCGGUCCGAGGUGUUCUUGGGGAUUUUCUUUGAGGUACUUCUGAGGAGCCAGUUCUGCAAUUCAAUUCAAACAACUUUUAAGAUCUGGCCAUAAUAUAUAGCUUUAUCUACUUAGCUACAACACUAGGUGCCAAUGAACUAAAAGAAAUCUUUCAUCCUGAGAAAGGAUAACGUAAAAACACACAUACCGAUGGAGGAUAAGACACGGUAGAUAGACAAACAGUAUACUUUACCAUCUGCAUAUACUGUGUUUAGCAUAGCUUGACUUGUAAUUAAGAACAUGGCAAUCUCAAUCAAUCAUCACAAUUAAGUUGGAUUGCAUUCUCCGUUUGAUGUAAAUGCUACCAUGCUUCAUUAUUAAAUAGAUAAGCAAGAUCAUUCACAUGCCAAAUGUUCACCAAUCUUUCUCUCCUCACUAUCAUCCAUAAAACUACUUUGUCAACUACAUUCCAUUUGCAUCCAGUUCUGAAAUAAUACAUAAAUUCCCAAACUCAAUCAUAUACUUCACGCACUUCCAAGAUACAAAAUUAAUGUACCACUACGUGCAAUGAGUUAUCUUUAUCUUCUUCUUUCCCCCUCCCCCUUUAUUCAAUCACCAACUUGAAAAUUCAUAACUGAGAAUUGUCGUUCAACCCAACAAAUACACCAGACAGUACAUUGACAAUUUGGCAUAGCUUACAUGUAGAGGGCCAAGAUGCUAAAAUAUCAUAUGUCACACCUCCUAGAAAAUUUAAAUCGCGCAUGAUUGCAUCUUUGGACUAUAUUAGUUCUUUAAGAAAAACAUAAACAGUUCAGAUAACAGUUAAAAACAAUCAGAAAUCAAGAAUAAGAAGCGGAAAGCCAAAAGAUAAGCAACAAAAGAAAACCCGUCGGAUUAAGCGGCCAGAGGAGGCAAACAGCUAAGCAAUUCAAAAACUAAACGUUAAUCUUACUUUGCUUUCGGUGUCUGCAUGCUUGUGUGUUUCCUUUACAAAAAUAAUCAAGCAGGUAAAAUAAUUGAGUUCUAGAGUCCUCUGACCCACUGUACCUGAAAGAGCCGAGAGAAUCUUGACUGAGAAAUAAACAGAAAAGGGAAGCCAAUAUAUGUUUGUACAAAAAAUUAUUUACAAAGGAUGGAAACCUUACUACCAUAGAUCAACAUCAGUACCAAACUUAACAAAAAAGACAACACACAAUACAAUCCCUUCAAAGAAACUCCAAAAAACUAACCCCACUACAACCAACAAAAGCCAAAUCAUACCAUAAUUUUAACUUAACCCUUUUCAAAGAAUAAAAAAACUGUAAGAAAGAGAGGUCUAUAUUUAUCAUUAUGCAAAAAACAUACUUCAGACUUUUACCAUUUCCUUUUUUCCCUUUUGCCCCUCCUUUUUGCUCUACAGUGAGCUCUGUUUUGAAACGCACUACACUACCCUAGCCCAAGAUGGGCCCCUGAAAUUCAUUCAAAAGAAUCGUUUAAGGUGUAUUUGGUACAGUUUUUUCAGAGGGAAAUUUUCAGUCAUUUGAACAUGUAAAUUCCAGAUCCACUCAAAAAAUGGAAAAAGGAAAACACAUAUGCUCACUUUAGGAAACUUAUUUGAUUUUGAGAAAAGCAGUAUUUCUCUCUCUUAAAGUUGCUUCCAUCCAAUAAACGCUAUUUUGCAUCAAGUUAAGCUAAACAUAAAGCAAUAUACUCAAUGAUGGAUCCUAAAAAGCUCUAACAGGUAGAUUAAAGAAACAAACACGUCCGAGGAAGAAGCAAAACAAACAUAAAUGGAGAAUGGUGAACAAUGGCUUUCAGAGUCGGUCUAGUUGGGUAAAUAAACUGAACUCACGGAUCUGAGUAUAUAAAGUAAUCAACAUACAAACAAAUAGUAAGCAGAAACACAACACCAAAUUCACUUCAACUUCCACUUCCACUUCCACUUUCAGGAAGAAAUAGUAAGCAGAAAUAAAGAAAACCCCAACAGUUUGGCAUCGGCAAAAAACCAAAACCAUUCGGAAAACGCAAACGAUUAUUUUAAAAAACACAUAACAUUACGAAAUAGUUAAGUUAAACAGAUCCUUUUCAGCAAGCAGAGAAAGACCCACAUCAAAAAAGGAAGCAAGUGAGUAAAAGAAAAUGGGAAAACGAACGCUGAACUCAAACAAACAGCAUUUGACGAAGCAGAAUGAGGAAGUGAAAACAGAGUGUUGUAGUUACUUGAAAAUGGAAAUCCUUUGCUGCGGCUGGCGAUGAUGGUUUUGUGAGCCUGAAUAGGUUGAAAGGUGAGAAACCCUAGUUUUAUGGAAAUGGUGAAAAAGGAUGGAUGGAUGGAUGGAGGUAAUAGUAGUGAGUUGGUGUUGAUGUUGUUCUUGAGCUGGGUUUAGAGCUCAGUUCCCGAGUUUUGUUUUUCUCUUUCUAUUACUUCAAAAGUCUGUUAUGUAAUGUCAGUGGGAGUGAGUAAGUGAAGAAGAAAAAGCAAAGCAAUAUGACUAUGAGUAGUACGAUGCAUUUCUUUAUUCACUCUCUAUUUUUCUUUUUCUUUCUUUUCUUUCUUUUUCCACGCUCUUCCUUCACGCGCUUCUUCACCCUCCAAUCACUUCUUUUCUCCCUCCACGCGCUUCUUCACCUCCCUUCAUGAGUGGCUUUAUGAGUUUACAUUUAUAAAUUUUUUUACAUCUUUCGUUACUUACACAAUAUAAUAUUUUAUAAAUAAUCUCAAUUCUUUUUAUAUCCAUCAGAAUUUCUCUCUUUUUAAAAAAUAAGAAAAUCAUUCUUUUAAACGUUAAAACAAAAAUAAAUAAUCAUUAAUUUAAACUUUCAAACCUUUACUUAGUUGUUUUUUUUAUUUGGCAGUCAUAAAUUAAAAAUAAAAACUUAAAUAGAAAACGUACUAGAUUUUACUAUAUUUUAUAAAUAGUUUUAAAAAAUCUAUUUUUUUACUAAAUUAAUAUAAAUUUAAAUUCUAUAAACUCUUAAUAUAGUAAUAAUUAUAUCCUACUGUAAAUUUAAUAUUUUAUAGACAUCUGUGUACUUGAAAGUUGUUUAAUUUCAAUUUUGUUUAGUUUUAAACGCUUCAAUUUUAGUUUAUAUAUUGAGUUUUAUUGUUCAUUUUUAACUUUUAUGAGCAUUUUAAUAUUUAUUUAUAUUAAAUUGUUGUUAUUAUAAAGUUAAUUUUAUGUGAUUAAAUUUACUAUUAAAUUAAAAUUAAAUACUUAAAAAUACGUGUAUUCAACUCAAUAAACUUAAAAUUUAAGAACUAAAACAACUUAAACUUACAACUAUCAAAAAUAUUUACAAAUAUUUAAUUUUAGCAUUCUAUUAAUAUUAACUUUAAAAUAAAUAAUCCAUAAAAUUCAAUACACGUGUAAGUUAUUCUUAAGAAAUGUGUUAAUAUAAAUUAGAGAAAUUUGCAUAACUAGACAAAUGGUGGCAAUUUUUAUUUAUCUACCAUACUUUGUUUUUAUUUAGGAUAAAUUUUUUAAAUUAUUAAAAAUAUUUACAAAUACAAUACUACGGGGUUGUAUAUUGUCUAUACUAAUGCUAGAUAAUGAUAAACACCGAUAGCCAUCUAUCAUAUGUUAACUUUAUUUACUUAUUUACAUGUAACUAUGUGCAUAGUAUUAGUCUUUUGUCGGUAUAUCAACAUUUUCAUCAUUAUUCCAAAACUAAUUAUGUUGGUUCAAUAUCGAUGUGAUAUUUUAUGAAUUAAAGUUUAAAUAAUAGUUGGUCUAUACUGAUUCGCUCAUACUUUUCUUUUUUCUAGGGGUACAAAUUAAUGUUUGUCAUAAAAAUGUCAAAUUACAAGUUUAAUCUUCAAUUUAUUGUUUAAUAAAUCACUAAACAUUUAAUUUGGAAUCAAAUAACUAAAACACAAUAGAUAGGCUGUCAUUUUCAAGGAUGUGGUGCUCUAAUCGACAAAAUAAACUUCGACCUUUGUAGAGACUUGCGUGCAUGUUUAGGGUGAAACGAGUCAAUAAUUUAAUUGAUGUAUAUUUAAAAAAUAUAACGAUUUAUUAGAUUUUACAUGUAUGUAAUACUUGAUGCCUUCUCUUAAUAAUCAUUAGAUGCAAAUUUAGUCAUCAUUUCAAUGUUUGUUUUUAAAACUGUAUUGGUUCAUUUCGGGUUUUGUACAAUAUUUUCACAUAUCUUUUUAUUAAUUCAUAUCGAACUCUCACCUUUUUUUUUUUUAAUUUGCUUCGUCUAAACCCCUGUUUAAAAUAUAGAAAACACUCAUAAAAGGUAGAUAACAAAAAUAACUUUGGAUCAUUUUUAAAAAUAGCAAAAUAAGUUAAAGUACCUAUAAAUAUUAAACAUCAAAUAGUUUUCUUUAUAGAUAUUAUAUAAAGAUUAUAAAGUUGAGGAUCCCUCGUCGUAUACUAAAUCCGUUGGUGGAUAUACUUCAAUCAUCAGUGUCUAUUAUUAAUAAAAUUUGAAAAUUUUGCUAUAUGUUAGUAAAAUGCAAACACAUAUAGAAAACAAGUAUAGAAGAAAAGCAUCAUAUACGAAUUUUGACAUUGAUACUUACAAAACAAACAAUAAAAUUUUUAAAAAUUGGUGGGCCAAUAAAAUUCACAUGUUUGGGGUUUAUUUUAAAAAUAGACUUUUUGGCUUCCCUUUUCUUAUAGUUACACAUUUGCCCUACUCCUUCCUAUAACGUGACAUUAAAAAGUGUCCCCUUGUAAGUUUAUUAAUUGAUUAAAAACAUUAGUGAAACAAAAAUUAAAAAAUCCGUUAUUUUCCUUUUUAUAUUUGUUUUUAGCUUUUUACUAUCAAACAGGUAAUGACAACCGAUAUGUAGUUUAGUUUAGUAGAUAAAAGAAGCUCACACACGGUUUAAAUUCACAAAAAAUUAAAAAUAUUUAUUCUCUCGUUAUUCAUACUAAAUCACAUUUUUUAUUUGUGUUUACGUUAUUCGUGUCAAUUUUUUUAAUUAUUAUUUUCUAGCAUAAUUAUCAACUCAAUUCAAUUUUCUAAUUUUUUUAUAUUUAUUUUAAAACGUUAGGUUGCAUCUUAAAAAAAACUAGAUUUUGCAUUUUUAAAAGGUUAUUUUCUUUAAAGGAGAAUUAUUCGUGAAUAGUUCAAACAAAUUAUUUAUAAAAUAUAGCAAAAUUCAUCUAACUCUUUAGUACAUUUAAAAUUUUUGCUAUAUUUUGUAAAUAGUUUUUACAUUUUGCUAUCACUAGUAUUUGGUUUUGUAUAAACUAUAAAAUAAGAGAGUGAAGCAUUGAUGUUGGCCAGGAUGACCCAAAUGUAACAUUCCUAUGAGGGGGGAUGAUACCAUAAUUGAAGCAUAAAUCUAAAACCCCUUGUGUGCUUUCUAUCAUUAUUGCAUCACCAUCCAACCUUGAACUUGAUUCUAAGGCAAGCAACCACCAAUAUAUUCAAAUCAUUUCCCCUUCUUUUCCUUCAAAUUCUUUUAAAUUUUCCUCAUUCAAUAAUCAACUCAAAAAGAAAUAAAACCAUUUACAAAAUACACCAAAUAACUUAAUAAGAUAAUUAUAUAUUUUUAUAAAUAAUUAAAAAAAUAAGAUAGAAGGAAAAAUACGGUAAAAAAUAGGAUAGCACAUUCAAGACUUUGUUUAUCAACUCAGCUAAGUCAUUGACCUUCUAGUUGUGGAACGAACCACAAUUUUAUUAUUUUAUUUUUGUCAAUAUUUUUCCUCCUACCAUGUUUUUUAUAUUAUUAAAAUAAAGUUGAAGUUAGUAAGAAUUUGAUAAAUUUUGUUAUAUUCUAUAAAUAAAGUAAUUUUCAAAUAUAGUUAAACAAAUCAAAAUAUAAUAAAAAAGUUAGAUUAUACCAUAAUUAAUGGAUAAUUUUUCAAACAAAAUACGGUUAAAAUAGUUUUUUUAUUUUUAGAAUAAAUUAUAUAUAUAAAAACCUUUAAAAAAAUAACAAAAAAAUUAUAAUUAUAGAACUCAGGUUGAUGUCACCAUAUUUUCUAAAUUGCCGUUGAUAUCACUAAUUUUAUCAUAUUCAUAGCAUAAAAAAUAAAAACGUAUUACAACAGGUUCGUUAAAAAAUAUUUUUUUUAUUCGAUACAAUUUUUCAUAUAUAUAUAAUUAGUGAAGUGGUAUUGGAAAUAGAAAAUGUGUUUAUUACAGGGAUGAGGAGUCACAUGGGGCAUUAAAAGUUGGGCACAUGGGAGUUGGUGGGCGGCGGUUGUGAGGGAGGAAGGGUGGGAAGCACCGCAAGACGGCGGAGAUUUUGUUGAAGAGAGGAAGAGGGGAAGAGGGGAUAUCAUAUGGUGGUGGGCGGUGGGUGUCAAUUAAUGUUUGUCUCUAUGUGAAACAAACUCCAUCUCCCUUGUCUUUUCUUCCUUCCUCCACAAUGGACCACCACCUCUCUAUUUUCCCUCCACUUUCCUUUUACAAUAAAUCAUUUUAGGAAACACACUUUUCAACCUAAUCAUUUUUUUCCCCUCUUAUUUUUUACUAUUUCCUUUCUUUUUAUUUGAACGAUAAAAUUGUUAAAAAUAUUUACAAACGUGAUAAAAUUUUAGAUCUUCCGAUUGAAUAAAUAAAUUUUGUUAUAUUUCAGUUAACUAAACCAACGUAACAAAUUUCUUUAUUUCUCUCUUUUUUUUUUUUUUGUUAAUUUCAAUAUUUAGUUUGAUUUUUAGAAAUCUGAUAAUUAAUAGAUAACAAGUUUUGGUAAAUACCUGUUUUUGGUCUCUGGAUUUUGAAAAGAAACCAUUUUAGUAUUCAUAUUUAUAACAUUAGACCCAUUUUAUUCUUGAGCUUUUAAAAUGUAGUAUCUAAAAUUUAAAAAAUAUUUAUACAAUCCUAAAUUUAAGUAUUUAAGUAUCUUAUGUUUGAUUUUUUAAAAAUAAUUAUAUGCUAUUUAAACUUUAAAAAUAUCUUAUAAUAAAUAUGAUUUUUAGAUGUUAUUUUUUAAAUUUAAAAUAAAAGAAAAAAAAGUUGUUUAAAAAACCUUUUAAACAUAAUUUAAAAAACUUUUAAGGACUAAAAAGGUUUGAACUAUUGUUGUAAACUUAAAAUUACAUUAGCCUAGUUUAAAAAUUCAGAAAUCGAAUGUACAUGUACAUUAAAACUUAAGGAACGAAAAGAUUAAUGUAAUAUUUUGGAAUAAAAGGUUGAAGAGUUUAUAGCAGAAAAAAGACAAAAUGAAUGGACUGUAGUCUUCAAUGGGACAAACAACUAAACUCCCAUUAAUACGACGAUUAAUUACUAUACCAAAAAUGUAGCAAUACCAAUCCAAUUAAAUUCCAUAAUCCCAUCCCAAUUUCAAUAUGAUAAUUUCAUAAAUAUUCCCAUUUCCACACCACUUCAUACUUUCUUUUGUUUUCACAAUAUUAUAUAAAACUUUCAUCAAACUUAAAAACAAAAAAUCAAUCAUGAACUUUAGAUCAAACAAUUUGUCUAAACUAAAAUGGUAAAAUCUCACCAAAAAAAUCAAAGCUACUUAAUUACUUUUAUACCCUCCCCAAAAUUCCAAACGUUCCAUUCACCAACCCAAUUAAACUCACAAGGAUAUACUCACAGCACAAUUCUAAUUCAAUCAUUCAACCUAAAAAUUCUCAUCUAAUGAGGGUUGACAUAGUGAUUUUAGAAAAAAUAAAAGUUUUAGGUAAUAUUGGUUUCUAAACCAUCAAAGUUAUGUUUAGUAAAUUUUCUAUCGAUCAGGAUUGUUUAUACUAAAAAUGAUUUUGAAACUGUCAAAUUACUAAAAAAGAAGGGUAUUUUGGGUAUUUAAAAAACUAUAUGAAAUAAGGUGGUAAUUUCCAGAAGUGAUGCUUAAGAAAUCGAGUAGUUUCUUAUUUUUCUGAAAUCACUUUAUUUAGGUUGCAAAAUACCAUAUUUUUGUGAAAAAAAAAAUGAUUUUAGCUAUGCCAAAAUCCCUACCAAACCCACCCUAAUUUCAUCCAUAAUCUUUUUAUUUAUACCUUCCAAAGCUAAAGAAGAAGAAGAAGAAAGAAGAGAAGCAUUUUGUAGUCUAAAUCUCACAACUAAGAAAAGGGGUAUAGUCCUAAAAAGGUGGAUUCCACCAAGAAACGCCACGGCGGUACGGUAAGGCCAUAAGGGUCAGUCAUCGCGUUCCAAUCAAGACGUAAACGGCGUAAAUAAUUCCGGGAAUGUAUCCGAAAAAUGUGAGCACCAAGUCAAUCCAAAAUUCGAUCUGCAAUUUUUAAUACCCAAUAAUAUAACCAAAUAUUGUUGUUAUUAGUAUUUUCAAAAAUAACAAAAAAAUAUUAAAAUUUAAAAUAAAUCUAAGCUUACCAAGGCUAUUUUCAAAAUCUAAGCCAAGUGAUUGAAUUUAAACCAUUUGUCUUUUAAUUUUUGAAUACCAACUCUAUGGAACUUGCAUUUGCAUUUGUCUUGGUAUUUUAUGAGUGUUUUCCUAAAUUACAGUCAGGUUUUAUUUUAAAUUGGGUGAUAUAGUUCAAAUGCAUGCACAGUUAAAAAAAUCAAGAAAAAUGGUUUAUAAACACCACUCUCCUGUGUUGGUUCUAUGUUUUGUUGUAAGUUGACUAGAAGUGUUCUAAAAAUUUUCAAAAUUUAUUUGAUGGUAUAGAUGAAUUUACAAGACAAUCAAAUUUUUUUCUUUUAAAAGAAUUACCAAAAGGAAAAGAAAAAAUCAAAAUCAAAAUGAAAGGCAUAUAUUUGAGUGCUGCAUUUGAUAGUCUACCCUACAAUUUUUUUAUGGUCAGCUUUAUAUUUAUCUUUAUUUAUAGAAAAUUUCAAGAAAUAUAUUUGAGGUCAUGAGGAUAAAGAUUUUAGAACUUAAAAGCAUAAACACUUACAUGGACAAAAUCUGAAGUAUAACGAAGUUAUACCAAAAAAGAGAGAAGAAUAAGCAGUUAAAAAGUAAAAGUGUCGAAUAAUUAAUGAAUAUAAAUCUAAAAAUGUAAUUCAAACUAUAUUAUUUGAUAAUUGAUUAAUUAUUUGAAGUAAGUUUACAAAUUUAUUUUCUUGUUUUUUUCAGUACAAUGACUAUUAUAUUUGAAAAUUUAAACAUCUCCCACUGGGAGUUUUCUUGUUUUUGUUAUUCAUAAAAACUCCUUUUUUUGGGAGUUUUUUCACAAAAUCAUAAUGUUUUACUUUAGAACUUGUUUUAGUUUUCUGGAUUACAAUUUAAAAUUGUUUCAACCAAAGAAAUAUUGAGAUGAACAAUUUUCAAAAACGAAAAAAUAAAAGGAAAUUUAGGGUUUUAACUUUUACAUUUUUCUAAUUUUUAAAAGUUAGAAAAUUAAGCAACAAUUACCAUUUAAUAUUUUAAUAUUCUAAAUUCCGUUAGUUACCAUUUCGUUUUUUUUAGUCGACUUAUUCUCAAAAUAGAUAUCAAAUAAAGAAUUUUGAAGAAACAAAAACAAAAAAAUUCAAUCACAUUUUAUGACCAUUUUAUUUUAUAAAAUUAAAUCUACAUACACUUCUAUAUUCUACAAAUGGUUUAAAAAAUUGAAAACUAAAAACUCAAUAAAAAUCCUAAAAGAAGGAAAUAAACUUAAUUUUUAAUAAUAAUAAUAAUAAAAAAAAAGAUUACAAUCUUAGUUAGGAAAGGGAUAGUACUGAAGAUACAUAAAUUCGAAGGGAAUUGAAGGAAAAAAGGGAAAAGGAAGGGAAGGAAUACCCCAAUGCCAUAGCGGAGAAAAACGCCGACGGGUGGAAUGAAGAUGGCGAGAAGGACUUCGAUGAAUGUGGCUGAACCCAUUCUCUUAGGUAUUCGAUCUACUUGUCCUCCUCCUAGCAUUUCCUCUUUCCUCUUUCCUCACCUCUUCAACUGCCGCCUUUAAAUGAACUUCUAUUUUCUACUACCACUUCCUCAUUUCUCUCUUCUUUCUUUUACUCCUUCCCUUCCAUCUUUUUCUUUUUCCCUUAUUAAAUCUUAAAUUACAAUAAUAGAAAGUUUACUAUGAAAAUAUGUUAUUUUCUCAAUUAAAAUAUAAUACAAAUCACUUCCCAAAAAAAAAACAAAACAAAACAUAAAUUUGUAAUUUUAAGAGUAGGGGAACAAUAUACUUAAUUCCCAAUUCAACUUUCUCAAUUCUUACACCUUACUCUAUUAACUCAUUUAUCUACAGGCUCGAGGGGUUUCCCUACAACCACAUAACAAUUUCGAUAUUCAGAGUAAUUUAAUCCUAGAGAAUUUACACCUGUACGGUGUUAAUAUUAUAGCAAAGAUUGUUGUUCAUGUAAAUCAUUUAAUGGAAUCAAUUAGUAGAUGGCAAACUCGGAAUUCUUGAACUGAGUUUAUCUCCUAGCAAUGUAACUUUCCAGCAAUCCCAUUGGAAAAUAAACACAGAAGACUUCUUUGGCACAACUGGGAAUCAAAACCACCAAACAAAGAAAAUAACCGUGGUUAUUUGUUUUGGUCACGAAAACAAAACAGAUUUAAGAUUCAAAUGGAUGAGUUACCUCGAAACUUAUCAUCUUUCGUCACGAUUCCAAAAGUUUCUGCAGUUUCUCGUAUCAUGACGCCACUUGUUCCAGUAAAAGCAGGUAUUAUACACUCGACAACUGCAGUGACAUCAAAUGAUAACAUAGCUAACAUGAGAGAAAACGCUAUUAUGAAACCUCAUGCUCUUAUUGACUUGAACUAAGAUUUCAACACGACUUCCUUGAAGUAACUUGAGUGGCCUGUGGUCAAAACACUGUAAGGGUGGUGGUUAUGUGGAAGAUAUGGCAGGAAAGAAAAUAAAAAAAUUUGCCAUGCUUUUCACUGGUGUAAAUAUAUGAAGUCUUUUAGGAAAGCUUGACAUAAGGAGAGAAGUUGUUUAGUCUGGAGAGUUGGAAAGAGUUAAUAAGUCAUGGAAUUAAUGGUUUUUAAUUGUAGGCCCUACAAUUGGUUUAAAAGCUCCUUGGGCUAAACAAAUGGUGGAGCUCCUACGCCUUGAGCCAAACAUGCCCUUAGGAUUUCAGCUUAAAUGUUCUUGUUACCAAUUUGACAAAUUUUUUUGUAGGCUCUCCAUAUGACUGGGACCUCAUUUUAAACCAGUUUGAAUCAUUAAAUUUGAUCCAUGAAAUUAGAUAUUUGGAAACUUAAAGUCAACGGGCUGGAUUUUCAUCGGAAUACAUAUAGAACAUGGAGUGGGAAAAACAACCGUCCAUUCUUUCUAUAAAAUUCAUGUUGGCUGGGCCUUGUUUUUUGUGCCUUCUUCCAUCGUGUGAAAUUUGGUUUAUUCAUGGAAAAAAAAGAUUCUAUAAAUAUGAUAAUAAUGCAAAAAAAAAAAAAAAAAAAACUUAUGAGAAAAUAGUGAUUUUACCUCGGAUCAUGGCACCGUGAAGAUCUGCAAUGAGAAGAUUACGAGCUAAAGCAUCUGGCCUGCAAGAUUUGAAACGCCUAUCACCCAAUGAUACAGAAAACAUACCAGUAGUACAGGAAGAAUAUCAAUUUAACAAAAAAAAAGGGCCAAAAUAAGUGGGGAAAAGUAACUUAUAAGAAUUGAGAAUACAGAAGUUGCACAUUAGAGAAAGGGUAGUAAACACUAACCCAACAUUGUGCAACCGUUGUUUCAUGUAGCUCUUCCACAUAUCAUGCAUUGGCAAAAAGAUUUCAAACCUGAAAUUGAAAAGCACAAUAAUUCAUUGUCAACUGUAAAUGAUAGUGCCCCGCCAAAGCAAACACAUUUCAAUGGUUGCCUAUGAAGAACAAACUUAAGAUCUAUAGAGUGCAAUCACAUGUCAUUUUUUUCCAAUAACCUUUUAAAUUCACCUUUCAAUGGAUGAUGAUCAACAACUAGAUCGAGGUACUAAUUCUAAUUUCAGAAGAAACAUACAGUUUCGUUGUCAUUUUCCUAUCCAAUCCCUUUAAUGACCUUGCUCGAUAAUCUUCCGAACUCCCUUUUUGAUGGAUAUCAAUCAACUACUAAGUUCCAAUUCUAAUUUCACGAUAAACUGACACAUUCAUUACCAUUUUCCAAUUCAACCCUACAUGGGAUAAAGUGGGGCGGGGAGCUGGUAAUGUUCUCAAUCAAGGAGAUAAACGGAACUCACUUGCGGCAAUCAGAAGGCAAAUCAAGUGUUCCACACUUUUUAUGCUGCUUCAUGGACAUAUGCCUUUUGGAUCGUUUUGAAUUGCUCCGCAAAGCUCUCAUACGAGAGCCAAUCAUUCCAGCACGUUUUGGAACGAAAUUAUCAAGAAGGAUAUAAGCAUCAACUUUCAAUUCUUUAGACCGCUUAACGUAACCACUGGUUUUUAACUUGUGAUAAAUCCUGUCAAUUACUCUUCCUCUAUUAUUUGAAACCUGCAGAAGAAGUGAGAUUAAAUUAACCAAGUACAUAUUACAUAUAGCUCUUUUUCCUGUUGCUAGGCAUAUGAGACAUCAUACUUAACAUUAUGCCACAAUUGACCCAAAAGCUUAAGCUAGUGGGUAAAAACAAAUUUAAUAUUAAAUCUAACACUCCCCAUCACUUAUGGGCUCAACAUAUGAAAAAAUUGCCCAAAAAUGGAAAUGAAUAUUAAAUGGGGAGAAAACAUCAAUAUUGGAGCUUGAACCCAAGACAUCUUUAAGCAACUUGCUCUGAUACUAUCAGAAUUUUAUAUAAUAUAUUGUAAAUCAAAAUACAUAAUAACCGAUUACAUUGGUGAAUAAAUAUAGACCAAAAUACUAAUAAAGGAAAAAUACAGAUAUCGAAAACAUUAAGACCGAAGCCAACUAAAUGGAGUAUAUUAAAUCACGUUUGACAACAGUGACCUCUUUAUAGAUGUUUUUAAGGUUAUGUUCAUUUCUUCACGUAUUUUUGGGUAUGCUUUUCAUCUUCUUUUAAGACCGAAGUUCAUAACAAAAGCUCCAUUUUUUUCUUUUUUUUUUUUUUUCUGGAAAUUUGAAAACUAAAAUUACUCUUUUUAGUUUUCAAAUUUUGGAUUAGAUAUUGAACUUUCUUUUGAAACCUUGUAGCAAACGAAGAAACACAUGGAUGAAGUAGUGUUUAUAAGCUUGACUUUGAAAAUACAGAAAACCAAAGACUAAAUGGUAAAAGACUCUUUAACGUUUCCUGUGAUGACAACUUACAUCCAUACUUGUAGCCAUCAAUUUAUCAUUCACAGCAGCUGAGAGGGUGAAAUAUAUGGGAUCACUUUCAUUCACAUCUGCAUAUGAAAGAAAUCAACUAAACAUAAGCAAACUAAAAACAUAUUGCCUUCCCCACCAAACGAAAAUAUUAAAAACCAUAUCCACAAUGAGGGGACCUUUGUAUGGGGGUUUCCCUUCAGAGGGCAAAGGAAUUGAAGAAUUAUACUGAUUUCUUGAAACAACUGAAGUGGAAUUGUUCAAAGCCGAUUUUCCCUCGACUUCUUUCUUUGAUUUCUCUGUAGAACUAAUCUUCUGUUGUUGAAGAAGUUCGACUUUAGCGGCAGCACAUCUCCGCUCCAAUGCCUCCAACGCGUGUUUCCUUAGAUCUUGAGAAGCUUUAUUGUCCGCCAUUGAAAUUUGUUGGUUGAUUAAUCCUUCCUGAAACAACAUACAACUUUUUUGUAUAUAGAACUUGAAAAGACAUUCAAAGAAAACAAAGGCACAGGAUUAAGAGCACAUGUAAAAGAAAUGAUGAAAAUUGGAUGUAGUUCCACCAAAAAAUGCUUUGAAUGAUACCUGUGAAGACAGAAAACUCAUGGUCUAUGCAAUUUUUAGCAGAGACCAAAUCGUUAUACAUAUUAUCGAAACCCUAAAUUAAGAAAAUUGACUUACAUAUGCAACAAAUCAAAAGGCAGAAGGUAGCACAAGGCAAUCCAACUUUUCAGAGAGGCUGUUUUUUUUUUAUGCUAUUCGGCUACUGUUAUUAAAAAAAAAAUCAAAACAGACAACUCCAUUAUUCAAAUUUUGGCUCCAUUGUUUCAUCAGACAACUCUAAUUUUCGUUUUUCAAUUGAGAAAAAAGAUAUAGAGGAUGAUCGGAAGCCACAUCUCCAUUCUUAAUUUGUUUAUGGAUGCAAAAGAACAUCGAUGAAUCUGACUUUACCCCCAAAAGAAAAUAAUAAUAAUAGAAAUCAUUCCAAAUUGGUAGUAUUUGGAAGAAUUCUGAACUUAAAAAAUCUGUUCCCAUUUUUUAAAUUUAAGCCUCCCUAAGCCAGUGGUUUCUUUCAUAUUACAACAUCAAUAGUUACUUCUACCAUUCAAGCCAACUCAACAUCAAUAAUUACUUCUAAAUUUUCCAAUUUCAUUAAGACCGAUUGAACAUCGAAUGAAGAAGCAAUUAAUAUAUUCUCAGUAGGUGUUAUAAGUACAAACUAACAAAACUUACCCAAAUGAAACAAAUAAUACAACCUUGGUAUCGGAAAAAGACGAGGCUGCAGCGUGUGUGACAGCCGCUGAGACGGCGGCGGGCAAGAACGGCAAGCGGCGGGAUGGGGUGCAGUGGCUGGUAAUAGGAAGGAGCGGCUGGAACGUGAAAUCGACAGUUGGCGGCGAAGAUGCAGAGGCGAACGUCGGCAGGUGGGUAGUAGGAGGAGGCGGAGGCGGAGAAUGUGAAGACCCAAACGCUCGCCGGCUGGGUAAACGGGAGUUUAGGGUAGAGGGUUUAAGGUAAUUGUGUUAACAUUUUUCUUGUAUUUUGAGUUUUUAAUGCUUUUUAAGAAAAAAAAAAUUAAAUGAUAAAUCUUUCAAAUUCAAAUAUAUAUAUAUAUAUAUAUAUAUAACAAAUUGUAAGACCAAAUUUAAUUUAUAUUUUUUACAAAGAUUAAAUAAAAAAAAUUAAACUGUUUUGUGAAAUAAAGUUUCAAUACAAUAAAUCCAAUAAUUCGUUGUUUGGGUAAAAUGGUUUAAAUAAAUAAAUAAUUAAAACAACCAAAUAACUUUAUUUUAAAAAUUAGAAAACAAAUAUUUUAAAAUGUUACAGAAGUAUAGUCAAGACUUUUAUGUGUAAUGAGAAUAUUUUACAAGUGACUUGGUAGGUUGAUCGGUUAACAAUUUAUAGCUUAAUUAUGUGUAUUGUAAGUAUUUAUGUUUAUUUUGCUACAUUUAAAAAUAACAAUUGUAAAAAUUGAAUUGUAAUUUAUUUUGGCAAAUAAAAGUAACAUGUCAUUAGCAUAUCUAACACAUAUUUAAUCUAUUUUUCUCUAUAUAUAUAUAAAAACGUACUCAUCAUCAAUGUAUAGUUAACCUUAUGAGAAGACGAAGUAAAAAGGGUAAAACUAAGAUGAUAGUUGCUGUUUCUCAUUCAUUCAACCAUCCCUCUCAAACACAUGAACAGAAUCUAUUAUGACCACGUGACUGGUGUGGCGUUGCGUCAAAAGUAUUUUCUCAAUUGCUUGUCUUUUACGUCAUAGUUCGAUUCCCUUGGAAUGGUGGUCGGCUAGGGUUCUUACGUGGUUCAACAAACAAGAUUCUACUAUCACUUCAACUUAUCUUUUAUCAUGCCCUUACUCCCAAUAUUUCUGCUUAAAGUAAAAUUCCCUCUCUAUAUGUACACGAAUCUCUGACUUCGAUGCUAUAGACAUUGCGCACCCUUCUUCCACUGUACUUCGCCGGAAUUUAAUGUCUCAGAGGUGGUCGGAGGAGUGAGCAUUCAGUCACCGAUGUCGGAAAUAUCCAGCUCAUGGAGCGAAGAAUUUGCGGGUUUAUGGGAGGAUUCGGGGAUCCGAUACGUGGCAGAACCGAUCGGAAUUUCUUCACCGUCGAUCGAGAAUACGGGAUCGGUUUUUCCGGUCGAGUCGGGGAACUACGAGGAAUCAGUGGAAUCAGAGAGUUUGAAGAAUCAGGUUAAGGGGUUUGCGCUUGCCUGGGGUGAAAUUCUCCUUGAAUUGGGGAGAGGUUGUAGGGACAUUGUGCAGCAGAAUUUGAUUACCGAGGAUUCAUAUAUACAAAAGCUCAGAGGACCCUGUGCGAGUGUUACUUCUAGACUGAGUUUCUUAAACGAGUUUUUGCCGGAAGAUCGAGAUCCUGUUUAUGCUUGGCCGGUGAUAUUUUUUGUUUCCAUUCUCGCAUUCACAGGUGUGUUCUGGUUUUGGACUUGUUCUUUAUUUUUCCUCACAGUGCCAUUCCAGAAGAUUAUAUUUAUGUUUCAUUUGUCAUUUGGUUCAAUCAUAACAGUUCUCCUGUUGAUUUUUUUUCAUACCCAUAUAAGAUAGAUCUUGUAGUAUUUCCCUUUGAUUUAAUCUUAGUGGUACUGGUAACUGUGACAAGUAUGUCAUUUUUCAUUGAAUACAAGUUAUGAUAAUAUAUGAAUGGUAAUCGUGAAACUUUGGUAUUACGAUCUUAAUGAAAUAGUUAACGUUAUUUGCAGUUAUCUGUGUAAAUAACAGACAAGAGAGCUUUAGCCGACCGAUAAUGAAGGUGCGCGAUCAUCUUCCCAGUGCUUCUCUCAUGCUUCUUCCCGAUGGCAGGCAUAUGGCGUAUGAUGUAUAUGGUGUUUCAGCUGAUAGAGCUAGAUUUUCCAUACUAGCUCCACACUCUUUUCUUUCAUCUCGAUUAGCAGGUAAUAUUUGCAAGAUAGAACACUUUGAAUCUCUCAAAUUCACUGAAAUGCAAUUCUUGAAUCAUAGUUCUUGGACAUGCCUGAAUUUUAGGAAGAUUGUUGCAGAGCUAACAUUGAGAGGUAACAGAGAUUAAAGCAUCUAUUUCUAUGGCAGGUAUUCCGGGAGUCAAAAUGUCUUUGCUUGAAGAAUUUGGUGUUCGCUUGGUUGCGUAUGAUCUUCCUGGUUUUGGGGAGAGUGAUCCUCAUCCCCACAGAAACCUGAAUUCAUCAGCAUUUGAUAUGUUGCAUCUAGCUGAUGCUAUUAGUAUUAAUGGAAAAUUUUGGGUGCUUGGCUACUCAGAAGGAGCUAUGCAUGCUUGGGCUGCACUUCGAUAUAUCCCAGACAGGAUUGCAGGUGUGUAAGAAUGUACGUUUUGAUUUUUUAACAGUGUAAAGAUACUUACUGUGAAACCGGUUUUUUUUUUUUGCCACAACUUUUUGUAUUCCCUUGGACUUCCUUUUUAACUGUUGGAUUCUGAAAUCUACUAUGAUAUUUGCACACUAAGUAUUUUACCCACUAAUGAAAAAUAAGAAAUACACGAACAUAUGACCAUACAAGGAGUUUAUAAAAGUUACAAAUUAGACUACCCCCGUCGCAUAGAAAAUCCAUUCUAGUAUUGUUGAAACAAAAAAUUCAAUUUAAACGUAAACUAAAUGUGGGUUUACUUUAGAAUUCAAUAAAUAUUUUCGAAUUUGUAGGUGCAAUCAUGGUGGCUCCUAUGAUCAAUCCAUAUGAAAAAGGCAUGACCAGGGAAGAGUUGAGAAGAACAUGGGAAAAUUGGGGUCCACGAAAGAGACUUUUAUAUUUCUUAGCUCGGAGAUUUCCUAGAUUUCUGUCCUACUUCUAUCGUCGAAAUUUUUUGUCAGGAAGACAUGAAGAAAUUGAAAGACAGUUGUCACUAUCACUGAGAAAGAAGGUGAGUUCAUAGACUAUUGAAAAUGUAUCUAUUAAGUUCAAAGAUAAGAUUAUUAGAUAAGGAUAGGUUCCAUCUCAAAAAUUAAUUGACAAUGGAGUGAUGUAGCUCAUGUAUUUUUUAAGGAUUAUGAGUUGUCUUCCGAUGUGGGAUUCUCUGUAUGCCAUUUCAAGACGGCGUCUCUUAGGUUACUAUUCUUGAGUCUGAUUUUUUUAAUUAAUAUUAUCUUCUAUUGAAUAUGAGCAUAGCUCCAUUGAUGUAAAAAAUAUGUACGGUCGAUCAAGAGAUCAUAUCUUCAUAUCCUUGGAUUCUGAUUAUUGAGCUCAAGAGGACAAAACAUAAUUGGAUUCUGAUUGAAGAAUGGUAAAUCAAAGAAGCACCGUCUUGGCACACAUGAGGAUACUUCACAAUUUCUACAAGACCAUAGGUUAAUCCUUUCAUUGUCAAUUAAUUUUGAGAUGGAGGGUGGAAAGUGGCCAUUAGUUUAAUAAAGUACUUAGAGAGAACGAGUUCAACUCACACCUAAUAUUUACACAACACAAUCUUCACAAUUUUCAGGAUGAAGUUUUGAUCGAAGAUCCAAAAUUCAAGGAAUUUUGGUAUAGGAACGUGGAAGAGUCGAUCCGGCAGAAAAAUGUCAAACCUUUUGUAGAAGAAACCAUGCUACUGGUGUCAAAUUGGGGGUUUAGUUUGGCAGAUCUUAGGGUGCAGAGAAAGUGUCAAAGAUCUAGCAUUCUUCAUUGGCUCAAAUCUUUGUACAGCCAAGAACAAUGUGAACUGGCAGGAUUUGUCGGUCCCAUUCAUAUAUGGCAGGUAAGGCCAAACCACUGCUCUUUUCCUUCACAUGAAAUCUUAUAAAAUCGUAUGCUGUUUGGUUAAAUUUGUCAUGUUUGUUCUAACUUCUAAUUGCUUGAGAAGAUCAUACGAGCACUAUUACAAUCGUUAACCACCAUGGACUAGCCUAGUGGCAGAUAAAGAGUUAAGAAGAAGUUAUGGAAUGGAUUCAACUGCAUGGUGGCCACACCUACCUUAGAUUUGAUAUUCUACUAAUUUUUUUGACAUCCAAAUGUUGUAGAGUCAAGAGGUUGUAGCCUAACCUAAGAUUAAUAGACGUGUGAGUAAGCUUUUACUAACACUCACAAAUACAAAACACACGCACAUUACCCUUGUUUAUUUGGAAGAGAUAUAUGCUAUAUACUAAAAGAACCAGUGUAGGCAUAAUUCUGAGCAUCAAAAUUUGUAAUUCGUUUUCUAAUACGAAUUUUGGUUAUGAAUGAUGAACAGGGAAUAGAUGAUCAAGCAGUUCCACUAUCAAUGACUGAUUAUAUAGGCCGCAUUUUACCAGCAGCCGUAUUGCAUAAGCUCUCAAAUGAAGGGCACUUCUCAUUUUUCUAUUUUUGUGACGAAUGUCACAGACAGAUAUUUUCCACCAUUUUUGGACCUCCUAAGGGCCCAGUCGACAGAAAAGAAAGAAUUGAAGCUUCUCCUUUAGAAGGAAACAUAGAUCUUACCGUAAAGUGAUACUGUCUUCUUGAAUACCUAAGGCUGUUUCUUCCACGUCCUUUUAGCUAAGAAUAGCAUAUUGAUUUGCCUUUCAAAUGCUGAUGAUGUAAAUGUAUCGUAUUUUGAUAUUGAUAUAUCCUGAUUCCUCCACUUGCUUCCACUUUUUGAACAAGGGUAUGUUAUUUUAUCCCCCAUUGCUUUGUACUUUUAUAUUUAACUUAAAUUCAUGGGGCCGAGAUCCAUUGCUUUGUACUUCUUACUCUAUGAGUCACGAUUAUAUUAUAUAACUUUCAGCUUCACUUCUUGCCUUAAAUAUCUUCUGAAGUUUUAAGUUUGUUCUUAUUUUCAUUAGUUAUUAGGAAUCUCUUCUUUCUCAUCCUUCCUUGUUUGGAAUUAAAAUUCUUUUAGCCCACCAAAAUUAAAAAGAAAAAAACAAGCCAACUUCCUUUCUUAUUAUUGGUUUUUAAGUAAACAACCUAUUUAAUUUUGUUUGGUUUUAGAUCCUAAUUUGGUUUUGUUAUAUUUUGAUGUCUAAAAUUAAGAAUUUUCAAUUUUCCUCGUUUUGGUUUUCAAAACUCUCAUUUUUAUUGUAAUUCUUUAUAGUUUAAUGUUGUGCAAUAAUGAAUUAUUUAUGAGUUUAUUUUAAAUAGUCACUUCAUAGAAAAAAAAUCAUCUUAAAUAAGACAAAAAUUUUAAGAUAAAAUGUACUUCGGACCUUAGUUAAAUUUUAUUUAAAUCAUUUUUUACCAACAAUUUAAAUAAACAAGAUAAAAGAUUUUGAAGUUUAAUGUCACCGAAUCCCCCUCAACUUGCCAAACAAUAACUAUGGCAAUAACUACUAGUAACUUUCUAUCUAUCCAAUUACCCUUUUACUCUUCAACUAACAUCAUACUAAAUAUCUAACACCUAAUACUUCACAGCUUCCUUUUAAGUUAAAUGAGUGACCAAAAAAUGCAUUUUAUUCAAAAUUUUAAAUAACAAUAUUAUUAUCCAUAUAUAAGGAUUUGAAUUGAUUUGAUAUAUAAUAAUCUUCUAAAAUUUUGAAACAUCCUUUAAUGGCGGAUUUCGCUGCAAUCUUCCCGCCAUUAACGUCCUGCUUUUUUCUUCGCGCGAUCAAAUUUCUCAACAGUCUUCCCAUUGUUUCUGCCGUUUUUAUUCAUUCAAAUUUUAAGCCAUUGUCCACCUCCAGACUAUUGGAAUACCGCCUCGACCUGGCCGGAGAUGGCGGAUAUAACAAAUGUUUCUUAUCAGAAAAACUAAACGACGUCCUUGCUCGAGCUUCAUUAUUCUUCAUAUCAAUUGGACUCUCCAACAUAGAUUUCGCUCUUGAAGAUUCGGUGAGAGUCAUGUAACUCGGAACAAUUGGUGUUCUGUUUUGGCUUUCCUCGUCCCAUAAGGAUGAUCUAGGUCCUUCAUUGCUAUUUCUAUGCGAUUUGUUUGAUUGUAUACUCGCUAGGCUCUUGCAGUCAUAAUCUGGAAUCGAGUUAUUUCUUGUGCGUACUGAUUUUGUCCCUGCUGCGACUGAUGUUUCCGGGGAAGGAGUUGAGAGGGACGAGAAGGUAUAUCUGUGACUUUCGGAUCGGCUUGCUGUUGGCGAAUUUACCACCAAGGUCUGUCCGAAUCCUUCAAUUUCUGGAACCGAAUUCUUUUUUCUACUUGACGAGUUCAAUUUUUUCGGCUCUGCGAGUCUUCGUUUUGAAGAAGGUGAGAGGGGCUUGGAGGUAUAUCUAUGGCUUUCGGAUUGGCUUACGGUUGACGAAUUUAUAUCGGAGCUCAGUUCAAAUUGAGCAAUGGCUUUGUUGAUUUCUCUACUAGCAAUGCCAGAGCUCACUUCCCCCCAUUGUUGAGCUGCCAUCCAUCUCUCCAACCAGCUCCAACCCCAGGUGGGAUUGUUCGGAUCUGUGAAUAGUGGAUUCAUUGAUCUUGAGGAAUUCCGCGAGAUUUUCUGUUGAAGGAAUUCAUAGAGACUUGAGAUGAAACCUCGGUACAUUUCUCCAUAUUUGUGGUCCAAAUGUUUUCUUUCAUUCUUCUAAUACAUAAUCAUAAAUGACAGAAAUAAAUUUCCAUUUGCUUUAUUGUAUGUUUUGUAUGUUCAUUGAGCAAGCAUAAUAGAUAACUGUCAAAUAGGAGUUCUGAACCAACCUGUAAGCAAAUCGGCAAUAAGCAAACUAUAAGAGGAUCAAAGAACUAAUGGACAACCAAACAAAUGAUGAUAAUUAAUUUAGACUAUUUUUUACUAUAACCAUCUUUCCAAAGAUCUUUAGAUAUACCCUCCAAACUCUUACUUCAAAACCUCUUAGAUUAAAAUUUUUAGAAACUAAAAUCUUUUGUAAAUUUUCCAGAAUCCGCUUUGAGGUGGAUUGAAGCCUCUCCAGAUAUUAGUGCAGUAGACCAUGAGCACAAUGUAAGGAGUGAGGCUAGAUAUCCUGGUUGAAAUGAAAAAAAAAAUCUUACUACAACUUAGUUUCAAAUAUUCACUUCUUUCUUACUCUUACGGAAUCAAAUCUGUAAAUUCUAUUAGGAAUAGAAUAAUAAACAAGUCACCUGUUGAGAAAAGGCGUAUGCCAAUGCUCUCUCUCUUCUCAUAGCUGCUUCAUGCUUGCUUUGUAGUUUAGCCUCAACCUGUUCCUUCGAUUGUGUGCUGUCAUUCCACCCUUUCCCAACCUGUUAAAAUUUCAAUGUUUUGAUAGCAAUUAAAGAAUGAGGCUAAUAAGAAAUAAUUCAAGCAUGGGAAGCUGCUUGUUUUGAAAAUUUUAGAGAGAUUAGACAAAAACCAAUCCCAAUGCUGGGCUGUAUACAAAGAAAUUCACCUCCAACAUAGAAUAGUUAAGGAAAACUGAUAAGUGAUAAUAAAGACCUGAAAAAUCUCUAGUUCUUUUGAAUGUUUUUGUAAGAGCCGUUUCUGUAGAGCGUGAUUUUCCUCCAGCUUCUUUAACCUCCUCAAUCGGAUCUGGGAAUGGACACGAACAAAAACUUGCAUACACCGGAUGGAGUUCAUAGCUUGACGAUUCACAACAAAACUCUCCAUCAAUGAUUUCAACCUCAACAACCCUCUUAAGGCUCGUAUCUCUGAUCUUGCCUGUGUUUGAUAAAAAAAAACUUGAAUUUACUUGUAGCCCUUUAAUUUAAGCCUUUGGAUUAAGUAUGUUGAACCCCAGUAACUAAUGUCAACUUUUCAAUUAAAAUGAUGAAUUGAAAUUGAUGUGGCAACUCAUAUGUAAAAGCGGGAAGGCUAUCAGGGCAGUUAACAUUUUAUAUAAUUUAAAUUAUAGGGUUGCAAGUAUGAAUUCACACCAGGUAUCCACGAAAAACUGACUGAAUCUUGAUUACUGCCAUUUCCUCUCUAGAUUUUCUGACGAAUCGCGUCUCAGUAAUGGUUUGGACACACUUAUUGGCAGCGGUAGUAGACGCCAUGCCUGUGGAAUUUGAAUUUGGAACACGAUGAGCUUUGGAGUGGCCUUCAUUCUUCUCACAGGUUGGUUUUACUUUUUCUAUCUGACUUAACUGGUUUGCAAUAGUCACAGAAGAAGUAGGGCCUGAAUUGGGGUGUUUUUGUUUUUCAGACAAUUUCCUCUUCUACAUGCCAAAAGAAACCGUAAGGAAAUUUGCAAGAAUAUUAGAAAAUUCAAAAGAAGAUGAAAACUUCCAAUCUAGUCUGCAUGAUAAACAAGAUGGAUAGUCAUAAACCUGGUCUUUCUUUCUUUUGGAGCUGGGGCUGAGAGCUUUCUUCAAAGUUCUAAACCAGUUUCCUUUCCUUCCCAUCCCUCUGUUAUUAUAUUUUACUCAAUGUUCUUCAAAGUCAAUAUUAAGAAGAGAUAAAGAAACCUGUAAUUACAAUGACGGGAGAGAGAUAAUUUCACAUCUGAUCUAACAUCAUAUAAAUACUUCAGUUCAGUUAAGAAAAAGUUGAUAAAAUCCCGUUAAACUAAAGCCAAAUAAAGCUUGGUGCGGAAGAUGGUUAGAAUUUUCUGUUUAAUAUCCUUUUAGUUUGUCUAACAUUUCCUUGAGAUGUCAGCAAAGUCACCUUAAAAAUAUGCAAAAACAGAGACCUACUGCUAGAAUAUCACAACAACCAGACGUUAAAUUUGCAAAAUUUUGAAGAAAAUAUCAACUCAUCGAAUAACAAUUUCAAAGAACUUUGAACCACACAAAUGACCUUUGCUUCCUUUUAUUUUCAUGGGGAAACAAACAGUAUUAUAUUGAAGCUUGUAGUUUAGCCGCAAUUGACUCUUCCAGUUCUCUCUCUGACUCUGACUCUGACUCGUCUCUCCCUUUCAAAGGAAAGUAUCUGAUUCUGCCUAUAAGAAUCGAAUGGUCGCUAGAUUUUGGAUCCGUGUAGAAACUUUGAAUCAGAGUUAGAUGCUUCUCAGUUUCUUUCUACUCUUCAAAACCAUUGAUAUUGAUUUUGAUUUAGAUUGUAUGCACCUAGUAAAAUCUAUAGCUCACGAUUCUUCUAGGUUCAUGCUAGGGGUGGUCAAAAUAAUAUGACAAACUGAGCUGACCUACCAAAACCGAUAUCCGUUGGCUGGUCUCACUCUUCUAUGGAUGAUAUGUAUACCAUACUCGAGCAUUACGGAUUGUGGGUUUGAAUUCUCUAGUUAGAAAUGAUUUUAAUGAUUAAUUUAAAGAUUGAAUGAACAUGACAUCACCUUUUAGAAUUAAAGGCAAUCUAAGUAUUACAUUUUGUUGAGCAGGUUGAACACCCGCUUAACUUCAUCAUUUAUGUUUAUAUAGCUUUUGAAAUAGUUAUAUUUAUUUUUCAUCAUUUAUGAAAUUGCCACCAUUUUCAAAAUCAUCCUCAAAAUUCAAGUUCAAAAUUACUGGAAACUUCCACUUUACAGAGUCGACCACUAGCCCACCAGGCUUCAACAGAUCAACCUAUCUGUUCUUUUAAUUACCAAUUAAAAGUUACAAACUUACAAUUGAGGAACAUUAUGUACUAAAAGCCUAUAAAAAAUUGAAAAUAUUAAAAAAUUGAAAAUAUUAAAAACCGUCGGAUGGGCGAAUAUACGCUCCCACAGGUAUGGUUUCGGCCGUCGGAUCAUUUUGGAGUUUACUUUUUCAUGUCCCCUGCUGUGACGGAGUUUGGCUGACAUCCUGUACAGGUGGCAGGUGUUGAUUGGCUGGUGGAGUUUUUGUGGAGGUACGAAGGCUCCAUAGCAUGAUUUUUGAGCAAUCACCCGAAGGAAUUCCGGUUAGUUUUGCUUCAUCUUCAAGUACCACUUGUUUCACGAAAUUGACAGACUUCUGAUGAAAAUUGAUUAAAAAAAACUCAUCAAGAUCAAUAAAUCUAAAUAAUUUCAUACAAAGUUAAAAUGAGCUUUGAUUGUAUUUUGAUAUUUUAGAAAUAUAAAAGAUGUGGGGAAAUAGUUCAUAUCCACCUUUUUUCGUUGUAUUUUUAUUGAAUGAUAGAAUUUUGCAUUAAAAAUUUAUAAAUCUAUACAUUUUUUAUAGAAAAUACAUAGUAUGAAAAAAAUGAUUUUUCACGUAAUGAUUACUUUUGCGUAAUAAUUUGAGAAAGAAACUUAACCAAACAAUGAAUUUUCUAUCUAAUUAAAUUACCGAGCUUUCAAUUUUCUACCUAAUAAAUUUUGUUAUAUAUUGCUUUUUACAGAAAAAUUAGUUAAUCUAUUAAAUAUAUUUAAUCGUAAGCCUAAUAAAUAAUAAUAACAAAACUAUAAAGAUAUGUUUGGACUCCCGAAAUAGAAUUAGAGUGUAUUUUAAUGUAAUCCUUUGGGUAGUUAGAUUCAUGAAUUUAAAAAAUAUUAAAUAAGACAAUCUCCUUUAAAGAAAGUAAGUUAUAAUAUAUCAAACACCUUGAAAAGUUAAAUGAUAAAUUGGAUAUAAAAUUGAAAAUUCGACACUUUAAUAAACAUUCUUAAAUGUUCGAGAAUCAAAUAAACUAAACUAAUUUAAUUUAACAUUUUAAAAUAUAUAUACUUAUAUAUAGAAAAAUACCAAAAGGAGAUUAUAUUUAGAGUACCUGAGAAGUGUCUUGGACAGAGGAAGUUCUACCCCAUCUUUCAGGGUCCCAAAGGAUGGAACUAUUGAAAGCAAAGCUGGAAAUAUGGAUUUGGGGUUUAGGUUGUGUUUGGUUAGCCAUUUUUUUCAAAUGCCAUCCUAUUACUUGAGAAGAAUCACAAAUUGGCCCUUCAAUUACCACCUUUUUUUUGUUUGCUGUCACCAGCGCCAUUGGCCAUGUCCCAAACACCCUAAAUUCAACACCAAUUGUUAUUUAGUAUUCCAAAAUUUUAAUUUAAUUCAUAUAGUACUUCUUUAUUAUGUUUAUGCUAAAUAUUUUAUCUUUAUGACCUUUUUGAGCAUUUUAUCAGACUAUAGUUUGGAGAUAUGAAAUUGGGUAAUUCACACCAAAUUAGCUAAAUGAAGAUUGUGUACACAACACAUUAGAUUAAAAAGUUCUUGGGGGGGAAAUAAAAAGAGAGUUCUAGCUUUAAAAAUUUUAAGCUUAUGCAUAAAUAGCAUUAUUGCAAGUAAGAAAGAUUAAUUUUUACAAUCAAAAUUUAACUUAUAUGCAAAUAUAACACAAAUUAUUAAGCUAAAUUAAUGCUAUAUUGGGUAAAAAAAAAUGAAUUGUUGUUUGAUACUUUUAUGCAUACAUAUUAAGUUUUGGUUCACCCUUCACUUUUCAUUUUGUCAUUUAAAAUUAUGAUUAUUUUUUUUUAUUGUAAUAAAUAGGGCCAUUCGAGUGACCUCAUCUAUAUUUGUUUUCAAACAAAAUUGAUAAUUUUUAUAGUCUCUUUUUAAUAUUAUUAAGGUAUGACCUUAGUUUGGUAUGUUUGAGUGUAUAGUUAGUUUAUACUGCUAUAUCAAUUUCAUUCUUCCUAGGGCUGAAAUAUUAUAACUAUUAUUUAAAUAUAAAAUUCAUUCCAAUUUUAGAUAGAAAUUGGUAUAUGGAACGAUGGUGGUUGUUAAUACUAUAAUGUAGUGAUGUCUCACGGGGAAGGAUAUAUUUUGAAAAAGAAAAAGGAAAAGAAAAGGAAAAAGAAAGAAAGCAUACUCAAUUUCCCUGAGUUCAUGGAAGAAUCGAAGAUCAUAAAAGUUAGAAAGUCCAGCAAAGUGAACAAUCCCACUAAGGCGAUGAUGUUCAAUAUGCUUCAAAGCCACAUUCCUUUGAUGAUUCAUUUCCGCUUCAGAAUCCGUAAAAUUCUCUUUAAAAACCAAAUGUCUAUACAUAAUCCCCGUCUUCCUCAUUAUCUCCGCCACAUUACUCCCUUCUCUCUUCGCCUCCACCACAAUCCACAACAAUGGCUGCCUAACAAGCCGUAUCGUAUUCCCCAAUCUCCUCAGCCAUACUUCUCUAUUCCUAUCGCCACUCCUCGUCGGAGUCACGAUGAUGAUCUGUCUUCUCGGCGCCACCAUCUUCUUCACUAACUCCUCCCGAUCUCUCUUCCUAGCCGGUGGCGGUUCGGCUGCCAGGUUACGGGUGAAAUUCGAAAGGAUUUUGGUUGUGUUUGAGAGAGUGAUGGUUGAGGUGGAGAUAGAGGAUUUAGUGGCGGUCGGAGCGAAGCCGGUGAAGAAGCCCAUGAUGAAGCAGAGGGAGAAAUGGAGGAUGGCCUUUUUGCAAAGGUGAGCUCUUUUUUUUGGUCUUUCUGUAGAACCCAUUUUGUUUUUUGUUUUUCAGGCGUGAAAGAAAAAUGAAGUUAUUAUGAAGAUGGUGAUGAUGAAAAAUGGAGAAUUUAAGAUGAAAUUUCAUUGUAUUUGCAUGGAGGAAAUGGUUUGAUUUAGCUGUUUCUUGAAGUAAAAGGAAGGAGGGAAGGGGUUUUUUUGUGUACCAAAUUGUUGGGUGAGAUGGAACCCAUCAACUAAUAUCAUUUUGUGGUUAGGACAAUCAAACCCAUUUUCUUCAUUUUGGUUGGAAAAUCUCUAAAUUCUACUUUACCUUAAACAUGUAAAUGUUGAUUUUAAAUUUUUUAAUGUUGAUGUAAAUAUCAAAAUAUGAAAUUUGUAAGAAUGUCUUUAAUAAGAAAUAUUCAAAUUUUAAUCUAUAGUCGAAUUAAUGAUAAUGGAAUAUUCAAAUAUGAAAUAUUGGAAAGAAAAAAAGGUUAAAAUGUUCAAAUUCUUUUAGUGAAGUAAUUUGUUGAACAUUAUAUGAUUUUAUAUGUCCAUUCUUGUUUUGUUUUGUUUUUUUGUCUUUUGAGUAAUUUACAAGAUUUUAUUUGAAUUUUUUUGGUAAAUUUAAAACAUUAAAUCUCAAAUUUGUUAUUAUAGCGAGUGAUACUCAACAUUUUCGUAUUUUUUUCAAUAGAGAUUGUUUCGGUCGAUUUGUUUUCUUAUAUAUAUAUAAAUAUAUUAAUUCAAAAUGUUCUCUUUUUAAAGUACAAUUUUGGGAAAUUACACCAAUCUUAUUUCUCGUUAUAAUAGCACUAAAGAUUACGAAAGUACCCAUAAGGUCACACCACAAUUCGAAAGUUCAGCGCCACGUCGUCCGUCAGGUUAUAUUCAAAGAGAAGGAAAAUGAACAAAGUUCAGUCCUCUAAUGGCGUUUCUCUCUUCUUCACAGUCUUAAUCCUUUUACCCUUUCUUCAGCCCAUUGCUACUUCGAAACUUCCAGGAUUUAGAUACUUCCCUCCACUGGAAGACAUUCUUUCAUUUGCUUGGAAAUCCCAGUUCUUCUUCUUCUUCUUCUUCUUCUUCUGCCGAACUUGUCUUCUCUGUUUCUAAAUUUCAAUUUCUUGGGCAUUAUUGUCGCCUUCUGAUGUCGACGUCUGCGAUGAAUUUGUCCAUUCUGUUUGUUCGGUUGUGCGGCUUGAGCUCAAUUUGUGAUCACUGCAUGAUAUGACGACGCAAGCUUCAAGUAUCCUCCUCUUGAUGUAGGCGUCUAAGGCUCUGAAUAUUGUUUUGGCAUUGUAAUUCAAAGAAACUUAUGUGAUGUAUUAAUAUUUGCGCCGUUUCUGUAAUUUUAUCGAUGUUGACAUGUUGCACGCCAGGUGCUCGAUGAAUGUCCGCUAAGAGAUGUAGCAAGCAUGUUCUUACAUCAAUAAUGACACUAUAAUAUAGUUGGAUUUUGUUACUGGAGCUGUACACAUUUUGAUUUGGCACACAAGCUGUUUCUAAUGUGAAACUGCACAAUAGAAAUUUGAAUGGAAGUUCUGGUUUGACUUUCAAGACUUGAAUCCUCUGAUCCAGGCAUUGUCUCACAUUUUCAAUCAAUCUGUACGUCAUACUAGAGAUAGUGGUUUGGAACAAGUACGGUUGAAAUUUCCAUGUGGAAGAUGAUUCUUGCAGUUACUGGGGAUGAAUAAAUUGAAAAGAAGUUGAAGGGCUUUCUCUCCUAUAUUUAUGCAUCAUUCAUUUGUAAACCUCAUGUGCUGAUUGAUCUCUUCAGUGUGUUUAAGAAUGGCUUUAGAAUAGAUUACUUGAAUGGCAUUUAUAAGAACCUUCAGUUCUAUAUAUUUUUUAACUUUAGCGUCAGAUGCUAUUGUUUUCUUCAACCCUUUUAGUCCAACUUCGUCAAUAAAGAACUUCAAACCUCAACUGCAUUUAGCACUCUCCCAUAUUCGACUCAAUACCCAGCUUGCCUUUUCUCCCUGCCCCCUUACUGUACAUUAUCCUCAUGAUGAUAAGAUAAUCUCUCUCUGCAAGAAAAACUUGCACAGAGAAGCUCUUAAAGCAUUUGACAUCUUUCAAAAGUGUUCAAGUUCUCCAUUGAAGUCUGUCACCUAUACCCAUCUAAUCAACGCAUGCUCUUCUCUAAGAUCCCUAGAGCAUGGCAGGAAAAUUCAUCGCCAUAUGUUGACAUGCAACUACCAGCCUGAUAUGAUACUUCAGAAUCAUAUUCUUAGUAUGUAUGGAAAAUGUGGGUCUUUGAAGGAAGCAAGAAAUAUGUUUGAUUCAAUGCCUCUGAAGAAUGUAGUAUCUUGGACCUCCAUGAUAUCUGGGUACUCACGUUAUGGUGAAGAGGAUAAUGCCAUUACAUUGUAUGUUCAAAUGUUACGAUCGGGACACAUUCCUGAUCACUUUACAUUUGGAAGUAUUGUAAAAUCUUGCUCUGGACUUGAUGACUUUAAGUUAGCAAGGCAACUGCAUGCUCACGUUCUGAAGUCUGAAUUUGGCGCUGACCUAAUUGCACAGAAUGCUCUAAUCUCAAUGUAUACCAAGUUCAGUCAAAUGGCUGAUGCAAUAAAUGUCUUCUCUCGUAUUAUUAUAAAGGAUCUAAUUUCCUGGGGCUCAAUGAUUGCAGGGUUUUCUCAGCUUGGCUAUGAGCUUGAAGCUUUAUGUCAUUUUAGGGAAAUGCUUUCUCAGUCUGUCUAUCAGCCAAAUGAGUUUGUCUUCGGUAGCGCCUUCAGUGCUUGUAGCAAGCUCUUAGAACCAGAUUGUGGACGCCAAAUACAUGGCUUGUGUAUAAAAUUUGGGUUAGGAAGUGAUCUUUUUGCUGGAUGCUCCCUUUGUGACAUGUAUGCGAAGUGUGGGUUUUUAGAAUCUGCAAGAACAGUAUUUUAUCAUAUUGAAAAGCCUGAUCUAGUAGCCUGGAAUGCUAUUAUUGCCGGAUUUGCUAGUGUCAGUAAUGCAAAGGAAUCCUCGUCAUUCUUUUCACAAAUGAGGCAUACAGGACUUGUUCCAAAUGAUGUCACUGUUCUCUCUUUACUUUGUGCUUGUUCGGAGCCUGUGAUGCUUAAUCAUGGAAUACAGGUUCACUCCUACAUUGUCAAGAUGGGUUUCAAUUUAGAUAUUCCUGUGUGUAACAGUUUGCUCAGCAUGUAUUCGAAGUGCUCAAAUUUGAAUGAUGCACUUCAAGUAUUUGAAGAUAUAGGAAACAAAGCUGAUAUAGUUUCUUGGAACACCUUGCUUACAGCAUGUCUCCAGCAGAACCAAGCUGGAGAGGUUUUAAGAUUAACAAAGCUAAUGUUUGCUUCUCGCAUUAAGCCUGACCAUGUUACUUUAACUAAUGUGUUGGUGUCCUCUGGACAAAUAGCAUCUUAUGAAGUGGGAAGUCAAAUUCAUUGUUUUAUCAUGAAAUCAGGACUGAAUCUUGAUAUUUCUGUUUCUAAUGCGUUAAUCAACAUGUAUACGAAGUGUGGAUCCCUUGAAUGUGCUCGAAAGAUGUUUGAUUCCAUUGGCAAUCCUGAUAUCAUUUCAUGGAGUAGCUUGAUUGUUGGAUAUGCACAAGCUGGAUGCGGCAAGGAGGCUUUUGAGCUUUUCAGAACCAUGAGAGGCCUCGGUGUAAAGCCAAAUGAAAUUACAUUUGUAGGAAUUCUUACUGCUUGUAGUCAUAUUGGAAUGGUAGAAGAAGGUUUGAAGUUAUACAGGACAAUGCAAGAGGAUUAUCGCAUUUCACCAACCAAAGAACACUGUUCAUGUAUGGUCGACUUGCUCGCUCGUGCUGGAUGCUUGGAUGUAGCAGAGGACUUCAUUAAGCAGAUGCCUUUCGUUCCUGAUGUUGUAGUCUGGAAGACUCUGCUAGCAGCAUGUAAAGUCCAUGGCAAUCUUGAGGUUGGCAAGAGGGCUGCAGAGAAUGUAUUAAAAAUUGAUCCAUCAAACUCCGCCGCAGUCGUAAUGCUUUGUAACAUACAUGCUUCUUCCGGGCAUUGGAAAGAUUUCGCUCGACUUAGGAGUUCAAUGAGACGAAUGGAUGUGGGCAAAGUUCCAGGUCAGAGCUGGAUUGAGAUCAAGGAUAAAGUUCAUGUGUUUCUUGCAGAAGAUAACUUGCAUCCUGAGAGAGGUAAAAUUUACACGAUGCUGGAAGAGUUGAUGUUGCAAAUUUUAGAUGAUGGUUGUGAUCCAUUACAGAUGGUGUCUUGAUUGGGUUACAAAGUAGGAAUAAUUAAUUAUUCAGGCAGAUUCUUGGAUGUAUAUUGCAUCUUACGAUUUUUCGAAAUAAUUUACGAGAAAUUCAGUAGUGACAUAGAAAUGGGUAUUUGUUCUUUACACUAAAUCGUCUUUUUUUUAAUGAUUGGGAAUAAGUUCUAUGCAUUUAACCCAAAUAGCUCAACGAUUCAAACUUAUUUAUUAGUGAAAAUAAAUAGAUAAAUAAAACAAAAUUUUAAAUAAUGAUUCAAACAACUGAUUCUUGUUUUAUUAUAAUUAUUUAAUAGAAGUUAUUUGGAUUAGAGAAAUCUAUAACCCUAAAAAGUGAUUCUUGUUUUAUGAAUCCAUAAACAAGAACAUCCCGACCUCUAACCAAGGUGGUAAGAGAAUUUACGUCUAAAAAACAUUCAAAUGAUGUAUUUAAGUCGAUCAAGUAUGAUUUAUAAAUCUUCAAUUCUUCAAGGUAAGCCUACAAAUUCUUGUAAUUAAAAAAAAAAUAAUGAAGUUCCGCCGUUGCCUCGUGUUUUAAGAGUCAAAAUUGGGUAUAAAUCAACAGAUUUUCACAUAAUUGGACAAAAACUUUCUAAAGGAAUACUUUAGUUUUGAUUAGAAAAAUUGAAAAGAGGUAGCAGCUAAAUUAGGCUUCAUCAUCAUCCUUUGGUUUGGUUGGGACUGAGUCUCUUUUAUGCCUUUGUUUUUUCAACUUCUUUGUCUUUAGCCCAGCGUCAUCGUCAUCCUUUGAUUUCAUUGAGACUGAAUCUCUCCUAGGCUUGAGUUUUUUCGACUUCUUUUUCUGUAGCUCAGUGUCACCAUCCUGAUUUGGUUUGGUUGCAACUGAAUUCCUUUUAGGCCUGUGUUUUUUCGACUUCUUUUUUGGUGGCUCGGUGUCACCAUCUUCGUGUGGUUUGGUUGAGAUUGAAUCUCUCUUUGGCCUGUGUUUUUUCCACUUCAUUUUCCGAAGCUCGGUGAUCCAAGAUGGGACUUCACAACCUGAGGCUGACAUAACAUUGGCUAUAUUUCGCAGAAAUGGAAUGUCCUCAUCUGUAUAAAAUGUAAUGGCUUCUCCACUCCUCCCUGCUCUGCCGGAACGACCUGUUUAUUUGAAAAUGCAAUUUCAACUAAGUAGUCAUGUUAACCACGAAUCUUUUAACAUUGUUAAGGAUUAUGUGCACCGCUGAGUAAGAGAAGAAAGAACGUAAGAUUAAGAUAUGGCACAUACCAAUUCGAUGAAUGUAUGCUGCCGCAGAAUCUGGAAAAUCAUAAUUGAUUACACAGUUGACCCCCUUGAAAUCCAUUCCUCGAGAAAUUACAUCAGUGGCGAUUAAAACCCAAGUUUUUCCAGCUCUAAAGUCAUCAACAACAUUUUCUCGCUGCAUUCAAGUAAAAAUAUUAGACCGAGAAAGAAAGAUUAGAAAAAACCACUUCAACUAGUCUCUGGGUCACUCAAACAGAUACCUUUAAUUUUUCCUCGAUGAAAAUUAUGUAGAUACAAAAAAAAAAAAGUAAAGAACAAAAACUUUAUCGCAUUCUGUUAAAAUGUUAUAAAACUUUUAGAACAAUAUAUGAGAAAGCUGCUGGCCGCACGUAGGAGUUCAACAAGAUGGUCAUGUUUUUCACUUCAAACAACGUUAUUAAGGCUAUUUAAAACAAUUUGGCUUAGUUAUUAUUACGGCCUCCAAUGGAGUAUUGGAUUUUAGCAGACGAGGAUGAAAAGAUUACCUCCAACUGUGACAAGUCAGAAUGAAUAACACUGACUCUGAUAUUCUCAAAUGCUAGCUCACCAUAAAGUUCUUUGGCCCGCUCCUUGCUUUGAACAAAGAUCAAUACUGGUGGAUUCAAACUCUGUUGAGAAUGAAAGUGAUAAAGUCAAUGCAUUGUCUGAUAAAAUCAAAAUGAGAAACAGUGUCUAUGUUAGAUAAGUAUCCUACACAAGACAUGAAUUAGAUCCUGUAUCUGAGCAACAAGUUUAUACUGUUAUCUUGUUUAUAGAAAGAAAAGGCAGGCUACUAUUUCACGCCCUGAACGGACACUUCAAAGGAUUUUUGUUCAUGAUAAAAGAUAGGUCUCACUUUCCACUCAAAGAACAGUUAAAUAUUGCAAUUUACAUAUGACGAACCUCUGAAAAGCUUUGACGAAGUGCAAGAAGCUUCCCUUCUUCACUUCCGGCAAAAACCAAUUUUUGCUUAACAGUUUCAGAAGCAGUGUUCCUGAUGACAUUUCAGAAAUACAAGUGUCAAUACUUCAAAAUUUGGAAGAAUGUCGUGUGAGUCGAGGAUCUUGGGAUAAGUAUGAAAGUAGCAAACUUACUUCCUGCCAACAAUAACCCGAACAGCAUCAUGCAUUACAGAGCGAGCAAGAUCCUCAACAAAAUCAGGUAAAGUAGCACUAAACAAUGAGCGAACUAUUGAAGGAUUUGAGCAUGCUUUAACAACAGCAUCAAUCUGUUUUAUCAAGCCAAGCUCAAAUAACUUAUCAGAUUCAUCCAAAACAAGAUAUUCCACCCUGCAAAACACCAAAACCUGUAUGAGAGCAGAGUUAUAUUUAGGCUAAUCUUGUUUCGACAAAAUGUCAUUGCCCUUCAUCAACACCUACCUACUGAGAUCAAUUUUCUUUUUCCGAAUAGCAAGCCUUAACCUAAGUGGCGUGGAUAUGAGUACAUCACAUGAGAACUUUGAGAAAUCAGCAUGUCUUAAAACUUCUUUUGUCACCAACUUGAUAUGGAAUUUUUUCCCUUUAGCCAGUUUUUUGCACUCCCUUAUUGUCUGAGAUGCUAAUUCUCGUGUUGGACAAAGUAUAACAGCACGGAUGCCUUCCUUCGAAGGAUCCUGAUAAAAACAAUGAGAUUAGAACACACAACCCAUCCAAGAAAUAUAAAGAACUGGCACCCAAGAGAUUAUACCUUGAGUCUCAUAAGCAUAGGGCACACAAACGCCAAGGUUUUUCCAGAACCAGUCGGGGCACAAGCAAAGCAUUCACGGCCCUGUUAGACAAAAUAGAUAAAACUAAAAAAUAGAUCGAAGUAGUCAACCUAGAAACAAAAUUCUUAUUAUACAAAUAUAUGCCCAUCUUAUUAUCAAUAUAUUGAAAUACGACUUCUGAAAGAUAAAGUUACUCCACACAAUGAGAUAGUAAUGGAAGGUCAUACAGAUAAGAGGACUGGAAUAGCCUGCCUUUGAAUUGGUGUUGGCUCUUUAAAUCCGAGUUCUACGAGAUUAUGUAGUAAGUAUGAGUCACAGUCAUAUCUGCAAGCAAAGCAUACCAACUAUCAUUCUUCAGUCAUACUUAUCAGAACCUGAGGAAAAGAUACUUAAAUCUAAAGAAAGAUCCACCAUUCAAUGUGCGGACACGCAGAAAAACGAUACAACUACUAGAGAAUGAAGUACCUAGUGCUCAACUCUCCAAAAUUCUGAAGUGGCGAUGGAACAUUGUUCCCAGAGACAUGAAUAUUAUACUUCUUCCGGAAAAGAGCAUCUCUCUAAGGUCAUCAAAAAAAUAUGGCAUGAAUAACGGGCAGAAACCAUUUCACUAUUGGGUAUACAGUUAAAACCAAAAUUCAUAAGAAAAAGAAAUGAAGUAACAAAGAAAAAAUUAUCACCUCGAGUUUCCGAUAAAAUUCCUUCUUCUCUUCAGAUGGAUCGUUUUCAGACAGAUGAUUCUCUUCAUUCAACGAAGUAUCUGCUGUUGAUUUUGAAUCCUUGAAGACGCUGAAUCCCUCCACCGAUUCUACAUUAAGAAGAAUAAAUAAAGAAACUCCAUAACAGUUGGCCACAAGAAAAGAAAAUAAAAUAGAAAUAUACUUGCGGUUGCUGAUUUCCUCUUCCUCUUCCUCUUAUCCGAAGGUGUUGAACCCUCAUGGACUUCCAAAUCACCAUUAUCAAUGGAACUUGGACCCUCCACUACAUUGUCACUUUCUUUUUUCCCCUGUUGGAAUGAUAAAGUUGAAUUACCUCACAGAAACCUUCAAUUUUCUCGUAAAACACAUGCACAUUGCAGUUGAAUGCGUUACCUCAAAUUUAGCAAAAUCUGCCGCAAACCUCUUUUUGUCGAAAUGAAUACCGGCGAACAAGAAAGAAGUUCCUUUCUCCAUUACAAAAUACAAACAAAUCUGCCUCUUCUGAAUAUUAUUUGUUCCUCUAAAGUUCUAGAAACUUCAAAACUCGAAUUGAGCUCCAAACCCUAGCAAAACAAGGUGGAAAUUUGAUCAUCGAUGCAUUUAUCACCUGCUACCUAAGCUCUUCCUCUUUCAUAAUUAUUUACCUUAUUCGGUAUUCAUAUAUUAGGUUUUUAACCAAAGGUAUCAAAUAUUAUUAAAUGGUUAUCACUUAAAGUUCUAAAUAGCUCUUGAGCAAUUCAAAGUGUGUUCAGAAUGAAUAUUCUAACAAAACUAACCUCAAACCUUUAAUUCAAACACUAUGAAUCAUGUCAAACUACAAAAAGAGCGUCCCCAAGAGUCAUAAACUAAAGAUCAGCACUUACUAAGACUUUGAAAAGGUCUAAGUAGAGCUUUGAUGUCUAAAACUUACUAAAACAAACUUGUAUCCUAGCUGAAAAGUGUUCGAAUAGCUCAGACAUCAACCAAUAGCUACAAAAAUAAUAGUUCUAAAAGUUAAACUAAACUACAACAUUUCAAUUGAAAUUGAAAGGGUUUAAAGAAAUUUAUUGCCCACUGAACUUCACUAAACGAGCUUCAACGCUUGCUGAAGCCAUUAGAAAGUGGGUAUUGUAAAUCUAAAGUUUCUAAAGCUUACAGGCGAGAGUCUGUACAGAACCUUGCUGAAAGAAGGAAAAUAUCUCGUGGGUGAACGCGAGCCAAUGGUUUCUAUCGAGCAUUGCCGGAAGGAUAUGGGGAAGCCGCUGCCUUCGUCGCACGCCGCUCGUGGUUGCAGUGUCGUUGGCGUCUAAGGGGAAACAACGCAGGAGAAGAAAAAAAAUAACAAUUAAAUGGAAAAUUAAUAUUUCCUACCAAUAUUUUGUACCUAAUUCAUUUUCUAUACUAUUUACCAUUUAUCAUUUUUUAUAAUCUAAACUAAAAUAAUUUCAUAACUCAACUAUAAAUUAUUUUAAUCAAACUAUAAUAACUUAUUUUUUUCUAUUCAAACUAUGAUUUUAUUCUUGUCAUGAUAGAAUAUGUUUAGGGUUUAUUAGUUUUAUGGUUUAAAAUAAAUUUUCUAUAACACAUUUUAGCAUAAUAUUUAUAAGAUUUUUUAUCAAACAACAACAAAAAUUACUUUACAUCUCUACUAUAUUAAAAGAGUUACGUAGACAUAAUUUUUAUACAUUAUUUUUAUCCCUAUAUUUAUAGAAAAUAUCCACAUAUAUCAUUUAUCAAUUGGUUGUGACUUUUCGAGUAAAAUCUUAAAUCUUAAACAAUUUACUGUAUUUGUCAUGGAUGGAAGGCAACUUAUCACAAAAUGUGAUGUAUUUGUUUGUGGAGAUGGUUGAUUAUUUCAAUGUAAAAGAAAAAGAAAAUAAAUAUAUGCAUUACAAUUAUCAAUUUAAUUUAUGAAACUUGGGACAAAAUUUUGAAAAAUAAAAACAAAAAAUCUAAUAGAUUAAAAGUAAUAAUGAAUCAUCUCGAGUUUACAAAGACGAGAACUAGUAGAACAAAUUUCUCUAUAUAGAAAAGUUUUUGUAUUUUCUUAGAGAAUUAUACGAAAACAUUAAAAUAAAAGUUAUCACCUUAUCUAGGUUUAGAAAGAAAGUAAUCGAAAGUAGCCCUCCCUUACUCGAAUUGGGCCCAAUUAUGCGGGAUUCAUACGAUGUAGCCCAGCCCAUAAUCACGGCCCAUAAAAUUCAAAAAAGUCGAGUUGUAGUUUCCUAUCGUGGGGACGACGCCUUAAAGCGGGAACCAUGUGACUGACUACACUGAAAACUAUUUCCAAAUCAGUACGACCAAGUGUCACGGUGUCAGUGACCAUCGCACGGCGGACCUCCACCGCACCAAUAACCCAUUCCUUCCAUACCUCUCUCUCGCUCUCUGCAAAGACUGGUGUUCCGUUUUUCCUUUUUCAUUUCCAUGUGGCAGGUUCUUCUGGCGGCGGCGGUGGCAGGAUCCACCGGACUGGUCGCGAAGCACAUUCUAGGCGCCGGUGUAAACCCUGAUGGGACUGCACUCGUAGAAGAAUCGAAGAAAUGUGAUGAGAGUUGCGAAGAUCGAGAGAAACCUGAUGGCAUUGUGAAGUUGAAGGGUCCGAUCGAAACGGAAUUUGGGUCCCCGGUGGUCUCUAAUGAACUGAACGAGUUUGGACGUGAGGGGAUUUUUAGGUUUUCGAGUUCGGGUUCACGUGGAGCGACGAGCUCUCGACAUCGAUCGAAGAAGUUGCGGAAAAAAACAAGGAUUCGGUACCGUGGAGGGGUAAAAGAAGCUAGGGGGGGAAAUGGAGAAAUGGAGAAUUGUACUGCUGGUAGAGAUUUGGCGAUGGAGCCGAAAAAGAGUUCGGGAAGGUUCUCUGUUUGUUUGAAGAAGAGGAGAACUAGUAAGAACUCAGGUGCUGCCAAGACUGAAUCAUGCUCUUCCAAAGGUAAGAUGACGAUGAUCAUUUAAAUAUAAAUCAUCUGAUUUCUGUUGGUUUGUUGGGAAGAACAGUGCGGAUAGAACAAUUUCAGUUUUCAACUGCCAAUGAUCCUCCCCCCCACCCCCGAUUCUCCUUUCGAGCGAUCUUUUAUUAUAGAAAUGUAGAAAUAGUUUUUCAGUUAGCUUAUUGUCUUACACCUCGAGUUUGAAUGUUCCUGGUCUUUAAUAUAACUUUGUUUUAAAAGAACUUUUUGUUUGUUGUUUGUAGGAUAAUUCGGUGAGAAAAAAAAAAAAGAGAGACAUAUUUUUUUGCAUAAUUCUUUAAUGGAUACGUUGGAGGUCUUUGUUGCAUGGUGUGGGUUGGGGGUAUGAGCAAUACAUUAGAUGAAAAAUUGAUAAAAGUUAUGCAACCUUUCUUGUAUUAUUAAGGCGUGGCCCAUUGUUAGCUUUAUGUUGAUGACCAACACUAAUCUUUGAAAGCUUCGCCAACCCCGCUAUUUUUCAGGAGCCUUAGUCAACCAAGAAUUUUAGGAAGGGAGCUUUCAGUCUUUGUUUACUUUAGUAUUCUUUUCUUUCUUUUCCAGAUUCUCAAGCAUUUUGGGCACAUUGAGGUUUUAACUUCAUUAUCCUGUAGAAAUGUUUGGGAAUAGCAUCACUGUUCCUCAUUUUGUAUGAGUUCGUGAUUUAGUGCCUGUCUGUUGGUUCUUAAGUCUGAAAUAGUUACCAAAUAAUAUGCAUGGUAAACAUGAACUGUGAUCAUUCACCACAGUACGUAUAUAAUUAGCACGUCAGCUGUUUCCAGUUUGUUAAUUUAUCUAGAUUUCCUCCUUAAUUCUUGUUGCUUUUGUGAACCAAUCAAUCAUGUAUGGCUUUUAUUUGCUUUUCACUUUUCAGAUGACUCUUUAUUUCAUUGGGGUAUUGGUGUUGGAAUCAUGUACAUGAUGUCAGCGGGAAAAGCAGAAAUAAAUAAGUUGAAUGUAACUGUGGACGAGACUGCAAAAGUUGUUCGGGAAUUGAAAUCAGAACUUUACAAGAGAAAAUAUUCACGUCAUGUGGAGGCAGGCAAAGGUAGAGAAUGCAAUACAAUUCAACCUGAAAUUGAAAGGUCGAGCGCAGAGAUCCAGCGACUGAGUGAGGCAAGAAAUUACACUGUGUCUAUGUUUGACGAUGGGGAAUGUGAAAGCAGUGUUCUUACUGAAGAACCAGAUCCAGAGAUACAUGAUAUGGAUCAACUGGAAGCAGAGCUCGCGACUGAAUUGGAAAAACUCCCAUGGUGUUCAGCAGAAGAUUCUUGCCAAGCAGGAGCUUUAACGGGCCUAGAAAAGGUGGCAGUUUUAAGUCUUAAUGGAAAGUUUAGAACCUUCAAUCAAAUCUUGAUGAAUGGCUGAUAGCAGGAAGAGUUUAAAUCAUUACUAAUUUACGAAUCUUAUAUAUCUUAUGCUAACCUCAUUUAAUUGGUAUUUUCCCUACCAAUUAUUGCAGACCAAAGUUUCAUCUAAUGAAUUCCAUGGGCCAGAGAACUUGAUAUCUCAUACUUACCCCUCGCAUGGAGUGGUACCAGCCGAACUGGAUCAGAAACUUUGCCAUUUGCUUAUUGAACAGCAGGAGCAUCAAAUUGGGGAGUUGGAAUCUGAACUGAAUGUUGCCCAAUCAAAGCUAAAUGAGAAAGAAGCUGAACUCCAAGCCUUGAAGGAUUGCGUUAGACGCCUCACUGAAUUCUCUCUGACAAAUGCUUCAGGUAAGAUCAUCUUAAUUAGCAGUUGUAUUAGUAUUGAUUACAAUCAGAUAUCUUUUGCAGCAUUUGCUCACAUCGACUGGUUUGCAAAUCAUAAUCUCUAACGCGCAGUGUUUGAUCCCAGAUGAUGAAACCGAUGCCCAUACUGAGAAGAACCAGAGCAUCUCGUGGGAGCAGGGCUUUGAACCAAUGAGAUCAGUAGUUGUGGGGAUGAAAAGGCCUGUUGAAUCUGAACCCUGGCAUUGUAAUGUAUGAUGAUAGAAUUUCAGAAUAGUUGCAAUAAAUAGCUAGAGAACUGCCAGAUCUUAACUUACACUCCCCCCCCCCCCCCCCCCCCCCCCAAUUGUAUAUUUCUCAUAAAACUACAUAUGUUGUUGUAUAUAUUGUGUAAUAUUUUAUUUAACAGAUGAGAUUUAGAGCUGAACUUCACUGAAUGAUUCUCUAUUGUCUUUGUUAGCCCCACCAUCAAAAUGGAAUCCAGCAAUGUAAGUUGACCUUUUGUCUUCUUGUCUGCUGGAUGAAAUUACUUGAUGGUCCAAACCCAUUUUGGAAAGUUCCAACUAUACUGAAAGAUAAUGCCUUAAAAGGCACUAUCUAUUGGUGGGGUUUGGAUUUCGUUGGAAAAAAAAAUGGUGAUAGUGGUUGUCUGUUUUUUAAGUGUUUUGCAUUCGCUCUAUAUUGAUUUGACUAUAUUGCCAUUGCCAUUUCUCUUUGAAGCUGCUGGAGGAGACAAUGACAUGCUGUGAUGGACUUUGUUUGACACGUGACCUUCUUACUCUCUACAAGGAAGAAUUUGAUCUUCGUGUUUAAAAGGUAUGUCGUUUUUGUGCUAAAACUACUUAUUGUCAACUUUAUUAAUUAUUCUAGAAAAAUCUUUUUAGGUUAUUGAUUGUCUUUCUGAUUGUAAAGUGUUCUGUCACCUUAUAACAGUAAAACUUUAUAUUGUAGAAGCAAAUCUUUGCUCAGGUUAUAAUAAGUAACAGUAAAGUAGAAUUAGAAUCCUGCAACCCUGUUUUGGUUUGUGAAAAUUAAGCAUAUUUUCUGUCCAUUUCUUGCUAAGGUUUCCAUCUAAGUUUUUUUUAGUAAAGAAGUUGAGUUCGCCAAAUUCUAGAAAAAAAAAAGAAUUUUUAGAAACUACCUUCUUGAAUUUAUUAAACUUUCUUGUUUUUUGAACUUUGAAAAAAAGUGGAUAACAAAACUAGGAAGUUUAGAGAUGAAAUAAAUAUUUUUGAAUGUUACCUUAGGAAUAUCUACCCAUCACAGCCACAUGGGCUGUGGUUUGCUUAUUUUGUUACUAAGUCCUACUCAAUGCUUUUCACCCACCAUGUGCCUGGGAAUAUUUGAAACCAUGCCAUUUCAUUAAAUUUUACCAUUAAUUAAAACUGGCUCAUAUAGUUUAUUCUGCUACAUGUGUCACGUGUAUCAACUUUGUCAAUAUUAACUUUACCAAUGGGUAUGUAUAAUGUAUCAAAUUUAUAAAUCUCAUAGCUCUCUUGACCCAUUUCUUAGUAACACUGAUUUGUAAAAUAGGAGAAUUGUAGAAGGUUGUUGUCCAUUUUUAAGGGUAAAAUAUGUUUAGUGAAAAGGUUAAAGAACUUAGAAGUCAAGGAAAGGAAAGGAAAGAAAGAGCAGAAAGGUUAGUGUUAAUUGGGUAAAAAUGAUAUCCCUUUACAAUCUUUUAGUUUUACUCCACAAUUGUUGAAUUUUCACCCACAAAAGUUACUUAUGGGAUACCCUAAGUCGUCCACUUUAAGACGGACAUUUAGGUGAAAAUUUUCGAUUAUUAGACAACCACUCGAUGUUCAUGGGAGUAAUAAAUUUUAUCUUGAAGUUUCACCAUUGUUUUGUCAAAAAUAAAAGAGAGAUUUCUUUGAAAAUAGUGAUUGAAUAAAGAGAAAUGGUAAUUUUUAAUUAAAUGUAAAGUUUAAAAAUAGAUUGGGAAGAAAAUUUAUUAUUUCUGUAUUUAAGCAACUUUUUUCUUUGAUAUUUUCCUGCAAGGGAGAGAGAUGGAAAGGUAGGUGGGAGAAUGAAAUAAUUGAAAAGGUAUGGAAAUAUUUAAGAGAGAGAUGAUAAUUAAAAAGAGGAAAGUGGGAUCUAUGAUGUAUCAAUAUUCAAUCAUGGGUAUGUUCAAAUGAUUCCUAAGUUGAGUGAAGAAGUGGGAAACCCUCAAACUCUUUUUAAGAAGAAAACAAAAAACCUAAAAACAAAAAUCAGCCAAAACCCACAAUGUCUACUGUUAUUUGUUACAUCAUCAAUCAAUGCUUCAACCUAAUUUAUCAACAACUCAUAACUAACUUUCAUUCUCUAAUUCCCCAUUAUUCCAUCUCUUAUUCCUAAUUCCUCACCAACUAAUUAUUUUCACAUUUCGGAACUUUAAAUUAAAGCCAAGAAAUGUAUUGAUCUUCUCCAAAUUUUGAUUAUUUUGGUCUGAGUUUAAACCUUUACCAUACUUUUAGUUUCGUUCAAAACAAUAUUCCAUUCUCAAUUAUGAUAUCUAAAGCUUCAAAAAUCUACCUUUUUUGUCAUAUUGAGGAUAUGGAGUGCAAUGAGGUUAGACUAUUCCUAUUCUUCUUGUGUUUUUAUACAAAGCCUUAAGAAAAUAUUCCUUAGUGAAGAUGGUAGACAUAUGCAAUAACGCAUAUUCUUCAUCUUUAAUUAAUUAAUUUCUCUAUUUAUCUCUUUGUACACUUUCCAUUUUUCUAAUUAGAGUGGUGGAUUAGAUGAAAGGUACAGAAUCCUAUUGAAUUGACAAUCUUCAAUCAAAUUUUGAUGAACUCUCCCAUUCCUAGAAUUUGAUGUAUAUCCAAAAAUAUUUUAGUUCCUUAUUUAAGUACUAUUAAUAUAAAUGGCUCUUUAUAACUGCACUUUCGUGAUGAAUUAGUAGUCAAAACUAAGAAUAUGAAACUUAAUUAUUAAUGAAGAAAAGUGGAAGACAAUAAAAGAAAGAAUAAAAUAUCCAAAGACUAAAACGGCUAUCUCUGCUUACGUUCACAUCCAAGAUUCAAUCGGCUACUACUCUCUUCCAUAUAAAAAUAAAUCAAUAUUUAAUCAAAGACCUACUUCACACACACAUAUAUAUAAAUAAAAACCCUCUUGAAAUGACCAAAAUAGCCCUUAGAUAGACAAAAGCUUCUAGAUCUUAUAAUAUAGAAAAAUCCCUGCGGUCGAUUCACCAUCCGUGCACUCACACACACACACACAUAUAUAUUAUUCACACACAAAACAAAUAUUUUCCCCCAAAAAGAAAGGGAAAAGCAAAUAAUAAUGAAAAACUCGUAAGUUUCCAUAGUGAAAUGAAACUCUUCUAAUUCUAUCAGUGAAGAACUGACUCCGAAGCCGCCCAUCUUCACGGCGGCGAUUGUAGAGGAACCGAAGAAAAGCUGUUUUUUGUGAAAUUUGGGUUUGUUUUUUUUCUUGUUGAAAUGAAGCCGUCGGCGAAGCCGAUAUCGAGUCCAGGCCGGACGGAGAAAUUUCCGCCGCCAUUGAUGAGGUUUUUGAGGAGCAAUGUGGGGAGCAAAAGCAGAGGAAGGUCUCGUGCUAGUCCGAUGAUGUUCAUGAGAAGGAAGAAUAACGCCACCGCCAUUGAAACCCAAGAGCCUUCAUCCCCUAAAGUCACUUGUAUUGGCCAAGUCCGAGUUCGUCGCUCCUCCACGCGCCGCCGAAAGCGUUCUGGUACUCGUACUCGCCGUCGUUGCCGUUGGAUCCGAGCUGCUCGGUGUUGCCCCUGUUUUCGAAAGAAAUUCAAACCCAAUUCUUCUCCAAUUUUUCAGAGAUUGGUCUCGUUUUUUCAAUGUGGGUUCCGCCGGAAACCCAAAGUUAGAACAAAUUCGCCGCCGCGUGAACCCCCCUUUCGUGGCGGAGUUGAAAUAUCAAACAAGGAAAUCCAAGUUGUCGCCGCUGUUGACGACGACGAUGAAGAAGAAGAAGAAGAAGAAACCGCCGAAGCGUUGAUUUCUUCAAAUUCUUCCCCCCCGAAAAACGCAUUGUUGUUAACGAGAUGCAGAUCUGCUCCAUAUCGAUCGACAUCGUUAGCGAGUAGAUUUUGGGGGUCUCCUUUGAAAAACGAGGAAAAUCAGGAAGAAACAGAAGAAGAAGAAAAAGAAAAAGAACAGAGCACAAAGCCCAACAAUGGCGGAAAAACAGUCGAGAUUGAGAAACCCACAUCCCAAAGAGCUUCAGUUUCGGAUCAAGAUCCAAGUGGAGGCUUAGAAUUCGAGGAGAACGAGGAAUUUGCGAAGAACAUUGACGAACAUUCCGUUCCAGAAAGAAUCGUGAAAUCAGCUAAUAUUAAACAAGAAAAAACAGGGGAAGAAGAAGAAGAAGUCCUCGGAAGCUCAUCUCGGCCGUUGAUUUUGACACGUUGCAAAUCGGAACCGUCGAGAACGGCGGAGAAGAUGAAUCCAGAAGUAGGAUUAUUCUGGAAAAAGAGAAGGUUGGGGAUUCCUGAUUCUUGCUUACCAAACAAUUCAUAACAAAUAUAUUUAUUAGCAAAAAUACCACUUUUAAUUCUUAAUUCCUUCUUCUUCUUCUUCUUCUUCUUCUUCUUAUUCUUACUUCAAUAUUCAUAAAUUUUCUUUUUCUUUUUUCAUUUUAAGUUCUGUAUAAAUUUCUCUAUCUCUGAAGCUAUGGUAGAGAAUCUCCAUAGCAAAGAAGAAAAAAGAAGUUGUGAUGAAGAAAUUGUGAAAAUUUGUUAAUCUUAUUUGCCCAUGAAAAUCUAGAGCUUCCAUAUUUAAUGCCCUCUUUCUUCUUUAUGUACAUGCAUUGCCAUGGCACCAUUAAUAUACACUUUUUCAGACACAUACAAUAACUUUUGGCUUUUUUAGUUUAUUUCUUUUAGUUUCAAAAAGUUUUUUUUUUUUGGGGUGUCAAAUUGCAAUUUUGGUUUUUAAUAAAGUUGGUACAAAACCUAAAGUCUUGAGUUUUUUGAAAUGAUAAAAACCAAAUUUGCAAUUUUGGUUUUUCGGAUUGGAAAUUGAAUUAAAUGUUCGUUUUGGUUUUGGUUAUUUUACAAGUUGUUGUUGUUGUGAGGUUGUAACUUCUAGGAGCGAUGGAAUGGGGAAAUUUAAAUAAAGCAUCUUUGGAUACUCUGACUGAAUUUAUUAAUUUAUUUGUAUACUUUUGAUAUUAUUAAAUUGAGUGGAAAAUGAGAGAGAGAGUGUGUGUGUGUAUUCUCUGACUGACCCACCUUCCCUUUUAUUACAUUUUUCAUUUGUUUCCUUCACAUGUCUUGUCUCCUUAACACUCUUUCUUUCCUCUUCCUUCUUCUUCACUCAAUGCUUCAUUUUUCCUCUUUUCUAUUAUUAUUUCACUUUCUUUUCUCUUUUUAUUUUUACACAUUUUGAUUCAAUUUUCUACUUACUAAUCAUUAGUGCUAUGUUUUAAGCAAUUCGAAGGCAAUUGUGUGCCCCCUUUGAAUUCUAGUCUUACAAUUGAAGUACAAGUAUUUGACUGUAAAUGUAAACCUGUCUUCAUAAAUAAAUACAUAUUCUCCACUAAUACAAUUGAUAAACUGAAAAACAUGUAAUAAGAACAUGUUUGUCAAUUCAGACGUAACUAUGUUGAUAAGAUACUAAUUAUUGUCUUGAAUUGCCUCUGAUAGACUACACUAGUUAGUGUUAUCUUGUUUCUUCCAACUUAAACAAGACAGAGAUUGUAAAUAUGUAACAGAGAAGAGAAGAGAAGAGAAUUUAGUUGCUAUCAAAUUCCAACAAAACAAAAUCCAAUAAACAGAAAUUUAAAGAGUGGUGCUGUUUGUUUGGCAGAAGUAAUAUAAUAAUUAAAAAAAGGAAAAAAAGAAAAAAAAGCAAAAUGGGUAGCUUUUGCCCAUAACAAAAAGAUACUGAGUUGCCUGAGGAGUAUAGCAAUGCAAGCAAGUGAACUAAAAGCCAACAAAACAAAAUAAGCAAAAGGCUAAAAGCUGAGUGUUUUAUAUCAACAUUUGCCUGUUUGGACAGAAUCCACAAUUAUGUUGAUGGUGACUUGAAAACAAUGAAUCCCAUAAAAAUACAGAGAGGGGACAAAAGAUGACUUACUUCCUUCAGUUAAAGGUAAACCCUUUUCUCAGCUUCAAUGUUCUCUAGUGUUCCACGUGAUAUUCAAAUAAGUAUUGCCCCCCAUAAAAACAUGUCUUUUCCCUAGUUGACUAACAUGUUUCUUGUCACAAAUUUGUGAGUGAGUCUAUUCCUGUUCAGAAAUGAGUGUCUUUGAAAUCUUCCUUAACACAGAAUUUCACACACUCAAUCAUGCCGGAUAAUUUCUAUUACUCCCGUAUGACAUCAAACUCUUUUUGUUCACAUUAUAAUUUGGGACCCUAAACUAAUGUAGGUGAAUCUCAAUCUAUUUUUAAAGUAUGCUCCAUGCCAUGCAGUGCAAUCUCUCUCCUGAUCUCUAAAGUCUAGAAUCUAGCUAUCCCCACCUUUAUUGAAAGAUUUAAAGUCCAAAAAAAAAAAAAAAGAAGAGAAGACGCUAACAGUAAAAAGGAUUGAGUUAAGGCUACUUAAAGAUGGAGAAACAUAAAACUUUCUGGUGUGUACCCAAGAGAGAACAGGAGGAAUAAUAAGUAGCGAAGAGUCAAUGGUACCUUGAGAAAAGAGCCCAAGUAAUAUGAGUUUAAAACUCACAAAUCAAGUUCCAUUUCUGAAGAGUUCUAAGACAGCAGAUAAAAUAAAUAAAACUGUUAAACAACUUUCUAGGCAGUCUAUGUAGGAAAAACUUUGAAUCAAAGCGUUCUACAGAGAAGGAAACCUCGGGAAGUUAAAUUUUUUUUUUUAUCAUUUUUCUUUUCUGUUCUUUUACUCUCCAGGUGCAGACACUCCUUGCUUCAGUCUUUCCCUCUUCAUCUUCUUUUUGGAUACUGGCUUUUUCUUCUUGGGAGGGAGAUUCUUCUGUGCAUACAAGUAAAGUGCAUAGUUCCCUACUAGGAAAAUCAGCAGCAACCCACCAACAAGAAGAAGUACUAUUAGUGCUGGAUUGAAUCCUUUUGCUUCAAUAUCAUUGAUCACAUUUCCCUGUUCACUUGUAGAACAAAAAAUUAAUUAACCAUCAACAUCAAAUUUUGAUGUUUCCAAGUAACAAAAUCACCCUCUAUCUCAUACUUUUCAUAAGUAAUGACUGAUCAAUGAUCUCGUGAGGGAAUUCUUCAAUUACUAAUGGAGAUACAUUUUUCAUAAUGUUAAGUCACAGUUCAACUAUGACUGGAUUUUAACACUAGGGCAUAAACCAAAAUAGCUUCGCUUCUUCGCUAUGUAUAUCAAACAUAGAUAAACCAUUUAUGAUCUCAAAUUAGUUCCCUACAAAAUCAAAAAUCAUUUUAAAUAUCCACCAAACCUUAUGAUGAUUGAGAAAUUGCAAAGCACCUUAAUCACAAGUUUCCAACCCAAUAGCUUGAAAUUCCCCAAUUUCAAACAACAAUUCGCCAGCAGGAUUCAUCUUUCCCUAGAUUUUUCCCCCAUUGACAAAUUCCAUCUCUAAGACCAAGCUCUCACAACACAUACAAUGGGUACGCCAAACAACCAGAAGCUGAAUUUUUAUCCUUUACAAUUUCAGCCAACAAAAAAAAACAAAAUUUCAAUCCAUACCAGCACUCCCUAACCAAAUCACCGCCCAACCAGGUGAAAUCAAGCUUUCAGAAUAAAGAAAAAAGACGAAUCUCCACGUACACUGAUCGAUCCAGACAAUCAAAUCGAAUAUACAGGCAUUCGAACACGGAAUCAGAAAUCAAAUUAAAAGAGAAAAAAAAAAAAACACGCACAGAUCUCGUGAAAUUGAACGCAAAAAAGCAAGAACCCAAGAGCCGUUCGACAAUCAUACCUUGCCAUUGGCUGAAGCCAUGCUAUGACUCAGAGCCGGGUAGAUCGACCGGCAAGAAGAUCCAGAAUACCGGCAAUUGUAGGGAUGAGAUCGAUGGCAAAGGGUUGACGAUAAUGAAAAUGUCAGAGAGAUCUAAGAACAAAAGAUGAAGAUUCAUAUAAAUCGGCGAUUUUGGUCCAACCGAGUUCCUGCGCUUUCUAUGGGCCGCUUAAUUGAUCGUAAUGGGCUCGUCUACGCUCCUUUGUAUUUUUAUUGUUAUUUGUUUUUUUAGAUUUUUCAUAUUUUAAAAUCAGUUUUAAUCUCCUAUUUUAGGUUAUGGAUUAGUCAACCAAUCAGAUUAUUAUUAUUUAUUAGUCUUUGAAUUUCCAUAUUUUUAUUUCAAUCCUUACUCUUUUAUUAGAAACUAAAAAUUAUUUUAAAUUUCUCAAUUUUGAAUUUUAGGUUUGCUCCCUCGAAAAAAAACAUUUUUAAAUUUUUAGUUGAAAUCUAAAAACAAAUAAAAAUUAUAUUAAUAAAAAUUUUGUUUUAAAUAAUUAAUUUUUGUACAUAUUUAUAAAUAUAAUAAUCUACUCAUCAUGAAUCAACAUAAAUUACUAUGUUUAUAUAUUAUGAUAUAGUUAUUUGCUGAAAAUAAACAUUAAUAUUCUGAUUUAUUUUGAACAUUCCAACAUACUUUGUUAUUAAAACUAGAUAACUAUUUUGUAUUUAUUUAGUUGUUUGUUUUUAGUUUUUGAAAAUUAAGUCUAUGAACUCUCCAUCCACAUCCAAAUUUAUUUAUCUAUUAUCUAUCUUUAAAAUAAAAUAAAAAUUUGAAAACUAGAUAAAGGUACAUUUUAAUUAUUUGGUUUUGAUGUUAGAAUAUUGAUAAGAAAAGGCACGUCGUGGUAAAAAAACGGAGAAUAGAUAAGCUUAAUUUUAAAAAACAAAAAGCUAAUUGGUUUUAAAAAGUCGCUUUUAAAAAACUUGUGUGUUGAUUUUGAAGGUAGGAUAAACGUUAACUCUACUUUAAAUUCUAAAGAUAGAAAAAAAUGAAAUAGUCGUGGAGCUAUGCUAAAGUUAAAAAAUGAAAUAGUCACAAAUAUAACAAAAUCUAUUCUACAAAUAAAUUUUGUUAUAAUUAAAAUUAUAUUUAAAUGUUAUUAUCCAUUUAAUUAUUAAUUCCCAAAUUGCAACCAUAAACAACUUCUUAGAGCGUAAGGUAGAGUGGGUUUGCGAUACUUCGCAUAAGGCCCAAGUUUGACAAAUUGGGCUUGAGAGAAAGCCCAAUGAUAUCUAGGCCCAUUCUUCCGGUACAAAACCUAACCGACUAAAAAGGAAUAAUGAUUAAUUAAUUAACAUGGAAAUAAAAGAAAAGUUGGCUGCUUAAAGAAAAGGUGUAUAGAUUUUACUUUUAGGCAUAGGCUUACUAUAUUUUGAUUUUGUCUUGAUUUAAAUGGCAUUCGAAAAGUUCAAAACAACCUACCAAAUUCCUUUUACCCACAGAUUGACUUCACAUCAUAACAUAUAAAUCCAAAGUUCCCCAAACGAACCCAAAUUAUUAUUUAUUUAGAUGAUGAGUAAUUUACUUUUUUUUUUUUUUUUUUUUUAAAAAGGGUAAAUAAUUGGAAAUAAUCCCUUUAAUGGAGACAUUAUUCCCACUUAAGCAAGCAAAAACAAGUUGUGGAAUCCUUCAAUCACGUAAUGCCACGUUGCCCAUAUCCUAUAUCAAAUCCUCAACCCCCUCCUCCACCAAGCAUUUAAUAAAAUCUCUUCCCGAUUGUAUUACAUGCAUAAUCAACCUAUUAAUUAUUCGUUUGGAUUGAAAGCUUUUUAAGCAAAAGACAAACAUUAAAUAUUCCACUACCCACUUUAGUCAAAUUAAAAAUAUAUUCAAGAGAGACCCAUCUUACCAAACUUUAAGAUUACGAUAAAGAAAACGAGGCUUAAACCUACAGAUCCAAAAACAACAGUCUACACAACACGGGUGAUAUCAACUAUACCUUUUACCAUCUGCACAAAUUUCUUUGGAGAAAAAUUUACAAGUAAAUUAGCUCAUUUUAUGCGAUAAGAGAUUGCAACAUAAUGAUUAUGGAAACACCUCUAGUUGUAGCCCAUAGACUUUCAAUGACAGGUUAGUUUUACCAUUAAAUACCUUAUUAAAAGAUGAGAACAACACCAUUAUCAAACCUAAUUAACUUAGCAGCCAUUUCCAUGAAUUAUUUGAUUCAUGUUGAAUGCAUUUAUUAUUAUUAUUUUCUGUCGACAAAAAAGUCAUCCCUUUUCCAAUCAAUAAUUCAUCAAAUUUUAUACAUAUAUAAAGUCCUUUUAGUACGAUAUCAAAAGAAAAGAAAAGGUUAAAGAUGUGAAAUAAAUAAACAAAAAACAUGGAGAACAUUGGAGUCACUUUCAAUUAUAAAGAAAAAUAAACGAAACAUGAACAAACUAAACUAAAUAAUUGAAAGAAAAAAAAAAAGAUCAAUUACGUACAUAUGAAUAUAAAUAAUUUAGAAAUGAAGUUACAUAAUUAAUCACUUAAAUUGAUUGAGAAGGACUAAUGAAAAGAAUAUCCACUUAGUUACAACAGCAUUUCCCCUUAUAAAUAUAAAAAUAAUAAAUAACCUAAAAAGCUACAAGUAUAUAUUAUAUAUUUUCAAAAGGGGGUUAGGUUAAUUUUGAAAGCAACAGUGCACCCACAAAACAAACCCUAAAGAGGAAAAAUAAAUAAAUAAAUAGAAGAAGGGGGAGGGUUAUUGUGUCAAUACAUUAAUUUUUUAAAAAUAAUAAUAUUGGAUAAGAUUGAAAAAUACAAUAGUUUAAUUUUUUUUUUUUAAUGUGAAAAUAUAUGUACCGUAUGAGUGGAUAAUGAUUCAAACAAUGGAUGGAUUGCUCACCGUCCGAUCAUCCAGUGAAAUUAAAUCCUCUCCAUUGAAGCUAUGCUCGGAGGAGGAAGUGGAAAUGGCUAUCAUGCCGUUGAGAUCGGACACGCUGUCUUGUAGAGUGAGAAGCAAAUGAGCGGUACUGAAGCUUGUGGACGGUUUAGACCGAGGCACGAUCGGAAUCUCUGAAUCGCCAAUUAACAUUUGCACUACGCCUCUCAUUGUGGGUCGGGUCAUUGGAUCCGGGUGAGAACAAGCUAACCCAACUAACAAAACUUUCCUCAUUUCUGAUUCCUCAAACUCGCCGCCCAGUCUUCCGUCAGCGGCCGUCAACAACCGUCCUUCCCUGUGUAAACUCCAAACCCAGUCUACCAAAUUACUGUUGGCACCGAAUUUUCCGCCACCGCCAACUGCGGUGCUAUCUUUCUCAAUUGGCCGUCUGCCACUAGCGACUUCGAGAACGACGGCGCCGAAGCUAAAGACGUCGGUUUUUUCCGUAGCUCGUCCGGUGAGGAGAUAUUCCGGUGCUAAGUAACCCAUUGUGCCAGCCGCGACGGUGGCGUCUGGGGAUUUAUCGUGCUCUACUUGUCGGGCUAAUCCGAAAUCGCCUAAUCGGGCAUUGAAUCCUUCAUCCAACAUUAUGUUGCUGGUUUUAACGUCCCUGUGAAUGACUUGAUUUUCACAUUCUUGAUGCAGAUAGGCUAAAGCGGAAGCGACGCCCAGAAGGAUUUUUCUCCGGUGAGGCCACGGCAGCGGCGUUCUAGCCUCGAAUAGAGCUUUAUCUAAACUCCCAUUUGGCAUUAAAUCGUAAACGAGUAAAAUUUCGCCUUUCUCGUGGCACCAUCCUUGAAGACGGACUAAAUUCCGAUGGCGGAGAGUUCCGAUGAUUGAAAGUUCAGAGAGGAAUUCAUUUUUCCCUUGUGUACUAUGGCUACACCGUUUCACCGCCACAAUGUCGCCGGUCUCCGGCAGAAUCCCUUUAUAGACAGUCCCAAAAGCUCCAUGGCCGAUGAUUCUGUUCGAAUUGAAGCAUUUGGUGGCGAUUUUGAGCUCCUUGUAAGUGAAUUCCUUAGGCAUUUUGAUGAUUUCUGAAGCGAGGGAAUCCGAUUUUUUAACCCGCUUGAUCUUUUUGGAAUAUACCCAAAUUAACGCGCCGGCGAAUAAUGCUAAAACAAAUGCCCCCGCCGUCACAACUCCGACCACCGCUCCAGCGCCUUGCUUGCAGAGCCCAUUGUGGCAGGACGUGGACUUGAAGUUCUUUUGCGUGACGGAAUCUGAACCGGAUGGCGGUUGCGACGGUGGCGGUGAACGAACAACAUUCGCCGUUGGGUUCAUCAGCGUCGUCGUUGGCGGCGGCGGAACCGACCCAGGUGUUGAAUCCGAGUCAAAUGACGACGCAAAGCUCCACCAGUCCACACUGUGAACUUCCGUACUCCCCUGUGUCGAACCGGAAAAUCCAACGUACAUAAAAUCGUUCAAAUACGGAUCAAGGUCGAGAUUGAACGACAUUAGAGGUUCUGUCGGUUUCAAAUUCGAAUAAGAAACAAAUACUUCGAAGAUCCGUGCCGACCCAUCGUAUUUAAUCCACGCAUUCACCGUAUCGCCGCUUUUAAGAUCGACUCCAAUUCCCUGAAGAUCUUCAACCUCUAACGAAACCAUUUCGUUCAGAUCCAAUCCCACAUGGUUUCCAUUAAUGUCCUUAAAUUCCACGUCCAUUAACGUAUCAAAUUCCACCGCCACGAAUCCCAAUCCCCUCUCGUCAGCCAACCCCAACAACCCACCAGCGCCGCCGAGCGUUUCAGCGUCCGGGGAUAUAACAAACGCCAAACCACCGCCGAUCGACGACGGGUUGAGAUUAGUAAUAGAGAAAGAGAAAAAUGUGGAGAAACUAGCGAGGUAAUCAAUCCCCGGCUGCCGGAAUCUGAUGGGUUUAGCGUAAAGGACUCUGCCGGAGCCGGAAUUUGGGACCGCGAGGUCCCGAGUGAGCCUCACGCUCCCGUUGUUCAAGUGGGCAUCGCCGAGUAGCUUUAAACUACUGAGUUCAACAGUGCCGAAGUCAAAUUCGGCCGCGGCGGCGACGGUGGCAGUGAAAUCGACAAUGACAGUAUUGGAAAUGGAAAAUAGAAGUAAUGUGAAGGUAAUUGAUGAGAAUAUUGAAGAGAAAUUCAACAUCAUCGAUAUCAAACUCUGUUCUUCAAACCCAUCUCUGGUUUUUUGUUGGCCGAUGAAUUGAGGAAGAGGAUGAUGAAAUCACGGGUAAGAGAGAGAAAAUGAAGAGAGGGAGAAGAAUGGAAUUUUCUUUGGCUUAAAAACGGACUAAACCUCAGCAUACAAACAAGGAAUACUAAAGAGAAUCCAAAGAGAAGAGUGAAGGGGACAAGUGGACUACCGUUCUGACACGUGGCUAUCCACAACGGUAAAUUUUUCGAUGAUAAAGCAAACUUUGUUUUUCUUUAUAUUUUCUUUCUUCGUUUCACACCUUUUACAGAGUGGACGGUUUUGUCGCACGUGCCUUUCCUACUGCGCGUCACCUCCACGCUUUAACCUUUUCUGUAUACUUAACCACAAUGUUAAUCUGAUUUUUAUCCUUUAUAUGCGGUCUAAACAAAUAUUAACGAUUUGUAUUUUUACUAUCUCUCGUUGUAAUUAAUAUUAAUCACAUGGUUGAUUUAUAGAUUUUGAACCUUUUUUUCCACAAAAUACAUCUUAGUUUUUGGAAUUGGAUCUAAUAAUGAGUAAAAAGAUAGUUAAUUUUAAGUAGUUCAAAUUAAAUCCGAAAUUUAGGAGUAAAAGUUUGAAUUUUUUUUUACGUUUGGUAAGGAAGUAUUAAUAUUCCAACAUAUUCCAUUAUCGUAUUUAGUGCAUGUUGUGAUUAAAAUAUAUACUACACCAAAUUUAUUCGAAAAGGACCAUAAUUUGCAAAUUUCAAAAUAUAAUAAUUUAAUAGGCUCCACAUGAUGAUUUGAAAGUCAUGACAAAGUUCUCUUUAUUAAAAAGGGAUAAUUGUUGAAGAUAUUGAAACUUUUACACAAAGCUACAAUAAUAAACCAUAUAUGAAGUCUUCAAAUAAUAAUAAUAAUAAAUAACAUUAAAUUAAAGGGUUGGGAUAUUGAAAAUAAUUUCCUUUAAGAAAAAGAAAUUGAAAUUGUUUUAAUUUUUGCAUUAUUUCUGCCCCGAUUUAAUAUAUAUCAAGUUAUUCCAACCUAUAAUUUUCUUCAUCCAUCUCGUGAGUCUCUAAACAAAAUGUCAACUAAUAGUUUAUAUAAACUAUAAGUGUGAAUAUGAUCAAGUUGUCACGUCUCGAACGCACUCCUAACUUCUAACAAAACAAGUAAUCUAAUCAUAUUAUAGGUGUGAACAAUGUUAAUAUCUACAUGCACAUAUCUAUAUAUUUAAUAUUGUAUUGAAUAAAGUGGUAAUGGUUCAAUUAACAUAUAACAACCAAAAAUUAAUAUGUAUAGCAUGAUUUCUAUUUGUCGGUGAGAUGACUUGCUUGCUUGACUUUAUAUUUGAUUGAUGCAAAUUUUGGACAUAUUGUUUAUGUAACUUUUCAAUGAUGGUUUUCUCUCAAAUAUAAUAGAUUCGACAAAUAAUUUAUUGACAAAGUGAGCACAACUCAACUAACACAUGACUAUAUGUUACCAAUUCAUAUUUGUGAUUCAAUCUACUUAUUAUUUGUUAUAAACUAUUAUAUAGUAAGAUUUAUUGAAUUUCUUAUACAUUUAGAGUCAUAAACUUAAUGGUAUAUUCAAUUUUUUUAAUAACUAUAAAGACGUUAAUUAGUUGUAUAGUAAAUAUUCACUCUUGAUUUGAUGUGAAUGAAUAAACAUUCAGGACUUAAGAAAUAAGGAAAAUCGAUUAAAAGGAAUUAGAGUAAUCUAGUGAUAAACAUAAAUACGACCUAGAGUUUUAGCACUUCAGAAAACGAUUAACACUCAUAUAAUAAAAAAAUAGAAUAUUAUACGAAACAAGUUUACGAGAUAUCAUCAUCCUCGUGGGUAGCUAGGAGUUUAGAAACUAAAUUAUAAUUCUAAUAAACUUCACCAAAAAUACAAAACAAAAUUGGAAGAAACAAAAAAGGAGAGAUAGGGACAAAAUAGUCAAACCUAAACAAAUGUAUUACGUUUGUUGUAUCUUUCAAAAUUUCUAUUAAUAGGUCACUGACUAAUGACUAAACGAAUGAACUACCGAAAGCGGUGUCGUUUUAAAAGAGGCGUCAUAUAUUCACAAUCAUCUUUCCUCGUGAACACGUGGCCCACCGUUCGAUUAUCCAUUUCUCUUUCCUUUCUACAUGUAUGGGUCCUGAUCCCUUUGAUUAGCGGCUGAGAUUUGAUGAUGAGCGCAUCAUGAUAUGAUAGGAUAACAGGUUGUGGUGGUGCUAAUCGUAGAGGAUCGGGAGGAGAUCUCGAGAAGAAUGGGGAAAUGGUGAUGACUAGGAUUUUCAAAAUCAGUGUGGGUCCCAUGCUUUGUUAAAAAUGCACGAGACCUCUAAUUAUGUGAAUCUUGACUAACCUUGAUCCGACGGUCCACGUUGGUUGAUUUUUUUUUAAUCAUGGAGUGCUUUUUAUUUUUUAAGGCUUUAUUGAAAAACCAAUAUAUUUUAUUUUAAGCAUUUAAAGAUCAAUAUAGGAAUUAUUCCAAAGCUUUCUUUUCUUUUAAUUUUACUUCACCGUUGAUUAUAAGAAACAAAUAUUAUUUAUUCACAAGACAACGAGGAAAAACUAAAUUGGUAAAUAUCAUUCACAUCAAUAAAAAAAUAUAUUUAAUUUUAAUUGAAUUAUGCUGGAAAUAGUUAAUUAAAAUAGUGGUAAACAUUAGCUCCCUAAAGUGUCCACUGACUUGAGUAGUACCACACCACAAAGCCACUAAAAACCCUACUUAAUAAACAAACAAUAUUGUAUAUCCCUAAAUUGGACCACUAGGGACUCUCCGAUCUUCUUUCUAGGUUAGCCAUGACCUCGUGGAAUUUGAUUGUGUUUUGGGUUCACCAAUACUCUUUCUUCUAACAGACUUGAUGUAUAAGAGCUUUUACUAUUAUGUGAUGGAUAUUGAUGCAUUGGUUACAGUUGUUCAAGUUAAAUUCUUCGUUUAGUGCCCACGUUCGACGAAUAGGAAAGUCUACUAACUCGCUCGUGCAACGCUAUUUGAUGAUAGUUAUAGGAUUUGUUUUGUUCAUAGAUCUUCAUCCUUCUAAAAUAAUAUUGGUUGAGAUUUUUCUAUGUUGCUAGUUGAUUUUUCUCUACCGGUAAGGAAGCUUGGAGCGUCAACUUUUCCUAAUUCUUAAUACGAUUUUUCUAAAUAAAAUAAAUAACAACACAUACUUUAUUCAUAAUAGCAUAACUAUUCAUCUAACUUGUCUUAAUUUUUUUAGUUUUAAAAUUUAAGCUUAAUUAUUUCAAAAAAAAUUGUUGACGUUUAUAAAUUUAAUUUUAAAAAAGUAAAAACGGUUGUGACAUUUGUUCUAAAAAAAGAUCAAUACGUUACUGAUUUGAAGUCAAACAUGCCUAUUACUUAGAAUUCCUAAUUAAGUUUCCUAUAAAAUCUAAUUAAGUUGGCCCUACCAGCAUAAUUAAGUACAGUUUAAAGUAUAAAUAAAUGUUUAACUUCGUAAAUUAAUUUUCAAUGAAGUGUUUUACUUUAAUAGGGAUGAUAUUAAAGAAUUUGUAAACUGAGUCAAUUUUAGAUCUAUGCUUUGAAUUAAAAAGUAAUUUAUUACUGAUAAUUAUAUCGUUGGUAGAAGUUUUAAUACAAAUAGAGCCUUUUUUUUUUAAUUUGACUAAUAAUUCUAUUAUUUACUCCAGAAAAAGAUAAAUUAUAAUACAAAAUUUAGAAGAAAUAAAUUUAAUUCCACUUUUGUUUCAUCCCAUGAGAUUCAAUUUGUACUUUUGAAUAUUCAAAUUGAGUUUUUUGGUAUUUUUAAUAAAUCUCACAAUCAAUUCUUGAAGGAUUGUUUUUCAAUAUAGUGAUCAAACUUGAUAAAAAAUUGGAUAGAACAAAAACAAGAUUACUUUUAACUCAUUCCUUUUUUGGAAUGGUAAGAACCCAAUUUGCAUAAAAAAUGAAAAGUUUACAUCACAAUACAAUUGAAAAGACUUGUAAAAGCAACCCCAAGCAUAAUUUUUUUUUUAUUCUUUACAAUACAUAAGCAAACUCAAUCAAUUAAGUUAAUUAAUUUAGUUUUACUUAUUAACAAAGCGACAAUCUUUCCUAACCUCUCCUUGAUCUCCAGUGAGGGGAUUGUUCUCAGAUAACAAACGAAUGCCCCUUGAGAAUUGGGCAUGAAAGUAGAGAUUGUCAGCAGCAAAUUUCUUGACGUAAGGUAAAGUUAAAGGAUUAGAAACCAAUUCUUGGUCCACUAUGAGCAAUCCUUUGUGUUUUAGUACGUUACUGUAGUACAUGUUAUCGAGAAUCAUCGUAGUUUCACGGUCGUUUCUUGAAUACAAUACUCCGUUUGGAUCAGGAGUUGGUGUUGGACAUCGCAUCUUUAGGUAUUUGGCAUAUUCUGGAUCGAUGGUGGGAUCGACAGUUGGAUAUAGUCUUUCGACUAAGUUUACGCAAUGAACUCGACCGACUGAGUGAGAUCCUGAAAUUAAAUUAAUCAACAAACAUAAGCUAGUGAAGUUAAAAAUUGUAUAUAUAACACAAAAACAGUAAAAAACUAAAAUACCUACGUCCAAUCACCAUUUUAAAUGUUUUUUUUUUUUUGUCAAUUUUCUUAAAUUAAAAACUAUCACCGAUGACAUUUAUAAGUGAUAACAACUAUCAUUUAUAGCAUAGGGAAACGAGAGGGCAUAAUUAAUAUUUUUAAAAAGUUUACCAUAUGAUUAUAAAAAUUACUAUUUUUACAAAUAUUAUUGUCUUGUGCAUUGUGCUAUUCGGCGUCGUUUUCCAAAAAUAAAAUCAAAACCCAAAGGAAGGCCCAUUUACCCAAAGGAAAGCCCAAUUGAAGAAGCCUCUUAUGACCUAUUAUUACUCGGCCCAGUUAUUUGGUUCACCUAAUUACCCAUUUAAUAUUAGAGAUAGCUAUACGAAUAGCAAAAAGCGAUUGGAAUAAGAAAAAUAAGAAAUAAAUUUGGUCAAAAUUAAAAUGAAAAUUAGAUAUUACAAAACGGCUUAUGAUUUAUUUUUCUUAUUUUAAAUAACCAAAAGUGUUAUUUUUUGAAGAUUACAACUUUGAGUUUUUUUUACUCUUUUAAAAUUAUCUAAUAAGUUAUUAAGUUAAGUUUGAGGAAAACUAUAUGUAUUUGUCUAAUAAAAUCAAGCUCUAGUAAGUCAAUCAGAGAAUAAAUAAAUGUAACUAACUCAAAAUUGUAUGAAGUAGACUUGUAAAUUGACGAACAAGAAACAAAAGAGUUGAAAAGAAUAAUAAUACAAACCUAAAAGGGCGACUGUUGCUUCAGUAUCAAUACCAAUGGAGUUAAAACGAGAGAGAACAUUUACAAGAGAUGCGUUGUGCUGUGGAACCAACUCCUCAACCAUAUUUGAAUAACUCAUUUUGCUGUCUUUUCUUCCGGUUUUCAAAUCUAUAUGAGGUCCUUUUAACUGUACAUCAAUUUCACCCCAUUACAAAAAGAACAAACACAAAUUUUAUGGAUAAAAGAAUAUAUCUUCGUCAUUGAAAGAGUUACGAGUUAUAUAGUUUGUCUUUUUUAAAUAUUUUAAAACUACAUUUUGGAGUGGGAAUUCAUUAAAGCUUUGGACAAAAGUUGGAGUAUGAAACCAAUAUGUGAUGGUUAUUUGAAAAGAAUGUUGAAACUCGAACACUGUCACUCUCGUUUCAUGUCUCAAUUUUUAUAUAAAGUUUGAGUGGAUUCCUACAGUACUAGAGGUUGUUGUUGCAAUUUUUUUUAAAUGUUUUCAAAACAAACAACGACAAAGUUUGAGAGAAAGAUGAUGGAAUAAUAUACCAUAACUAUGCCAUCUCUAGCAGAGAGAGCAACGAUGUCAGCACAAGAAACAGUGAGAGGGCACUCUUUCUCAACAGCAGCUUUAAUCUUAUUUACAUAUUUGAAAUUUCUCAUUCCAAAGCUUCUGCUUGAAUCUUUCUCUGAUUCCACUCCCACCACCGUCUCCAACAGAAGUGACGCAUCACAAGACUACAAAUACCAAAUCACACCAAACACUAUUAAUUUCAAGAUAUAAGUUCAACACAAUUUGACACGAUGAUGUUACAUAAACUCAUGCACGUCUGUAGCUGACGUUGAAUUUGUAAAACGAGUUACUUAAAUAUUACGUCAAUUCACAAUUAAGGUUAAAUUAUAAGUUUAGUUCUUAAUACUUAAUAUUAUCUUCAAACUGUUUGAAAAGUCGAUGAAUUUUUAAUUUUGUCUUAAUAUGGUCAUCAAGCCUCCCAAAGUGCCUAAUUAAGAUUAAUUUCAAUCUUAAUAUGUACAUAAUUGUUUUUAUUUAUUUAUUUUUAUUUCGUGGUGUGAUAUUUUAUUUUUAUUUUAACAAAUAAGCACACACACAAAUACACAAAUAGUAUACUCUAUAGUAAAAGCUAUAAAUUAUGUUAGAAUAGUAUACCGAGGGGACAUAGGUUUAAUUUGUAGGGUUAACCAAAUGAUUAAUUUGCAAACACUUAAAGAAAAUUAAUUAACAUAUAAUAUGUCUAUUUAUCUUGCUUUCCAUCCGUAUCCAAAAGGAUUAAAGGAAUUAAUUAAAAUAUAAAGUUUAAUUAAUUACCUUAACAAUGCAAUCAUGGAAGAGAUUUCUAAGCCACGAAACAGCAGUGUUUCCAUGUUCAUAGUAAAGAUCAAUGACUUGCUGUUUUAUAAUCUCUUCAGCUUUUGGACAACUUUUUGCAUAGUAAUUCAGUUGCAACUGGCCCCUUCCUAUUUUCAUUUUAUUUCAAAAUUUCACCCAUUAAAUUAAACAAUACAUUACAAUCUAUCGUUAUGAAAAAGAAGAAGAAGAAGGGAACUAAAAUCAGACCUGAAUUAAAGAGCUGAAAAAGAACAAGAAGAAGAAGAAAGCUGAAAUGGGUUUUGGCCGCCAUUGUUGAGCUUUUGAAGCUUCCUGGUUUUUAAGUAAGUAUGGGCAUUUUUAUGGUCCUUUUUAUAGUGGAAGAAGAUGGAGAGUAGGCUUAAUUAUUUAUUUGCUUAAUUAAUUAUUUUGUGUAUAUGUGGAUUUAUAUUGGGUCACCGCCGACGCAAAUAGACAAUUAUUGGAGAGCAUGAGAAAAUAUUUAUUUGUAAUUAUCUUCAUUUAUUUUUUAGGAUUUUUCAUUUUCAAUGUGUAGUUGAUUGAUAAUUGAAUUUAACUACAGUCCCUCAAACAAUUUUAAUUUUUUGUUUUCUUCUCUAUAUUGUUUCAAUGAUCUUAAUCAAGUUGUUGAUGUGAUGUUAGCAGUUAAAUUUAAGCAUAAUUGAAUUGAUUAAGACAUCUCAAUUCUUAUUUAAAUUUCCUCCUUAUGAAAAUUACAUCGUACUAAUAAUUAUAUAUACAAAAUAAAUUGAUGAAUUAACCUCAAAUAAGUUGACGAAUUAACCUCAAGAAUGAUCAGAAUUUGGUUAUGAGAGUUUGAGGUAUUGUAUUGGAGGGUUAUACAUUACUGAUAUGCCAAACAUUUUGACAUAUAUUAAACCUAAUUUUUGUUAAUUAAUCCAAUGAUUUUGGAUUUAUGUUUGAAUUAGUUUGAAACAAUAUAUAUUUUUUCCGAUAAAAAUGACUUAAAAAUAUUUCGAAAUUAAACCUCUUGGAGCCAUUGAAACUAAAUACUCACAAGAACCCUACAUCGAUGCGUAAAUAAUUAAAAAUUAAAUUGUGUUCAUGUUGUUAAGAUCAAUUUAAUAUUAAAUUGUGUUCUCUGCCAACUUUUAUGGUUGCUACCAUUAAUAUGAUAUGUCAAAGUCAAAUAUAGUGGAAAAUUGGUGCAUUAUUAAUGUGACAUGCAAUUUUUUUGUUUAAAAAGAUAAAAUAAAUAUAAUUAAAAUAACAUAAAAUAGAUAAGAUUAUCUUUGGAGUAUGAUGUUCAUAUUUUCAAUAUUUAUUUGAUCAAAAAUUUUAUUUGUUUAAAAUAAAUGUUGGUCUAAAUAAUUCUAUUAUCCAUCAUUAAAGUUUAAAUUUGUAUUUAAACGAGUGGUUUGAUUGUAUCUCACAUAUUUAUAAAGCAACCAUUUAAUCUCUAACAAUAAAUUUUUGUUAUUUUUAAAACAAAAUUCAUGAGUUGUUUAUUACUAACUUUUCAAUUCCAAUGAGCUUUUGUGUAUAAAACAAGGAAGAGGUAGGGUUUUAUGGAAAGAGUACCAUUAAUUGUAUAUAACAACAAAAAAUUUAGGGGAAUAAAAUCAAGUUUAAUUUGUCAAUAAAUUGGAGAGAUCCAUGAACUAAUUUGGGAUCCUAAACUUUCUAAAUUGGGCUAAUUAAUUUGGAAUCCCAAUAUUAUUAAAGUUGAAUGAACAUGCAAAUUUUAAUUAAUAAGCUACUUAAUUUCAAUUAACCAAAUGUAGAAAUUAAUUAUUUCAGUAACAUGGGGAUGGUUUGACUUUUCCGUACAAUCGGUGCUUUAAAAUUGGUAAGUUGAAUUGAACAUUAUGUAUUUAUUAUUAUUAUUUUUCCUUUGACUAAAUAAUUGAGAGAUUUUAUUUCAUAUUAAAAAACUACUUUUUAUUCUUUUUAAUAUAACUAAUUAACUAAUAAACAAAGAAGAGACUCAUCACACCCAAAUUAGGGCAAUUAGAUAGCUUUUCCAAUUACAAAGGGAGAGGGAGGAGGGGUAACGAGACAAUACAAUUAUAUUUGUGGUAUCAUUUGACGAGUGACAUUAAGAGAAACUUCAAAAACUUUAUUAGUUUCUAUUGAAUUUAUAAACGGUUUAUUAAGAGAACAUAUAAUGUCUACCCAUCGAAUUUAAUUAUCUUAUCAAAGAAUAACUUGACACUAUUUUUAAAAGUAAUAUAACAUACACGAUAACUCUAGCUUGAUAACGGAAUUAGAAUAAUCCUUUAACAUGUGAAAGUAUUGGAAAAUUUUGUUGUUUUAGAUGUUUGUUGAGAGUAUACUAUUGGAUGAUUGAGUUAAAUGUAGUUUAUAUUGUAAUUGUUGGUGGACAGUUUACUUUACCUUCAACUUGAUUUAUUUAAUUAAAGGUUUAAUAUUAAAAUUAAUUGGGGGUUUAUUAUUUUGUUAAGAAAUGAAAAUUUCUUAUUAUAUUUAAUUAGUUAAAGGGUAUUUCACAAAAUAAACUAUAAGUAUAAUUUUAAAAUAAUGAAUGAUUAGAUAAGGAAUAAGUAGUUCAAUCAUUUGUUCAAAAUCAUUAGAGACUUUAUAUAUUUUGUUCGUUAAACUAACGCUAGGUUUAAAUCUUAGUCCAUACCUCAAUAUAUUUUAAAUUUAUUAUAUCUUUAGAGAAGAUGUAGGGAUGAAAAGUUGGAGUUUAAAUUUACUUUAUCAAAUUUCAACCGUUCAUUUAAUCAUCACAUACACAUCAUUUUACUAACCAUUUUAUCAAUUGACAUCUUCAAUUUUUAUAAACUUUAUAAAGGAAGUAAUUUAGGUUCUUAUAAAGAAUUUUCUUUAAAGAGCAAGUCUAUACGUUUACUCUAAUAACGAAUUUUGUAAAUUUAAGAUUCCAAAAAGCUUAUACAGACGAUGAUGAGACUAUAAAUUUGGUAAAAAAAUCAUAAAUUUAUAGGUUAUAAAAAGAAAUUAAAGUAAAAGAAAUUGAAAAUUUGUAGGUAUGUGAAAUGGAUAUUCAUGGGAGAAUAUAAAAGGUAUGAAAUGGAAGUCUCCCAUCGGCCAUCCCAUUAGACGCCACUUUCUUUGACCACACAAACACUCUUUUCCCAUCACGCGAGCACCCAGCGUUGGGUCCCGUUUUUUUAAUUUACUUUUACAAGUUUACACCUAUUGAAAAUUUGUAUAUAAUUUCAUUUUGGUCAUAAUAUUUUCUUACUUUAUCUUACUUUUAUCAUCAAUUUGGUAACAUAAUAAUUAAAGAUUUGAGUUGAGACUUAGACGUGUAAGAUUGAUUUAAUUAAAUUAUUAUAAAUACAUCAUUUUACUUCUUUCCUAAGCCACACACACACAUAUAUGUAUAUAUAUAUAAAGAAAAAUAGAUAUAUUUAUUGGGCCACUGCCUAACUAAGUCAAUAGGAACUUGACAAAGUAUGAAUAAAUAAUAAUACAAAGUUCGGUUGCCACAUGCAUUUCAAACGUAUUAUUUUUAUUUUUAUUUUUGUAGAGUUUUAUUUAAUUGUUAUAUAAUAAUAAUGAUUAUGAUGAUGAUCUUUUAUUGUCAUGGAUUACUAAACAAAAGGCAUUUUGAGUCUUGACUUUUCUGUCCUCCAAGAGUGUUGUAUUUACACAUAAUCUUUUUUUAAUAUUGGAAGAUGAGAUACAAAAGAAUAUUAAAGGUAUAAACGUUUGAUAACUUUUAUGUUGCUUCUCUUUAUUAAUUAACAUUUUAAAUGACUUCAUUAGAAACAUAAAUAACAAAAAUGUAAAAAGAAAUUGAAUUGUAUGAAAUAGAUUUGAAAAAUAUUGGUAUAUUCUUAAUUAUUUUAAAUGCUAUUUUUUAAAAAAAUAUAGUUAAAAAAUGAAAUUAAAUAGAUUAGGGAUAAUUUUUAUUUAAUUAUUUUAAAGAUUUGGAAGAUUAAUUUUAUUAUAAUUCUUGAAGGAAAAAAAAAAGCAAACUACUACAUUUCAAGUAAUUUUCUGCCGUGAGUGAGGUAACUCUUGGAUUCUCGACUUCUUUCUUAUACUUGUGUUUCUAAUCUAUCUCUAAUAUUAAUAAAAAAAUAUAUUCUUUUUGCUACCUAGUCACAUAAUAUGAUACCGAUAUCCAUGCUGUCUCAACCUUGUUUCAAACAAAAAAGACAACGCUUUUUUUCAAUUAGAAAAGAGAAAUUAGGAGAAAGAUAAAAUAGGAGCCAUCGUAUAUUGUUGUUUUCUAAUGAAAGAAAAUGUCAUUUUAAGAAUAGACGGGAUAGGAAUCUCUUACAUACCCAUAUUGAACUCGUAAUUCACAUUUUUAAUUUGGAAUGAUGAAUCUUGUAAAGUCGUGUGAUCCAUAUAUUAUAAAACGACACUAAAAUAAUAUACAUCCAAAUACAAACUAGUAUAAUCUAGAAUGUGAUAACCAACAUAUUUAAAUAAUCGUUGGAGAGAAAAACAAAGAAAAGAACAUUAAAAAAUAAUUUUGAGAAAAUAUUACUUUUUAAAUAUAAAUAUUUCUUUUAUCAUAUUUCAUAGAAUAUUACAUAAUAUAAAGUUGAUUUAGAUUAGCAAAUAUUGUAAUCUUAAUAACAUGUUUUCUUCUUUUAAUUUUAUGAUUUCUAAAAUGGGUUAAUUUGGAAGGUGCAAUUAAGAGAAAAUUUGAAGUGAUAUUAUGUUAUCCAAAUCAUAUUUAUAAUGAACACAAUCACUUUCAAAACCAAACAAUUUUUUUUUUUAAAAUCUAAAUAACGUAAUAAUUAAUUAUACAAUAGAAAAGAUAUUUUCUAAUUUUCUAAAAAAAAUGAUUAAAAGUUAUCCAUUUCUAACAUUACUUUAUUUCUAUUUUUUUAAAAAGUCAAAUUAUUAAUAAUUUCCCCAUUUUAUUUAUUUGUUAAUCAAUUGAGAGAGAUUACAUCAAUAAUUGAAAAUAGUUUUUAUAAAGAUAAAUAAUAAUAAAGUAAUUGAAAAUUGUGAUGAGAUUGCAAACAUUAUCCCUUUGAAGCUAUCCAAUUUGGUGUCAUUUUUUAGAUUUUUUCCUUAUUUAAUUAUUAAAACAUAUUCAACAUCUCACAAAAUAUAAAAUUAUUUCAAAUAAAUUAGAGAUCAUAAUUGAUUUUUUUUUAAAAAAAAUACUUAUUUAUUCUUUUAUGUGUAAUAUCUAAUAACCAUUUAUUUGUAGCAUUUUCAUGUGAGGUUCAAUAAUUCUAUAACUUUCAUUGGGAGUCUUUUAUUAAUAUUGACUUAGCUAAACCUACAUGACAAAUCUGACUUUCCAUUUCCCUUUAUAUGUAUUUAUUUAUUUUAAACAUUUAAACUUGUUUAAUUUUAUUUAAUCUAAUUGUAUUUUCGUGCCAUUUUUUGUCGUAAAUUUUUGUAUAACAUCUAUUUUGGUCAUUUGAUAUAUACGUUUUUUCCUUAUCUACCUAAAGUUUGUCUUUAAAUUUAUGUGGCUUAAAUUCAUGCAUGCUUGCAUUAAUAUGCUAACAAGCAUAACAAACACAACGUCAUGAAAAAUAAUGUUAAAAAACAAAAUUAUCGAUCAAAAUGAUUAUUCUUCUAAAACUUUCUAAACUAGAAUAUUACAAAAUUUAAAGUUAAAUAAUCAAAAUAUGACGUUGUAAGUUCAAUAAUAAAAACAAUAUAUAUUUGUAUGUAUUGGAUAAACGUGUAGUAUGUUCUUAAAACUUAGAAAAAUAUCUUGGAAGAUCUCUUAUAUUUACCACACGAGAUUUUCGAUAUCUUAUACUUUUUUAUUUUUUUUAUGUCAAAAGUGUUUUUAUUUUUCUAAAUCUAUUGGACAAUGAAUUAGAAAAAAGAAAAACUUUAUGAUGAUUGUUUUUUUCUAAAUGGAAACGUAUGCUUAAAGGAAAUCCAACCUCAUAUAUUUUAAAUAAAUUAAAAUAUCUAUUUUAUAAAAAUCGAAAAUGACAUAUAUUAAAAAGUUUUCUUAGGUGUCAUGCGUCAUAUCAAUUAACGAAAAGACAAAUUAAAAUAUAACGAGGCCCAUUGCUCCAAAGGUUUGGGCUUCCCAAUUAUACAACCCCAUUUUGAUUGAAGCAACCACCCAAAAUUUCCCUUGGUAAGGGAAGCAUUUUAAUUUGUAAGAUUCUUGAAUGAAAUUUUGUUAUAUACCUGUAUUAUUUAGAGGAGUUUUUUUAAAAAAUAAUAAUAAAACAAAAAAAAAAAUAUUUGAAAAUGUUUCCUAUAGUUUAGUAUUAAUUUGAAAAUAGUGUAACCCAUUUUUAGAAGCAAAGGAAAAAUUGAAUUCCCCACUUCAUCUUGAUGUGACAAAAUUUAAAUUGACAUUGGGAAUCUUCACAUUGUUACGAACUCCACUUGCUUAUUGGCUUUUUCUCAUUCAUUUAUUAUUCGCUUGUCUUGCAACACUAUAAUUUUUCCUUUCCUUUUCUCUUUUUAUUUGUAUUCAAAUACAAACUUAAAUAAAUAAAUAAAUAAAAUAUUAUUUUAGUUCCAUAUUUACAAAUUUUGUUCCACUUAUAAAUUAUUAUUGGGUUUUAAUUUCAACCUUUCCAACUAUUAGAUUUAAAGAAGUUAUAGAUGAAUCAAUUUAAAAAUAAUUAAUUAUUUAAAAGAUAAGAAUGGAUGACUCGAAUAUUCAUUUUAAUGAUUCACUAAAAAACGUGUCAAAAGCAUUCAAACUAGAGCAUAAGUUCGCUUGUUUGUAUGAUUAUAUGUUUGGAAUUCACGUAGUUUAUAUAAAAAAAUACUGUUUAAAUUAAAUUAAAGUAAAAAGAUUUCAAAUAAUUGAGUCAAAAUAUUUUUAUUGAAUUUCAAAAGCAACAGUUUUAGCCCAAGAUCUGAGGUGUUUCUUCAUGUCAGAGGUUGAAGAAACCUUAGGCAUUCUUAGAUCUAAAAGAGGAGAAUUUGGUCUUCUUAUUAUCCAUGCCUCUGAAAGAUAUGGUCUUGCUAUCUCUCUCUUCUUAUUUUUAUCAUCAUCAUCAUCAUCAUUUUCUUUGUCGUGGUCACCGUCGCCAUCCUCGUCAUCUUCAAGAUUUUGUUUGUUUAUUUGAGUUCUGAGCCUUUGCAAACCAGGUACCAACUUCACCAUUUGAGGGCUCAAACUUUCUCUCUUAAAUUCAAACCCUAAAUCCAUAAACCCUUUCACUUCUUCAAGCUCCAACUCCCCCAAGCUUUUGCAACUUGUAGAUUUGUUCAAUUUUCUUCCCACUACACACACAAGAAUUCUUAUCAAUGCCCAUCAAUUAUAUAUAUAUACAUACAGUAACUCAAUGGGUUUCCAAAAAGCUUAAAUAUGAUAAUAAUUUUAAAAAGUUUGAUUCUAUUAUUCAACCUGAAAAUUUGAGACCGUUGAGACUUUGAUCUUCACUUAACUCUCUCUUUGCAUCUUGUUUGUUUUUGUCUUCCUCAUUACUAUAAUUUUCCUGUUAAGACCACAAGUAAAUGUUUAUACAUAUAUAAUAUUAGAUUUACUUUUAAGAACAGCAAAAGUAAAAUGGGUGGUUUAAGAGGUCAUUGUGCAAACAACAACUUAUACAUUGUUACUUUUCUCACCUAUCAAUAUCGAUUUCCACUUGUUUGAGUAUUCUAAAUUUUCAAGCUUAACAUUAACAUGAUAUUAGAGCAAACACGAGGUCAUAUAUGUUCAAAGUCUCAUGAUUAAUUCAUUAUUAAUAUUCAAAAUCAUUGGGCUAGCUUGUUAUUCGUGUCUAUUUUUAAGUUGGCCAAAGAGGAGUAAAAUAGUACUUAUGGAUUCCAGUGGUGGGGGAGGGAGGAGGGGUUACCUGUGAGACGAGGGAGAUAUUGUCGGAUGAGGACGACGAAGAGGAGGGAAGAAUUGUUUGAUCCACUAGAGGUGAUAAUGGGGAAGAAGGGAGGAAGUUUGUGAAAGGAAAAGAAGAUGUUGAGUUAAGAAGAUUGGGAAAAUGGGAAGUGAAUAAUGGAUCGGAGCUGCAAAGAAUGAUUUGGUGGUACCAAAGGCGAUCCAUGGCUGAAACUAAACAUAAGGUAUUGUUUGUGUUCAUAGCCAUUGGAGGGAUAGGGAGAAAGAAAAUAAGAGCGUGGAAGAAAGGGAGAAAAAAGAGAAGGAAAGUUUGGGAUAUAAGAAACCAUGGAAGAGGAGAGAGUUGUGGUGGAAAUGAAAUUAGAAUAUGGAAUGAGUGAAAGCCAAAGAAAAAAGAGAGAAGAAUAAGUUUGAGUGGAAAUGAAUUCCCUUUGGAGGAAUAUUGGAGGAUGUGGUUACAAGUGAACAUUAAUCCAUAUCUUUAGUUUCUUUUUUUCUUUUUCAAUUUUCUGUGCUUAAAUUACUAUUUUGCCCCCAUAUAUAUAUACACACUCUUAACUUGACUUUAGACUAAGCAACUAGAUGGAUUGUUUGUUGAUUAAAUUACAAAUAUGAUUUUUAUGGUUAGGAGAAAACUAAAAUUAUCAUAUAUACACACUCUUAACUUUUGAAAGGAUGAAAUAAAUACCAUUAUUAAUACAAAUCUUUGAACGAAAAGAUAAUUAUUUUGGGAAAUCAUAAAUAUUAAUUUCAUACAAAAAUUAUUUUAAAUUUUUAAUUUUGUAGUUAAUAUUUUAUCAACAAAUGGGCAUUUGGUCUAGUGGUAUGAUUCUCGCUUAGGGUGCGAGAGGUCCCGAGUUCAAUUCUCGGAAUGCCCCUUUUAAGUGCUUUUUUAUUUCUCUUUUCCAUUAGUUUCCAGCCCAUAAUUGAAGUGGGCUGCCCGUCUUCAUACCAGCCCAUAGUUCAAUUCUCGCCUUUCUGCACGCAGUCGCCCCAUCUUCUUCAAUCUUCUGUUCAGUUUCCACGCUCGCCUUUCAAGCCGGUCACCCUCUCUCUGCCGGUGUUCAGUUGCUCGCACUUCUUCAACCCAGCCACCCCCACCCCAACACUCUCCACUUGCCCUUGAAACGGACGCCCUCCUUGUCGUCCGCCUUCCCGCCACACUUUGGAUUUGGUGUUGAACUUGUUUUCUGCUUAUAUUUUGGUAAGUUAAAUAUUUUGAAUUUGUAGUGUUGAAAUUUGUUAAAUUUGUGUUGUUGAAAUUGUUUAGUUAAAAAAUAAAAUUAGUUUCAAUUCCAAAAGCCUUGAAUCCCAACACAAUUAAAAUAUAUAACAAAGAUAUCAAAUAGCCCAGUGUAUGAGUCAUUACACGUCUUUUUUGCGCACGACUUCUGUAGAGAUUGUCGGAACCACUUUCACCGCCGUUAGUCACCGGAAACCUACCGGAGCGCGGAGGCUAAGGAUCGAAGAUGAGCGUGAUCGACCUUUUGACCAGAGUAGAUGCGAUCUGCCAGAAGUACGACAAAUAUGACAUAGAAAAGCAGAGAGAUCUCAAUGUCUCCGGCGACGAUGCCUUCGCUCGUCUCUACGCCACCGUUGAAGCUGACAUUGAAGCCGCUCUACAGGUUUGACUCUGAUCCCUCAGUCAAUUUCUCAGUUUCUUCUGCUGCUGAAUAAGGAAAUGAAUGUUUUAAUUCUGACUUAGUAGCCUCUUCCGUUUCUGAUCUAGGUUUAAUUCUGUGGAUAAAUCUUGGUUUACAUAGAUGAUUUAGCAUCUUAAUUUGCUGGUGAGGAGGGCUGGGUUCUAAUUUAGGAGUGUUUUGUGUGUGCAGAAAGCGGAGGAUGCUUCUAAAGAGAAGAAUAGGGCAUCCGUGGUGGCGUUGAAUGCGGAGAUUCGUCGUACGAAGGCUCGAUUACUGGAGGAAGUUCCCAAGUUGCAAAGGUUGGCUGUAAAGAGGGUUUGUAUUCACUGUCUUCACUGAGUUUAUUUUGAAAAUUCACUCUAGUAACUCCACUUCCAUCUUAGAAGCUGUACGUCUCAUAUGAAUUGAUGAGAGGAUUGUGAAUCUAUGACGAAAGGAUUAGGUUCCUAAAUUCAUUUUGGAACUUAGGAUGGUUUUGCAAUUUUUAUACUCAAUUGAAGUUGAGCCACUGAAUUUGAACUGUCUAGCUUCUACCUAUAGAUUGCAUUGGAUGUUCACAUAAUCUAUUGACAGGUUAAAGGGCUAUCAACUGAAGAUCUUACCACUCGAAAUGAUUUGGUGCUUGCAUUACCGGAUAGAAUUCAAGCUAUACCAGAUGGAACUGUGACUACCACGAAGAAUAAUGGGGGCUGGACAUCCUCAGCUUCACGGACUGAAAUCAAAUUUGACUCAGGUGAUGUAUUAAAUUCGGUUGAAUUGUUCAACCGUCUUUCUGAAACUUUCUUUCUACUUUAAGUUGUCAAUACCAUGAACUAAUCCUAUAUUUGAUACGGACAUUUAAAUUAAUAAUAGAUGGGCGGUUUGAUGAUGAGUACUUCCAACACACCGAGCAGUCCAGUCAGUUCAGGCAGGAGUAUGAAAUGAGGAAAAUGAAGCAGGUAAAUUAUAUAUAUCCUAGUGUAGUCUCUUUGUUGAAGAAGGAAGCUUUCGUGCCUAAUGGCCAAUUGCUGUGGUUUAAACCCUUCAUUUUGGUGCAUAUGCAGGAUCAAGGAUUGGACAUGAUAUCAGAAGGGUUAGAUACUCUGAAGAAUAUGGCACAUGAUAUGAAUGAGGUUAGUCAUCUUCUAGGCGGGAGAUCUUAUUGUUAUUAAUUUUUUUUCCCCUUACCAACGUAUUAGUUGAUAGUGAUUGUGGUAUGUUAUUUGCAGGAAAUAGACAGGCAAGUCCCUUUGAUGGACGAGAUUGACACUAAGGUAAUGAUAUCUCUCUCAUUAGAUUUUAUAUCUCUAAUUACACAUAUGUAUAUGUAUAUAUGUUCUUGUAGUCUCGAUGUUCAUGCUUAUGACAACCACCCAAUUUUCUUUUUGAAUCAUGGCAGGUGGACAAGGCUGCAUCUGACCUUAAGAACACCAACGUUAGAUUAAAGGACACAGUUAACCAGGUUUUGCUCUGUUCCUCCGAUCUCUAUUUAACCUUUAUUGUCAGUUCUUGUAGUGUAUAUUCCUGACCCUUGUGUACAUACGUGAUUAUCCUUAUUCCUCGUGCAUGCCAAAUACCUAGAUUUAUAUGUAUAUUUGUAAGAAGUUUGCAAGUUUAUCUAACAUGAGUUUUAUUUUGCUACAGCUAAGGUCCAGCAGAAAUUUCUGUAUUGAUAUCAUUUUGUUGUGUAUAAUCUUGGGGAUUGCUGCCUAUCUAUACAAGUAAGUUUUUACAUUCUACCUGUCUCCUAAAAAACGAGAGCUGUAAUCGUUUAGCAUUUCUAAAUCAUUUUUAAUUCUCCCCAUGUGCCAUCUUUACCAUUUUCAUCAUGUACUGAAAUUUGUCAUUGGCUAUUUUAUGGGUGGCUGACUCGGAAGGGAAAAUAGAACUUUUAGUGUUGGAGAUGUUAUUUGAUGAUGUUUGGGAGUUGGUGAAGUUUGUUUCCUUGUGGGCUUCAUUCAUGUGGCCUUUUUGUAACUAUGACUUUAGUUUGAUUUUAUUGGAUUGGAGAUCAUCUUUUGUAGUUUUUUGGGGUGCUUUUUGGGCUAGUUUUUUUUGUACGUCCUGUACAUUCUUUCGCUUCUCUUCAUGCAAGCUUGGUUCUUACCAAAAAAGUUGAAAGAAAGAAAGAAAGGAAGAAAAAGGAUUCAUGUUUGGUAAACUGAUGUUAGACCUGUAUUAAGUCACUUUUUAAAAUUGUUCGAGGAAGAGGCAUUUGGAAAGACUAGAGAAACCUGGAUCUCUGGGCCCUGGGGUAUUGGUUAAUUGAAAUUUAACGUGCUUGGUUUCUUAUAAAAUGCGCAAUCAAUCGGGAUCCUCUCUUUUGGGCUGCGAUGAUGAAUGAGAAUAACAAUAUUUUCCUGGGGAAUGGCCUUGAGAUAGGUACUAACUAGCGAGUGGCCCAUAAAAUUUCAUAUCCAUAAGGUCUUAACAACCCGACCAUUCAUUAUCUUAAAAAUUCUAUUUAAUUUUGUACGUUUCAACUUAGCGGUUCUUUAGGCAAGUGCAACUGAAAUUUGUUAUGGAAUGUGGAAAUAGUACUCUAUCUUUGCAAGUUCAUGAUUCAGAUCCUAUCUAGUUGAUCGAGCUUCCAUUCCAACUGUAGUACUAUUAACUGAUUGGGAUUUCUAUCAGAUCUUCUAGGGAAUUGUUGAAAGUUAUGCGAAAUUCAAUUUUUAUCGAUUCAUUUUAUUUAUUGAUUUACGUUGAUUAACCUCAUAUAUUAUAGAAAGUGAGAAUCCUGUUACCUAAGGAGGUUCUCGAAUAAAGAGUUUGGGAUGUCUAUAAAUAACCUUUGAAGGGUCUAGGCACAAUCUUUUAGGCUGGGAAGCCUGAACUUAAAACAAUGUCUUUGGACGUGUUGCUACACCUACAAGGUUGAAAGGAAUAAAAGGAAGUGUCUUUUGUUUUUUUGGGAGAUUUUAUCUCAUAAUUAUAUCAAAACUCGAAACUGUUGAUAUGUUUGCUGAAGUUUUUAUGUUUCGUUCCGUUAACCAUGUCAAAAUAAUUUGAAAAGUUCUAAAAGAGAUUGUCUCUCUCCGCAGUGUGUUGAAGAAGUGAGCUAACAAAGGGGAGAAAUCUUCAUGUUCUCGUGGAAUAUUUGUGUCAAGUUUGCUAAGAAGAAUAUCUGUAUCCAGUACAUUAUCUGAUCGUGUUUGUGUUGUUUAUAAUAUUUGUAUGUCAUAUUCUUUUACACCGGACUCGCUGUGUACUAUCAAUUCUUGGUUAUGUUGCUUGAUUCUUUAAUGUUGCACUUGUAUAACCUGUCCUUGCUUUUGGCUUCAAAUUUGAAUACUGAUAGCCCAUGCUUGACAUUUUAGAUCAGAUGUAGAAAUCAAGACAACAUGUAUUGAAAUGUUUUGUGAUAACAGCCAUCUGAUCGAUGAAUGUCGUUGCCAUGUAAGCUCAUCCUUCCCUAAUGGAUUGUAUACAACCACUGCUUUUGUUUAUGAUAUCAAUUUGGACAUGCAUCUCAAAGUGGAUCAUGAUCAAAACUUUGAUCAACAAAUCGAUUAAGAUGGGUAGUCCUUUUGGCUUCUCUCGACUACCCAUUAUAGCCCAGGAGAAAAUGGAGACGACGAACGAGAAUUGAGACCCCUUGUUUUACUAGAACUAUGUAGGUUGUAGCGUUGUAAGUUUGAGCCAAAUAAGCACUCUUAGUCCUUAAAUAGUGUUCACAUCAGCAACAAUUUUGCUCUAUAAUACUCAAAGGAAUAUAUAGGAGUCGAUUUCCCUCUUAUUUAUGAACACAGUAAAUCAUGACAAAUGGAAAAAAAUAACUGAAAUAGUUUGAUUCGAAAAAACAGUUUUUCUUCUUUUUCAUACAGUUCUUUUUUUUUUUUUUUUUGCGUUAAAUUAUCAAUUUAUUUUUUAAAAAAUUUAUUGAUUAGCUGAAGCUAUUUUCUUUGAAUAGUAAAAAAAAUUAUUUGAUUAUUCAUUUAACAGAUCUGAUCAAGACGGUAAAUAAGUUUAGAUAUAAUAAUUAAAUCCAACUUGACCAUUUGAUACCAUUUUAUGUCAUUUUCUUCUUGGAUUCCUUCUUUGUUUUAUUGAUUUAUUUACUAUUAUUUUAUUUUAAAUGCAUUAAAUAAUGUUAUAUCUUCAACUAAUUUGAUAUAUACACAUUUCUAAUCCAACAUGUUUGACAAUACACAGAUCAAAUAUCGCAUGUAUUUUCUCUAUAACGUCACUUUCUUUUUCAUUUCAAAAUUAAGUACUACUUAAAUAAACUUUUCGUUAAUUAACAAGUAACAUGUAGGUUUGACGCGAGAGACGAGAGGGAUUAUUUAAAGGAAUACAUCAUAUUUUAUAUAUCAAUCUUAACCUAACACGCCCAUCCUUUUAGACUUAAAUAAAGAAAUUUAACCCGACUUUAUCUCAAGUUUGUUUUCAAUUUAGUAAUUAAAUUAUUUAUUUAAUAAUUUUCGAUCGUCUUAUAUAAUAGCAAAUUGAAACAUUUUUUCAGUGAAGACAAAAGAACAUUCUAUGGGCAUAUAUAGUUAAAACCAAAGAACCAUGAUUAUAAUUUGUCAUUAAUUAAUGGCUCAAGGAACGUUAAGCCCUAUGUUUUUCUUGUGGAAUUAAACAUUGAUAUUCUUUGGAAGAAUCUAAUCCUUAAGAAAUGAGAGUAAAUAAUUAAUAUAAACAAUAUAUUAUACUUCCAUAAAACCCUAACUAUGUGUAUCUAUAUAUAAACAUACAAUAUUUAUUAAGACAACUUGUCACCAUCCUCAAGGCGACAUGGUAGCUAAGGAAAAAAAUUUGGGCACAUGAGUGAAGAAAAUUGUUUGAAAAUAUUAUAAUCUACUUAUGUAAUUAAUUGUGUAAAGUCAUAUAUCUAAUUAAGGAAGGUUUAGAAGAUUAAUGAAUUGAUUGGAUUGAUUUUUAAAUGUUUAAAAAUAAAAUUUCACCUAAAAACACUACUUUGUUUAAAUGUUAAAAUGUCAUUUCAAAGAAGCCUUAUGUCUUGUCAAAACCAGCACACUAAUUAAUUAAUAAAAAUAGUAUAGAGCCUUUGAGUAUAAAUUAAUUCAUAUGGCUUUAAUUUGUUGUUGUUAUGAUAAUAAUAAUUAUUAUAUUAUUAUUUUGAGGAAAUAGAAGGAAAAAUUGAUUGACUAGAAACUCUAUAAUUUUCUUGAGCAAUGUGUAAUUAGAGAUAUAUUGGUUAUUGUAAUACACCUGAUUUUUUUUAAGAAAUAAUUUUGAAUGCAAAUGUUUCCAGAAAUAAAAUACAAACUUGUUCUGUAAAUAAAAAAUAAAAAAUCUCAUUCAAAAAUUAAUUUGUUUUAUUUUGAAAUUAGUUUUCAUACCAUUUUAAUCUUUUAACUUUUAUGUUUGAUUUCAACUUUCUCAUAUAUAAAUUUCAAAAUUAUACAAAAUUAUGGUUUGAGUAUUAAUUUGAUCACUAUAUUUCAAAAUUUAUACUUUUAACUUUGAUGGUUUACUAAUUACUCAUUUUAUUUAUUUAUUGUUAACGUCUAUUAUUUAAUUUUAAUAUAGUUUUGUUAUUAUUUUUCAUCAUUGAAUUCAAGAUAAAACCCAACAUUUAAUUUCUUAAUUGUUUUAAAUUUGACGAAUAAACAACAAUUCCAAUAACUAAAUGGCUUUGAAGAAUAUUCUUCUUGAGAUUAUGAAAGUAUUUAAUAAUUUUUUUAACUAAGUUGUACUUUAUUAAUUAUAUAAUGGGUAAUAAUUAAAUAAUUAAAAGGAGGAAUGAAAAUGAGAUAAUAUAAUUCAUGGCUAUCAAAGGGCAACAUUAUUGUCAUCUCUUCCUCUCAUUGAUAGAGACUCACAUGUGAGUAUGUAUUAUUAUUCCCAAUUCCCAAAGCACUUAUUCCCUUCAAAAUCCAUUUGUGUGUGUGUGUGAAUUUAUUUUAUUACCACAUUUUCAUAAUUUUGGGUGUAUAUAUGAAAAUGAAAUCCACCUUUUUAAUUAAUUUGUUUUCUUUAAUUUUAAAUCACACAAAAAUGAAAAAAAAUAAAUGGGUACGAAGAAUAUAUAUUAGUGAAAUGAGAUUAGACAUAUCAAAAUCAUACAUAUUCAUGACAUCAUGUUUUUAUUAUUUGAAAUCUCGAAUUUAUUUAAUUGAUGAGAUAUUGAUGUAUCAUCUAUAACAUGUCCUUUAUGUGGAGCAUACUGUUGUAUAGACAAGUCAUCUAUAACGUCAAUUAUAUAAGAUAUUGGGUUCAUAGUAUCAUAUCAUAUUAUGAACUAAAUUAAAGAUAAAUAAUUACCCAUUCAGUGUAAUUUUUUUUCUCCUUUUUAAUUAACCAUCGUAAAACUAUGUUUACAUCACCAACAAGUAUGGCAAAUAUAUAUGUGGAUAUGGGUAGAGAGGUUGAGGUGAUAUAUGUGUAGAGAGUCAAAUCAAUCAUAUAUUGACCCUAUCACAUAGUAUAUAUUAAAAUGUACGAGACAAUUUUACGUGAGAUUCAACGCAAAACAAUUCAAGCAGGGGCUAUUUUUAAAUAUUUUUAUCAAACUAUAGAGAUUAAAUUAUGAUUAUAUAAAUUACAAGACCUUCUAAUUUGAAAUAUAACUAAAAACUAAUAAUUUUUUUUUUUUUGUUAAUUUUGUAAAUAAUUUCAAUAUUUUGUUAUUGUUUAGUGACAUAUUAAAAAAACAAAAACUAAAUUGUUACUCCUAUGCAAGGUCUAUUUGUUCAAAAAAUAAAAUAUCGAAACACUUUUUUUCUUAAAGAAAUAAUAUGUGAAGAGUUGAAGGAUCAAAUCUCUUACGUUAAAAGUUAAUAUUAUAAUUUUGUACUCGUUGAUUCACCCUGAUCAUGUUGAUCAUCAUAAUUAAUUAACUAUUAAAUACAUUUUUUUAGAGAGGAAGAUAUCGAAAAAUUCUUUCAAGAAUUUUUUUUCCCCCCAAGAAGUUAUGCAUUAGGACAUAGACAUAUAUAAAGAAUGAUAAUAGUAAUAUUAAAAAAAAUAUCACCAAAUAAUCUCAUAAGACACACUGUGGAUUCCAAAGCAAAUAUAUAUAUAUAUAUAUAUAUAUUUGGAAUUUUGGUUUUGUUAUUAUUUUGAGAUUCUCAAAACAUUACUUAGAAAAUACCAUACAUUUGGAUGCGUUUUACUUAAUUACUCCUGUGUGUAUAUAUAUUUUCAUACAUUUUCUAAUUCUCUAGUUAAUUAAUUAGUUUGAGACAUAUAUAUCUAAGUAGCUGGAGAUGCAAAUUUCUUUACGCUCUACAUGGAUCAAACUAAAAAUUAAACUAUCAUCAUCAUCUUCAACAUCUCAUACUUAAUUUUCUAAAAAACUAAUUAGUCGAUAAAAUAGUAAUUAAAAUGAAACUACACCACAUAUCCUAAAAUAUGAUAUACUUUCUAAUGUUAUCAUGGGACAGCCACAUUGUUCAAUCAAUCAUACUCGAUAAAUUUUACGUUCGGAGACGAGAGAGAGAGAGAUAGAAGGAGAGAUGGGGGGAAUCUGUUAAUCUCUCUCAUCCAUGCAACAUGUACAUUGGAGUGUGUCCUUAUCUGGUCGGACAUAUAUAUCUUUAGGGCUCAUUCUCUUCCCCACCUGUGUGUCUUUAAAUUAGGGUUUCUUUUUCUUAUUAUUAUAUAUGAGAGAGAGAGAGAGAGAGAGAGAGACAUAGGGUUUUGUGUAUAUUUCUUAUAACUGCAUGUGUUAGAGAGAGAGAGAGCAUUGGAUACCAAAAUAGGGAUGGGAAAAAGCAUAUGUGAUGUGAAUGAAAAUCCAAGAGAAAACAGACAAAAGUGGUUCAUAUCUCUCCUUGUGUAUUUAUAUAUAUAUAUAUGUAGUUUUCUUUACUCUUUUUUUAUUCCACAAAAUCAAAAUUAAAUUGUCUGCCUAAUUAGGCAUCAAUUAAUUAUUAAUAAUAACAAUAAUGGUGUCUCUACAUUUUGGAUUAUGAUUCUUUAUUAUUCUUUUUUUAAUUCAACAAAUGUAGGGGGAAAUUGUAAAUUUAUGAGAAUAAAAUUAGGAUAAUAUUUUAAUUGUUUAGUUAUGUUCAUGCAUGCUUAUGAAUAUAAUUACUUUUUUUUAGUUCAUCCCUGUUAAAAUUAUUUUAAGAAUUUUGUUUGCUCCAAUUCGAAUGUAAUAUAGAAGAUAAAAUAUCAACUAAACUUGAAGAUUUAUAGUUUUUUUAUUUAUUAAUAACAAUGUAUUGUUAAUAGUGUUAAUUAAUAAUAUAAACUGAAAUUAACUAUAUAUAUAUAAAAAUCAUGACUCCUUAAAUCAUGGGUUCAUUUUCUUUAGUCUCCUUUAAACAACUAAUUAAAACAAAAUAGAGCCCACUUAAUUUUCAUAAAUACAUUUAUUAUUUUAUUUUUAAAACAGCAAGUUUUUUUAGUGAUCAAAAUCCUCUAUAUUGUAAACUUUUAGGAAAUUAAAAAAAAGUUUUGCAAUGAAAUUAUCUAAAAUAACACGUUAAUACAUUAACAAUUGGGUUAAUUAUAACCGAUCAAGAUCCACCAAAAUCGAUCUAUCAUUAUCAACAUCAAUCGAUUUUUAUUAGAGAAACGAAUACUCAAUCACACGACAAAUAAAUCUUCUCAAAUCAAUUUAAGUGAUUCAAACUCCAUCAAAUUCACCAACAUACACACAUGAAUCACAUCCCUACGUACUCAUGAUUCACAUCAAAGAAAUCUUCUUCUUCUUACUCCUCUUCUUCUUCUUUUUCUUUUUGAACAAAAAAGAGUUGUGAUUACAAAAUAGAUAGAGACAAGUAAAGGUAUCACGGACGGAUGUGUGAAUUACAAAGCAAAAGCAUAUGGGGAAAUGUAAAACUAUAUAUCAUAUUAUAUUAUAUGAUAUGAUAUAAUAUAAAUCUAUUCUCUUUCAUCUGUCUCAAUGUCUCUGACCCUCUGAUUUGUUGUACUAACAUUACAAUUGCCCAAAAUUACCCUUUAAUAAUAAUUAUUACUUAAUCAUUCUUUUCCAGAUUCACCCUCAUAAAGUUAACUUACUUUUUUCUUUUCUACCAAAAAGAAAAAAGAAAGGUCACAAGUCACAACUCACACACCCUUUAUUCUUUCUCUUUGUUUUCAUUACUUCUAGGUAGAUUAGGUACUUUGUUUUGCUAUACAUUACAAUCCCCCCUUUUUCCACAACCUUUUUCUUUCACCUUUCCUUCCUUUUCCAUUUGGUUAAUAGAUAUGUUCAUUUCUCAGGUGUUCAAAAUUUUCGUCUAAGUAGUGAAUGAAAGAGGAAGAGGAAGAGUUUCUUGAUUUUUACACGUAAAAGCUAAAAUUUAUUGUUUCUACCCGUUUGUGUUUCUUUGAUUUAUCUCGGAAAGUUUAGAUUACCUAUAUAAUUAAUAAAACUUUUGCUAAAAGAUUAAAAAAAACCCUAUAAUUGAAGGAUAAUUCUUCAUGGAAACCAUAAUUUUCAUUUAAAGAAUUAUUCUUACUUAGGUCCCUACAAAAUUAAAUGAAAAAUCUUGCAAGAUAAAGAAUGAAACGAGGAGCGAAGAUGGAAUGGCGAAACCAUUCUCGACAUUGUCCCACCACCUCGUGGAUAUCUCUAUCAUUUAUAAACACAUAUAGGUCCACUAUUUUUCAUCUUUUUUCCUUUUGUUUAUAUAUAUAUUUAUGAUGGGAAUUGCUUUGAUUGGGUCGUUGGUGCUAGUGUUUUAAUAACGGUGUUCGUGUGUUUAAAUUAAUUAGUUUGAAAGAUGGUUUUUGAAGUUUGGAAAAAGUGAUUGAUUGAUAUCAAAUUUUCUUGAAAAUGAAACAACAGUUAUUAUUGGGUUUUGACUUAUGCCUAUAGAAACUUAAUUACCAAUUGAAGUUUUAGGUAAAGCUGUUGUUUGCUUAAUAGUCUUUUGUGAAAGGAAAGAAUAAUAAUGGUCUUCUUUUUUUCUAAAAGUAUUCUAUUAGAUAAAGACAAUCACAUGGUAGUUAUUGGACGUGUGAUAUGAAAAACAUUUUUGUUGUUGACCACAAGUUUAAACCUAUAGGUAUAUUUUGGGAGGAGGUUUUUGACUUAUGAACUUGGACUAUUGUGUAAACUAUAACAAAUUAUGAGUUCAACAUCAUUCAUUAUAAGAAAGAUAAAAUUUUCCAAUGCAAAGAAACAAUUGUCGGGAGAAUAGUAUCAUGGAUUGAUUUAUCGUUAAAACACAUAUUACCUCAUUGAAUCCAUAUAUACCUUUUUAGUUUCAAUUCCCCUGUACUCAUUAACACAAUGAGAGAGUCAAACAUCAACAUAUAUUUAUUUCAUAUAGUUCACAAGACAAAAGUUGGUACAAACAGAGAGAGUUUGGCGUAGUUAGUAAGUUUACAUCUAUCUAUCUAUAUAUAUAUAAUUAAUUAAUAUUAUAGCUUUGAAUGUAACUCAUCACAAAUGGGUCCCUCCCUUUUUUGUAUUGAAAAGUUUGAAUGUACUAUUGAAGUUUGAACCUAAAAAAAGUUGAAAAGAAAUGAAGAAAUAAAUUAAACUCUAUACAUUGUGGUUACAAAAGCAUAUGUAUAGAAAGAGAGAGAGACAAACAGAAGAGAGUUGGUUGUCCAUUCCAACAUAUGGCUUCCAAAAUUAAUGAGAUAAAAAGAAUAAUACAAUUUAAUAUUAUUCCUAGUAUUUUAAACGAAUCAUUUUUAAAGAUAGCGAUGAAUUUGGCAAAGUUUCAUAUCUAACUUAUUACCGUAUAUAAUUGAUAAAAUCUAAAAUUUUGCUAUAUUUUGUACAUAUUUUGGUUCAUUUUAAUCAUUGUAGUUCUAAAAUAUUCAUUUUGACCUCUAUAUAUACUUUUAUUUUUCAUUUUAGUUUGAACUUUCAAAAAGUGAUAUUUUUUAUCUCUUAAAAUCGAAGCAAAAUGAACAUUUGAAAGUAUAAAAACUAAAAUGGACCAAAACUAUAAUCUCGAUGCUUAGUACAUACACGAGGAAUGUGAGUUGAGUUAAGUCGAUGGUUGGACUAAAAUAGUGUUAAAGAAAAAUAAAUAUAUUUGAAAACAGGAGAGAGAGGGAGGGAGGGAGGGGGAAAGAGAUAUAUUCUUUUUCCAUAGAGAAAAACACGUUGGUUUUUGGUGUUUUCUUAAAAAGCAAACAAAAGAGGGAAAAACCACACUUCAGAUCUCAAUUACAAGAAAAACACACACUCUCUUCUCUCUUUUUUUCUUCUUUUCUCUUCUCUUCUCUUCUCUUCUCAUCAUCACAGAUAUAAAUUUUCCUUUUUUUUUUUUAAUUUUCUGUUUGAAGGUCUUUUGUUCAGAUUCGAAGUCUUCAAAACUUCUUUGGUUUUUACUGUCUUUUGGCAUAACCCUAACAUUUAGUCUUCUUCCAGCUGAUAUCUUUUUUCCUUUGUCAACAGAAGAUCAUCAUCAUCAUCAUCAUCAUCAUUUUAAACACAAACCAAAAAAAACCCUUAAGUUUUUUAGCUGUUUGUCUGCAAAUUAACAAAAAUUUAAAAAUCCCUUGGUCUUUUCUUGUUUGUUCUUGUCUAAACCGUUCUUCAAUCCUUUCCCAAAUAAGAAUCCAAAAAACAAAACAAAAUUAUGUCAACUAAUCCUUUUUCUCUUCUCUCUUCUACUACCACUUCCUUCCCUCACCCACAAGAUGCCAACCCUAACCCUAACCCUAAACCGAAACCCUCCGCUGCUGCUGCCAAGAAGAAGAGAAACCUCCCCGGAACCCCAGGUGAGCAGCUUAUUCGUUCUUGUUUUCCUUUUUUAAUAUUUAUAUUAGGUUUUUUUUUUUCGAUGUGGAGCUUCAAUAAUCUGUGUGUUGUUGUUGUAGAUCCUGAUGCGGAGGUUAUCGCUUUGUCGCCGAAGUCGCUCAUGGCGACGAAUAGAUUCAUAUGUGAAAUUUGUAACAAGGGGUUUCAGAGAGACCAGAAUCUGCAGCUUCAUCGACGAGGGCAUAACUUACCGUGGAAGUUGCGACAACGGACGAACAAGGAACCGAUUAAGAAGAAGGUGUAUAUUUGUCCAGAAAAGACAUGUGUCCACCAUGAUCCGUCGCGAGCUCUCGGAGACCUCACCGGAAUAAAGAAGCAUUUCAGCCGGAAGCACGGCGAGAAGAAGUGGAAAUGUGACAAGUGUUCUAAGAAAUAUGCAGUUCAAUCUGAUUGGAAAGCUCACUCCAAAACUUGUGGGACUAGAGAAUAUAAGUGCGAUUGUGGAACUCUUUUUUCCAGGUAAAUUUUCCCUCAUCUUUAAUAUUCCAACCAAAUUCAAGAAAUAAUGGGUUAGAAAUAGAAUCCAUUUUUUUCUCACCAUCGGAAAGAUUUGAAGAAACGACUAUGUUUGAUACAAAGCAGUUUGAAACUGUAGUAUCACAGAUCAGUCAGAAUUCGAUAUCCAAACACGUUUUUCGAAUCAAUGGGUAAUUUUUGAAUGAAGAAAAAGGCAAAAACUUAACUUUUUCACUUUUCUUUUCACUCUUAUUGUUAAAGACAGAAGUAAUUAAUGCAAGAUUAUGUCUCUGACCUAGAAAUUGAAUUAAUGACAAAUGAUUGGACAUUAAAAUUAAAAUGUUUUGAUUCUUGUUUUUUGUUUGCAGGAAAGAUAGCUUCAUAACUCAUAGAGCAUUUUGUGAUGCUUUAGCUGAAGAAAGUGCAAGAAUCACAACAGUUUCAGCUACAAAUAUUCUCAAUAAUCUAAGAAAUGAUUCAAAUAAUAUCAAUCUUCUUCAUCAACAAGCUGAUCAUCAUCAAUCUUUGAUUGAUCAUCAUCAAUCUCUUGGAGAUAUUUCUGGACUUUCCCAAUUCACUAAUCAUUCAGAUCAUUUCUUGAGAGAUUUUGAAGAUCAUCAACAAAAGAACAGAUCUCCAUUAUCACUUUGGUUGAACCAAGCUUCUGCUGAAAAUGCAAUCAACAGCAACAACAGUAUUUCCAACUUUUUUGGAGCUUCUUCUUCUUCUUCCAAUCUUUUCGGAUCGAUAACCGAAAACGGGCUUUCGAUGUUGCCAGUGAUGGAGAAAGAAGAUGUUGAGAAUAAGGGAAGUAAUAAUAAUUUUUCUAAAGCUACAUCAUCGUCGGCAGCAGCGCUGUUGUCGGGUCAGUCUUCUCAGUCUGUUGUUUCUUCUUCUCCGAUGUCGGCCACUGCCCUUCUGCAAAAAGCUGCUCUUAUGGGCUCAACUAGAAGCGGCAAUAAUAAUAAUACCCCGCUCUUUGGUUCGGGUGCUUUCGGAGUCAUGAGUUCUUCGUCGUCGUUGUCCUCAUCGUCGUCUUCCAAUGCAGUAAGCAGCUUGAACUCUCUUAAUAAAUCUAGAAGCUUGACAAUGGUUGACUCGGUUCAGAUGAUCGGUAGCAACUCCGACUUAAGCUCGAAUUGUCUCAGCCAACUUCUAAUUCCACCAAACGGUAAAUUUCAUCUUUUAUCCAUAUCCUUAAUCCCAUUUUAGCUAAUAUACUUCGAAAAUUACCGCUAAAUUAGAUUCAACAAAUGACGACUAUCAAUAUUAACUGAGAAAGAAAUACUGAAUUAUGUUCAAAUCAAUCAUAUAUAUAUAUAUAUAUAUGAAAUUUUAAAAUCUUCGACUAAGUUCAAUGUGACUUAUAACAUUUCUCUAAACUUACGUUGACCUUAGAGCUUAAGAUAAAUUUAAUCAUUUAUUCAUAUUCGUAACGCAGGUAACAACGCUAUGAGAAGUAGUGGACAAACGAGGGACUUCCUCGGAGUCGGAGGAGGAGAAGCACCCCGACCGCCAUUCCUUCCACCAGAGCUAGCAAAAUUCACCACCAUAAACUCAACAAUGGGACUAAGCCAAUUUGCCGCCAACCACUAAAAUCUCAUCAUCAAAAACCAUCAAACUUAAUCAAAAAUAUCGGAAAAGGUCAGUAAAAAAAGAAAAUAACCACUGUCAUAUUUUAAACCAAAUUACAUUUUUUUUAAAAAAAGGAAAAAACAUAAUGAUGCGGAAGCUAAGCCAAAUUUCUUUUUUACAGUGCAGGGCGGCGGAAACGGUCAGAAGGGGCCGACGGCGGGGCCACCGGUGAAUGUUUAAAGUUUGGCAGUUCCAGAAAGCAGUAAAAAGAAGCCAUGCAAUGCAAUGUAAACUUUUUUUUUUCUUUCUUUUUUGUUAUUUUCUAUGUUGUCGUUUGAACUUUUUAAUUUUUCUCCCCAUUUCUUUUCGUAAUUUCGCUUUCAAAUUAUUGCAUUUGCCAGAGAAAAGAAACUACUUCUAUAGUUCUACAUAUAUAUAUAUAUAUAUAAACUUAUAUACAUGACUACUGGUCAAACUAAUCUGGCCGGCAGCCACCACCAGGUCAACGUCGGUACCCUUCAAAUAAUAAUAGUACUUCAACUUGUUUCUAAUUAAAAUUAGUUAAUGAUAAAAAUAGUUUUGAUGCAACUACAAAAAGGACUGAAAAUAUUAAAAUACUAAAAAAUACUACAUAAUUUCUAAGUUUAUCAAUAAAAGAUAUUAGUAAACUUAUUUAUAUGUUUUAGAUUUGAAUUAUAUAUCUAAACUUUCUAGUAAAAAAUAGUGUUGUAUAUAUGUUAUAAAAAUAUGCUUUGUUGUGGGAAUUUGUUCGUUGUCAUUUAUUUAUUUUAGUUAAUUUUAUAAUCAAUGGGAUAAAAUUAUAUAUGUGGAUUAUAUAUAAUCUUGUAUAACACAAUUGACUAAGAUGUUUUUUUAGCACAAUAGAUAUCUACACAGUUAAAUAAGACUUAUACUAAUUAGGUUAAAUUCCAACCUUCCAUUUGAUCACUUGGUUGGAACUCAAAGAAAAAAAAAUGAAGUCUCAUAACAACUAUAUUAUAAAAUUAGAUUAAAAUACCAUUUUGGUGUCUCUAUUUUCAAAUUUGUUCAUUUUUAGUAUUUUCACUUAGAGUAAAUCUUAAAUUUAUUCCCUUAAACUUAAUUUUAAUUGAAAUUGAUUAAAUACUCAUAAUAAUGUUUAUAAAAAUAACACAAUAUGUGAAUAUAUUUUAAAAUUUUAUAGUGAAAAUGCUAAUAAAAACUUGAAAAAUAUACAAUAAACCUGAGUUAUAGUAAUAAGAACUAAUUAAAUUGGGCAUUUAAGAGUACAUAAACUGAAGUUAAACAUAAAAAAUGAUAUUUUAACCUAAAAGAUAAUUGCAAGCACAACUUGAAAAUUAAACCAGAGUUCAUUAUAUAUAUAUAUAUAUUCUUAGAUUAGAUAUAGUUGAAGAGUUUUAGGGAUAUGGUUUAAGUUUCCAAUGAUGUUUAUAAAUUGAGAAUCUCAAGACCCUAAUUCAAGAGAGAAAUAUGAGUUUAAAAUGUGAAUAUUGGAACUAAUAUUAAGAUGAACAAGAAUGAAUGUAAUAGGGUACUAGGUAUGAUUGUAGGGCACUUUUGUUCCUAGGGAAACCACUUGCUUUGGGCACUCACCCCUAACACAUUUGACUUUGCCCUAACUUCCUUUUCUUUUUUCCCUUACUUUUCAAGUAAAUUAAAACCCUAUGAAAAAUGGUCAAUGGUCUAUAGGACAUCUCCCUAAAUUCGAAAGUUUUUUUUUCUUUUUGGAGAAGUUCAACUUUUUGAAGUCCUAAAACAAAAGGACUUUCAAAAGGAAAGAUCUAUCAAAAUGCACAAAAAGCGAAAAGGUGGAAAAAGUUUUGAUUGAUUUAUAUUGAAAUUAUAGUGCAAUGAUGUCUACCUUUUUGUGUUAAAUUACAAAAAGAAAAGAGAACAAAGUUUACUUUUAUGUUUAUAAAUAUGUUAUUCAUAAAAGUAAUGCAGUGAAGAUCAACAUCUGAUCAAAUACAAUUAUAAAAUAGUAAUAAUAACAAUUUUGAAAAAUAUUAUUCAUAUCAUUCAUCAAGAUGGAUUCUUUUCAUACAGAAAUGUUUCGGGACAUAAAAUAUGUGAUAUUCAAUACAAUAUUAAAUCGGUUUUAAUUUUAUAUUUGUAUUUAUUAUGGCUAAGGCAACAAAAAUAAUAACCAAAGUGAAAAUAAUUCAAAACUGAUGUUUAUCAAAUAUGCUAAUGAUAUUAUUACAUAUAUAUGUUAAAAAACUUUUAUUUCAAAUGAUUUACUCUAUGUACUUUAUAACUUGUAUUGAAUAUAAGCUCAAUCGUGCAAUCCAUGAUUAAUAUUUAAUGAAAUUGGAGGUAAAACUUGUUUAUAAACGAUAAAGAUCUACUAAAUUAUUACAUAAUAAAAUUUGACACGAGAUGGGACCAAGUUGUCAUAAGUUUGAAAUAUAGAAUACAUGUGGCUAAAUUGUUAUUUCUGUACAAACAUAUAAAUUUCUUCAUUUUGUAUGUAUAAGUAGAAUAGUGGCAUUGUCUAAUAUAGCUUUAAAAGACCCAAAUAGGUUUCCAAAAUAAACUAUAUAUAAGAAUGUAUGAUAAAUUUAUAUAAUAUAUAUAAAUUUCCCAUCGAAAAAUUAUUUACAUAAAUCAGCUAUAUAGCAUCAAGGGGAUGAAAUACACAAAAGUUGGUAAAGCAUAUAUACAAGACUUGAACUCCAUGUCAACGGCUGGGGCAAGGCUUCUGAAGUUCCCAUUUGGAUAUCUUGACCAGGAGGAUCGAUUUGGCUCGGGCGCAAGGUAUCGGGUGCUGUUUCAGACUGCAGUGGGACCUUGAGUUGCCGUUGAAGACCAAGUGGAGGAUCUGCUUGCAUUGGAGGCAUGGUCUGUUGUCAAUGAUCCAUCUGUGGUUUGAUGAGUUGAUUGAUCGAGCCAUGGUCUCGUUCGUCGAAGAAUUUUUUCAAGAAUGGAACUAAGAGCCAUUGUAACUCCAAAGCCCGAAAAUGUGGCAAGAAGAACAGCUACAAUAGCCUGCAUGUGAAGCUGUAGAUCCAAACAAACGUGAUUUACUUGAUUGCUUAAAUAGUGUAUCUCUUCUUCACAUUGCUUCAACAUUGCUACAGUUUUGGACGUAAAUUCUUACCUUUGAGUAGAAAACAUGAGAAAAGGCGAUCACCAAAGAUAACUGGACUGCUGCAUAAAUCCAUAUAUACUCCUUCAAUACUGACAACAAAAUUGAAUAGUAUUAAUGAGGAUUGAUUAUCAGAGAAAAAGCAUCAGAAAGUACUUUCCGUAUAACAUAUUGAAUAAACAAGUUGAGUCUUACCCAUUGUUGCUGCAGUCAUGGAUGCAAGAAGACCAAAUAUGCAAGAAAAUGGAAGAGAAAUAGCUAGAGCACUCGAUCCCAUUUUACCAGCCUGCAUAGGUACUGGUAUUAGCAAUCCGAGCACCCUCGAAAAGAGAAAGACGACCAUUCAUUAAUCCCCACCCAUCUAUUCAUGUUACAUUUUUAACGUCAUCGUCGAUAAAAAAAAAUUAACAUAACUAGGUAGAUAACUAAGAAGAAGACUAGAAUACCAGAAGUUGCUCUAGGAAGCCAAAGUAAGCUAGCAUGUUGACGAUAACGAGAAAAGGAACAUCCUGCCAAACCCUGUAGAAUUUUCACAUAAAAGUUCAGUUUUCAACAUAAACACGGAAACAGAAUUCGUCUUUCUGCGAUCAGGCAAAUAGCAAAAUCAGGUAUAUUUGUAUGUAUAAUGUUAAAGAGAACGGAUACCCUUUUUCUGGAUGCCUUCACAUUCCAGUGGAGAAAUGGUUUACUUGCCUGUAUCUAGUAAUGGCAACCGGAUUGGCUUCACUUCCUUGGAAGUUGUAGAUUUGAACGGCAUGCACAGGUAACAGCUCAAUCGAAAGAUUCUGAACCUCUUGCCUGCACACAUCACAUAUUCUGUUACCUUUAGUGCUAAACCAUUUGGUAGCGCAUUCUUGGUGAGCCAGAGCAAGUUCACCCUUGCAGUUACAUUCCAUCUUGAAAGUCUCCGGACUGUUCCCGAACUCAAUCAAGCAUAUUCGACAAACAGCCUCUUCUGAAAUAUGCUCACCAGUGUCUAUAUUUUCAUCUGAAUCAUGAAAAUAAAGCAUGUAUUGAUAAAUUAAGUUCAAAGAAAACAGAGGAAUAUCUAAUUUCUAAACAUGCUUCCCCCCAAUUAAAAUUCCCAACUGAACAGAGUUAUUGGAACAAUUACACAGUAACCAAGAGUGAAGAAAACAUGAUUUCCAUGGCACUUAAAGAAUGGAGAAUGAAUCUUGUUGAUGCGAAAAAACCAAACACAAACCAUCUAAGAAAUUUACCAUUAUGAUAUGUUGGUGAUUUAAAUGGGGUCAAAUGAAUCUCUUUGCCAAUUUGUGGAGAGAUUGGAAUCAGACGAACAAUAUUACCACGUAACAAUACACUUCCAUCUUUUCUGAUCAAAGGUACUGAAUGGGAUCGAUGCAUUGACCUUUGAGCCAAUUCUCUCUGUAAUGUGAGGAAUUCUGUAAGAACCAAAUAGAAAAACAGUUGGAAGAAAAAAAAAAACGUUGAGCAAAAGGAGGUAAACCAUCAAAUUGCAAUGAUCUUAAGAGAGUAGCUUCAGAAUGCAUUGCAAAUAAAAGGUUACAUUGAUGUCAACUCAACCAGAAAAACUAAGUCCUGUCCGGAAAAUGUCAAUGGUAACGAUCGGAAGACAAAAAGAAUACAAAACUUUAAUUCAAAACAUGAAACCCUGCCUUCACUAUCUUCUGACACAUGAGAGCUUUUCUCUAAAGUCGCUGCAAAGUGUAAGCAUUAAGGCAGAAACAAAUGGACAAGCAAAGAAUAAAGACCAAAAAAAGGACCACACAGAUUUACGUGGUUCAGUAACAGUGUGUAGCUAUGUACAUCAGAAGAGGGAGAGACCAGAUUUAUUAUUAGAGGUCAAAAUACAGAUACAGAAGUGUCAACGCGAAUACAUGGUUUAUAAAUGAUAGCCCUAUAUACCCUGAGCCAAGAAAGACUUUGUGCUUGGUCAUUCGUAGGACUAGAUAAUAGAUUAUUCAAAACAUCCCAUCAAUAAGAUUGAAUGCGGGUGAAAAUAGUGCUAUAAAAGAUAACCAUAUCUAUAAUACACGAUGUUGCCGCAGUAUCCAGUAGUCAAUAAACAGUACUAAAUCUUAAAAGUGAUGGCGUACAUACAAUUGGGAUGGGAGGUUCACUUAUGGCCCCUUCAUAUGAGGAUCCUGGAUCUGCUGCUCUUUUCAAUUUUGGGUUGAAAAUUUUUGUAAGCGAUGAUGACCUCGAUAUUCUCGGUCUCUGCGAUGCAACUACAUGAGAAACUUCGCAGGGUAUGGUUGGAGACAUUUCAACAUCUGGCCUUAAAUUUGCAUGUUGGGAAUUCAUGUUUGUUCCUUCUGCAUUUGAUUUGCUUUCAGACGGUGAAGUGCCUGGGGACACUGCAGCAAUAGAAAAAGUUGGGGAAGAUAGAGGGGAGAAAGCCAGUCUUUUUGAAGAACGGGUUGGAAUCUGGGGAAAUUUUGAUAUCUCAGAAUAUUCCUCAGAGUUCAUAUCUGCAAGUGGCGGAGCUUCCAUAGGAUGAUUAUCAAAUUUCUGGUGCAAAUUAGGGCACUUGUCUUCAGUUGAAUCUCCUCCAGCCUUCAGUUUGAAGCAGAAAAUCAGAAUGAAACUAUUUUGACUUUGAGAAAUAUACACAUAACUCAGAAUUUUAUGAGCCUGAACUCAAAGAAGAAUCAAAGUAACUAAUUCUCUCAUUCAAAAAGAGCACAAGAUAACCAGGCACCAUCAAUUUCAUUGGUUUGAUUCAACUUUUUAAGUAUGAACCUACAAUCACCGAUUGCUGUUUCCAUGAAUUUCUUUACGAUAACUCUAAACAAAAUUCCAAAACUUACCAAAUGUAACUAAAACUAACUGUAAUCAGCAUUCAAUCCUACCAAACACUCAACAAAAGUGAACUCCUAAGAAAACCCGGAUAAAUUUUGUAAAUACCUUGAGAUUUGGUCCACCAAACCUGUUCUUCAAAGGGUCUCCACCAUCAUCUUCAGCUAGAUUUUGCUUCCCAGUAGCCAUUUUGCAUUGAAGAACUUACCUCACGCCAAUGGCAGCAACUAGACCAGGAUUGCUGAAAACAAAAAAGUGAUGGGGUUUCAAGUUUUCUUUGAAACCCUUCAAUCUGAUAAAACAAUAACCCGAAAACAUGGAAAAGACAGAGAGAAAGAGAAUCAAAAUAGGGGUUUUGGUCUAUUCCAUUGACAUUCAUAUGAAUGUUUGCGAAAGCUGGUUUUUUGAGCUAUUACAGGUAUUUGAUAUGGUUACAUUAUCCAUUUUCCAUUCUUGACGCGGAAAAUUAAGCUAAUUCAAAAAAAAAAAAAAGAGAGAAGAAAGUGACAUGACAACAAACAAAACUAAUUACUGGAUAUAAAGCUUUAAUUAACAGAAUUAUGAAAACCACUUAUCUAAUCCGUGACGUUUUCUUUAAUUAGAUAACAAUUGACUUUACAACAAAGAUGAUAAUCAAGCAGAUAAUGUGAUACUACCUAGCGAAGGGGUUAUACGCUUCUACUCUCUCCAACCUCAUCUUCUACGUUGGACUUUGACAUUUAAAAGUCAUUAUACAUUUUGAAACGAUUGAAAGUGAGGGUAAGCAUAUCAAAGGUUUUAACGAUAAGGUAAUCUUUGUGGACAAAAUAUUUUUUUAUUCAUUUCUAUUCCCUAAAAUGUCAGUAUAUUUAAUAAUCUUAUGUGUAUGUUUUAUAUAUAUAUAUAAAAAAUGUGACACUGAAGGUUGAUGACGAACAAUAUAUAUAUAUAUGGUAGAGAUAGUGUAUGUGCAAAGUAGGUGAAAUACAUACUGUCUGUAACCACAAAUAUGUGUUCACAUACCUUAGUUAUGCUACACAAAAAUACAGUGUACAACUAUAAACUACACAAAACACUAUCAUAACCAAUAUAUAUCAUCAAUUUUUAUUUUAAAUAUUAUGUAUAUAAAAGAUGAAUUUUAUUUUUCAGAAAUAGAAAUUGAUACGAACAAAAAUAAAAAAUUAUUAAACUAUGGAAGGAAGGAAACCUAACAAUAAGGAGAAAACGAUAUUAAGAAAAUAUAAUUUGUUACAUUUGAGAGUAUUUUGGUUUUAUGGUUUUUUUUAAGAUAUACCUAUAAUCAACCAAUACUAAAUAUUAGGGAGAAUUACCUAAUUAGUCCAUUUAGACCAGGAUUCGGCCCAUUUCUUCAGAUAUUAUUUGGGCUUUUAUAACUGAUAAAAGCCCAAUCCUUCCCAAAGUAUUGGGCUUUGUUGCUAAGCUCUCGUCCCAUACACUUGUUUAUCCACUUCUUUAAAAGCUUUUAUAGUAGUAAUAAUAAUUAUUAUUAUUAAUUGUACAAAGUAUUUGUAGUUUGGUUUAGGUUUUAAUUGUGCACUCAAACUAUGAAAUUUCUCACUUUAAUUCGAAUUCAAUAUUGCUGGGAGUUUAACCGUGUUUGAACCAUAAUUAAAUAACAUUUGAACUUGAGGGACCAAAAAGACACAAAUAUCAAACAUGAACCAAAAGUGCAUUUUGUUUAUUUUUUAUAGAUAAGUAAAUAUAAUUUUAAAAGAUAAACAAGAAUGUAGAUUAAAUUAAAGAUAGCACAAGAAAUAAAUCUAUUUACCAUACAUAACCAAACAAGUUUAACUAACAAAAGAGAUUUGAUAAAUUUAGCUAUAUUUUAUAAAUAGUUUAAAAAUUAUGAAAAAUGACUUUUAAAAAAUAAAACGAAGAUAUUUACUAAAACAAUUUGAAAAAGAAAAAAAAAAAGGUCACAUCACCACCCUAAAAAAUACCACCAUUGGACCUAAUAUAUUUGGUGAUGGUUUAGAUCUACCCAUUUAACUAGAACUAAAUUUAAGCAGGAUCUACCAAUAUGAAAACUAAGAUUAGAUAGUAAAAUUGAAUAAUUAAAGAUAUGAAGUAUUUAAAAUGUUGUAAGUAAAAGAAAGUAGUUUUAAAUGAAGUAAAAAGGUUGCAGUAAUUGUUAGAAAAGAAAAGGUGAUAAUAUUGAGUACAAUAAUUGAUUGUUUAAUGUGAUGAGAGCUACUUUGUACUGUGUGUCUCCCAACAAAGCUUUUGCAUCCCAAUAAUUUAGGUCCCACCCUCUUCUAAUCUCAAAAUCCAUCCGUUCAUUUAUUGACACGUGUACUAUUACUUCUACAUCUUAGAAUAUCUCCUCCUGCCACGUAAUACCCAGAGUGGCACACCAUUCCGUUAUUUCACACUAUUAAUACCACCACUCGAUUUAGAUCUACUUCCAUUCUUCUUCUUCUCCUUCUUCUUCACUCUCGAAGCCCUACGACUGAGUAUUGAUUUUCAAAUUCGAUCUCGAUCUUCAGUUUCUUUGCUCUGGGAAGUCGAUUUUUUAACAAUGUGAUGUAGUUUUCUUUCUCAAUCAUGGUUUGAUUUUCGUUCUUCAACGAUGGUGAUUUGGGACGGGAAAAUGAUUCGGAGGAUGAGGAUUCCGAUGAGGGUUUGGUUAAUUUUUCAAAAAUCUAUGGGGCUCCUCGUGGGUGGAAAUCACACAUCUUCCAGGUUUUGUACUCGCUAAUUCUUUCCUUCAAUCUGGUUUUUGAUUCUCUCUGUUAUUGUUAUUUUGAGGAAUUGUUUCCUAUUUGCUACGUCUUUCACGACGUUGAACGUUGAACGAACUCUGAGCGGGGAUUGGGAGUGGACAUUGAAGAAAUGAAUUUGAAGGCUGUGAAAUGGCAGAUCAUUCAUGGGGCAUUGGCCAGGCGUAUUGUUGUUCGAAUUUUCCUUCUCGCCUUGGCUGUUUCGGCUGUUCCUUUGUUGCAUAUUUUUAUGGGGGCUGAUUUUGGAGUGAUUCCGUCGGUGAUCUUUCGCGAUUGUGCUGUGAAGUAUGGUGAUGUGGAAGCGAAAGUUUCUCGAGGAUCGUAUAUGUUUCAAGGUCAUUUUCUGAAUUCAAUUUGGGUGCCAUUUGUAGCGAUGCACUGUGAGGAGUAUAAGAAUCUGACGACUAAUGUCGUUGCGGAGUUAAUGGAGAAGAAACUUUUGAAUCAUACUGCUAAAUCUCUGUGCGUUGGAGAGGGAUCGGGAUCUGCCGUUUUGGCACUGAGGGACAUAGGAUUCAGUGAUGUUAUCGGUGUUGGUCAACACCGAUUUUUCUCUCUAAGGAGAAAACAAUUCGUUUACGAACUGGACUUUAAGAGUGGAUACUUUGAUUUUGUUUUCUCUAGAGAUCUAGACAGGUAUUCAGUCCCUGCACUUUUGGUGCUCGAGAUCGAGCGUGUGCUUCGGCCUGGUGGAAUUGGGGCCGUUAUUGUGUCCACGAGUGAGUCAAUGCCAAAUAAUUUGAUUAGAGCUGCGACCCCAGUUUCAUCUUUGCUGAAAACUUCCACUGUGAUGCAUGUUGGCCAUGUUAACAACUUAACUCUGGUUGUAUUUAAGAAGAAAUUCGAAGAAUAUCGCCAUUUGGAGGAGCCUCGCCUAUCGUCUGAAUGUCGCUCUCUGACAAGGAACAAGCCUUUGAUUCCAAAACUGGAGCCUCUUGUGAAGGAAAGACCUGUGGGAUUUGACAAAAAGUUGUCUUAUUUACCAAAGUUUGUUGAUGUUUCCAGUGGGAAAAGGUUGAUAUACGUUAAUAUUGGAACAGGGAAACGCUUGAAUCACACAAACACAGACUGGUUUCCACCUUCCUAUCCUGUGGCACGCAGAGAUUUUAAUGUUUAUUUUGUUGAUCAUGACAUGUCUUCUCUCGCCACCCAUAUUCAUAACCCCGGAGUCACGUUUGUUUAUCAUCCCGCCCUAGCAGGAACUGAUCAGACAACAGAUAGCGACGAUGCUGCCGAUGACGAAGAUGAAGAACCUUACAUUGACGACGAGUUUGAUUUUCUGUCUUGGUUCAAGGAAACUGUGCAGCAUUCCGAUUUCGUCGUCUUGAAGAUGGAUGCAGGGAAGGAAGAACUGAAGUUUCUGUCAGAUUUAUUCGAAAGUGGGGUUAUUUGUUGGGUGGAUGAGGUGUUUCUGAGCUGCAGAGAUGGAGUUGAUGAAGAAGAUGGUGAUCUGAAGAAAAGAGAAUGUACGGAUUUGUACAAGGAUUUGAGGAACAGUGGUGUUUAUGUCCAUCAAUGGUUUCUCGAUGCUGUUCCUUCAUCCAUGAAAAUCUGAAGUUGUUUACUUUGGUUCAUGGUUGGUAAGUAAAAAUGCUGAUGAGUUGCUAUGUGGUUGAGCGCUCAAUUAGACUUAUAAUAACCAACCACUUCGUUUACUAUUUUCUGCUUUUGACUUUUUUCAAGUAUUGAAGCAAUGAACUGAAUCUGCAUGGUUUUUGUUUAGAAUAAAGAACUCUUGUAUGAGUUUGCUUUAUGAUGGUUGGUGGUGUUGUUGAUGCAUUCAAUAUUUUAAUAUGAUUAUAUGAGUUGAUGAAUUUCUUAGGUCUCCUACUUUUGAUUUAUAUUAUAUUGUUAAUCAUAGUCAUGAUGUGUUUGCACCGACAAUGGGGAGUUUUAUUAGUGCCUCUAAUGUAUGAUGUGACAUGAAUUAUACAUUAUUAAUAUUAGGUGUAUGAUAUACUUCCAAAUCCAAUAAUGAGUGACCGAUUUAAUUGGUUUGAUAGGAAAUCACAUUCUCUAUCAUUGCCGGAGAUGUCGAAUAUUAUUUCUAGUACUAUGGUUUCUUCAAUUGUUGUUGAUUAGUAGUGCGAGUUAAAGUAAUACUCCACUCAUCUUUCCAUUUAGUUGAAUAAAACAAAAGUUUAACAUGAUUAAGAGUUGAGAGUAGAAAAUUUUAAAUAGAAACCAAUCAACUCUUGACAUGGCCUUUCUCUUGAUAAUCAUCACUGCAUCAAAACAGAAAUAUUAUUACCUUUUAAUUUGUAUUUGAUAUAUGCUUUGUUCUCACGUAAGUUUGUUUUAAAUUUUGAUUUUAAAAUUCAAAGCUUUAUUUAAAAAUGAUGAAGAAUAAAGCAAAAUGAAAAAGUGGAUGUGGAAGUUUAAUUUUUGAUUAAAUUAUAAGUUUAGUAUCUGAUCUUAUAUCUACUUAAUUACUACCCUUUAAAAGAAAGUUUUUUUUAAAAAAAUACAAAAAAAAAAAAAAAUCAUCAAAAUAUUUAUAAAAUAUUAAAGAAAAAAGUUUAGUUCUAUCAAUCAUAUGACAAAUGCACUUAUAGACACUUAUAAGUCUUCGGAUUGAUUGAGAAAUUUUGCAUAUUUUAUAGACACUUAUAAGUGUUCGGAUUGAUUGAAAAUUUUUGCAUAUUUUGUAAAUAUUCACGAGUUUUCAUCGUUUGAUGUUGGAAGAAACUUCAGGAGUUGCCACCAACUGUUGCACGUUACCAAAGGAAGAAGAGAACAACACAACUUUGUUUGUUGUCUUUGUUGCCUGCUUGGAAGUAAAAUACAUCAAAGAGAGUGAUAUCAUUGCAAAGACAAAAUACAAUGAAUAGAUCUAAAGAAAGACGGCAAGAGAGGAGGAAGAAGACGAUAAGAAAAGAAGAGUCCCGAGAUCACAAAGGAAGAAAAAUAUAUUUUAAAAGGUUCGAUAAACAGUGACAUUAUUUCAUUUAUUCUUUUUGUAACGCAUCAUUAUGAGUGACAUUGAGGAAAGAACCUCAACCAUUGAAAAGGCAUAAUGAAUGUGGCGUUGAUUGUACAAGUUGACUUGCCAGUGCGGGUAGAGAUGGUAAGUACAUUAAUCAAGUCCAAUUAGCUUAGCAUAUCGUAUACAACGUCCACAAUUGUCGAGUUAACUUUGAUGUUGGAAUAGAAAUCUUAGACACUUCGAAGGUGUAAAGACGAGAAUGGACAUACUAAUAUACAUAUACCAAUACCAAUACCAAUACCAAUACCAAGAUGCUAGAAGUGAUUAAACAAAAAGAAAAAAUGGCAAAGGAUUUGAAGUCAAACAAAACGUGGCUCAGCUCAAGUAUAUAUAGUAGAGAUAAAUUCUAGAGACACUUCCGAUGAUGAGAAUACAGGCACAACUGUUUACAAUUUCCUUCUUUCUUUUUCUUCUUCCAUUGCACAAUCUCACAAUGUGCUGACAAUAAGCUUAGAGCUUUCCUUUCUUGAUUAUUUAGAACAUGUAGAAAAUUCGGGGGAAAUAAAAUCAAUUCAGAUGAUGCAAAAAAAAAAAGAAAUGCAAUAAACACAGUGCUGUACAGAGUUUGCUUCAAUGGCGGUAUAACAAUAGUACCAUUUUUAACUUUCUUCUGGCCCAUUGCUGACCCUUAUCUCUAAGAGCCUAUCCACAGGUUGUCUGCAAAUCGGGCAUCGAUUCGUCUGGAACCUCAGUACCUUAGCACAACCACUACACAUACACUGCCAACAAAAAGAGAACAAGUUAAUCAUCCUGAAGAUGUGAUUGUAGUGAGCUCAGAUGCAUCCUGGACAGAUUAAACUAUGAAAGAGAACGUUGUUGUUACCAUGUGUCGGCAGGGAAGGACAGUCGUGUCCCGUGGCUCUGACAAGCAAAUGACACAUUCCUUUCCAGGGUCAUUUCCAUCAACAUCUCCCUCAACUGAAUUGCCAAUGCCAUAUAUCUCCUGUAGUUCAUAUCUCAUACCAUUGACCCACAGGAUUUGUUUCAACACUCUUACCUGAUAUUCACCUUUAUCUUUCUCAAACACUGCUUGUGUUAUCUGAGAAUUCAUGGGAUCAGGUACCGGGGUACCAUCUGGGCCAGUUUGGGUGUCUGUGGAAGCUUCAGCUUUUACGACUAGUGGAUAGACAUCGGUGUCAUUCACUUUCAAAAACUCAGACUCUUCAAACUUUGAGAAAUCUAUUCCUGUUCCAGAAGGUUGUCUGAACUUCUGUCCAAGCCCUUGCUCGAAAUGAACGGUUAUUGGUUGAAAAAUGUCUUCUUUUACAGGGGUCAAGUUACAAUCUUCACCUUCUUUCGCAAAGAAGAAGAUGGUGAUACUGUUUCAAGAUAAGAGAGACUCAGAUUCUCAUGCUAGCAGAUCUCAAAUAAAAGAAACAAGAAAUUUAAUUGUAAAAACAUCAUGACAACCACAGGAAAAGUACCCCAUCGUGAAGGAUCAAGUAAAUAACUAAAUAGAAUAAAAUUGAACAAUUGACAGCACUAAGAUGACAGAUGCUAAAAAAAAGAAAGAAAAACAGAAAAGCGAUCUAAAGAAUGUUUUCAAAUGCUCUUAAGGCUUAUCCCCUAAGGUUUGUCUCAAGGAUCUUUGGUUCAGAGACUUGAGCUACCUCUAAUUCAUAAGAUGCUCAGACUAAUGCCUUCAUGAAAAUCGAGAAUGCAUCAAGAAUUGGAAGACUUAUGGACUAUAACAAUAGUUAAAAUAAUAACACCAGUUUAUUGUCCUAUUUAUAAGUCAACUUACAUGUGUGUCAUACUAAUACAACAUGGGCUUGGAAUACAUUUCAUUAUAUUACUUUCACUAAGACUUGAAGGAGCCCCAUGAAAAUGAAAGGUUAAGGAAAGACCAAACACUCGACCCCUUCAGAAUAGUGAUAGUGAUAGUAGGAAGGAGUAAGAACCUUUGCUUUAAAAAGUGAUGAUGAACGUAAAAUCUUUUAUGUGGCCAUGAUUCACGGUUUACAAACAUAUGAUUUCAUUUAUGAUUCUGUGUAUGAACUUCAGCCUCGCCACUGAAAACAAGACCUUAAGACUACUAAAUAAGCCUUAUAAAAAAUUGCCUCUAAUCAAACUCAUAAGCAAGCGAAAGGAAAGGACUGUCCACAUUUUCCAUCUUUUGAUUUUUGGUGAGUUGAGGAGGGAGCGGGAUGGCAAUCAAUAAGUUAAGGUUUAAUAAACGAUUGUAGGUGAAUACAACCUAUAAUAGCAGCAUAAUCAACAAAUUCCUAUAAGUCAACUUGAACAUAGCUCAGAUAAUCACAAGGCCGCAGGUUCAAAUCCCCUUCCCUGAUGCACAGAGAUUUAAAAGAAAAAACCAACAACAAACACCUACAGUCUUGAUUAAGGUGUGUUAAAAUUCAAGCCCAAAAGCUAGCAUUCACAACAAUAUACACCUGAAGUUGAGUCAGUUUAGUUCCAAGGAGUUAAACAUCUCAAUCGUCUCUAACCGUAGGGAAAAUUCUCCUUUUCACCACCUCAGAGAACUGCUGCUUCACAAUUUUAAUCAUUAAACAUCUAUGAAAAACAAGAGAACACGACUUGUUCCAAUCAUUUUUAACAAGCAUGGAAGGUUUCUUGAAAUCUACAUCAAAACACACAAGGCUAUAAUUCUUUAAGCAAAAUAAACCAUGCAAGACUUGUUCAACCACUUUGCUCCUCAGUAUCAGAAAAACAAAAAACAAAUAAAAUCAGACCGAACAAUUCUAAAAACCCAUCAAAUACCUUCAAUUAACAAUCACAGAUACAAAAAAAUAAUAAUAAUAAAUAUAAAAAAAAAAGCUCCCAAGAUUAGAACAAAACACAAACCUCCCAGCAACGGUGGCAUCGAACGUGAACGAUACAAGGAAUUGCCCCGGAUUUUCUUCAUCAGGUUCAACCUUAAGAGUUUCCUUCUUGAGAUUAACAUCAUUCCGUAUAGUAACCGCCUUCUGAUGCUCUACAUAGGGCGUUUGAGGCGGCAUAGGAGGGCCAUAAGGGUAUCUCCCACCGACCCAAUGAGCAGGAUCCAUCUGGGGAUGACCUCCACGAUGGUGAUGAUCGUAAGGCGCCGGUAGAGGCAUCGGCAUGGAUGGGGGUGGACCAGGUGGCGGUGGAAAGUAGCCAGGAUACUGGUAAUACGGCGGGGGAUGAUUGGGAUGGUUGGGGUAUUGAGUUGGGUAAGGCGUAGCGGCAGCGAAAACGUAUCGAUUACUUGUAAUUUCGGGUUGGGGUGGUGGAGGAGGUGGGGGAGUAGGGUGAUUCCGGCGAGUACCGUGUCUUCUACGGGCAUUGGAACCGGAGCUGCCAAUGUUACCCAUGGGGGUGAAUAUGUGGUAAAAGGGAAGGGGAAUCUGAGAAGAGAAAGGAAAGGGAGAAGAAGGGGAAUGAAAAGAGGAGGAAGAAGAAGAAGAAGAAGAAGAUAUAGAAGGGAAGGGUGAAAUUGGGAGGAAAUGACAGAGGAAAGGGGUAAGGAAAAUGGGAAAAGAACAGAGAAGAGAGAGAAAGGGGGAGGGGAAUGGAGGUUGGGUGGCGACUAUAAUGGGGAUUGCGUAAAGCUCCACCCAGAAAAACCAUCCAUUUCAGGAUGGGAAGGUCAUGACUCUCUUAAACUGAGCUGUUCUUUCUCUCUCUUUUCCUUUUCCUUUUCCUUUUCCUUUUUCUUUUUUUAAAUAAUCAAAUCAAAGCUAACCCAAAAUAUGCUUUUUUUAUAUUUAUAUAUUUAUCUCAAUUAACUAUUUACAUUUUAUGCUAAAUAUUUUGCAUAUUUCGUCCAUUUUUUCAAUUUUCCUUUGUUUUAUGAUUUCUUUUUUUGUAAAGGAUAAUUUGUCAAAUUAGUGAUAUUAUCUAAUUAUUAUUUAUAAUUAGAAGGUAGGAGAGUUAAUCGGUUAACUUUUAACAUCGUUAGUAUAAGUAUUAUGGUAAUUGAGUUGUGGUCGUAAAAUAAGUUAAUUUUUAUUGCAUUGGUGACAUGGUUUCCUAUAAGAGUGUAACAAAAGCUUAAAAAGAUUGAAACAACCUGAGUUGAUUUACUGAUUUGCUUCAAUUGUUUUAGUAUAGACUUAAAACAAUUUUGGUUUGUAUUUGGACCAAAACAAUCACCUAGAUAAAUGAAGGUGAGGUAAUUAUCCAUAGUGGUUUUUCAAGAAGUAAAAACAAUAACAAAAUAGUUAUCAAAUGCCGAUGAUAAAUUUAAAUUCAUAUUUAUUAUAUCGAACAAUAUACAAAUUAUUAUAAAUCAUUAUAUAUAUUUAUAAGUCCUUGUAAAUAUUUUAUUCCUUUAUUAAUUUAAGAUUUCAUGAAUGAUGAUGUAAACUAUCUUGAUUGAUUUGUACUUAUUUUUGACACCGUCUUCUAAAAUAAUCCAAAAUGAAUACAAAGACUUUAAUAUUUCAAAAAAUUAAUUUUGAUGUUAAAAAUUUUCAUUAGAUUUUUACAAUAUCUUACCCCUAAAUAUAAUAUUAAACAUAAAAGUAUUGUAAAUGUAAAUUAGGACUAACCUUGCUUUUUGACUACAAAUCUCACUUUCUCUGCCAUCUUUCUUAAAUAUUUUAUCACUAAUAUUUUAUUGUUCUUAUUUUUCAAUUCAUACUUUUACUACAUAUAUAUAUAAGGAAUUCUAGUGGAAACAAAUCGAAUUAGGUUAAAUUGAGGAGUAUUUUAAAAUCAACCCGAACUUUCGAGUUAGUAGAGUUGACAACCCAAAUGACCUUAGAAAUAUUUGCAAUCUAGUCCAACCCUAAAAUUGUAGAUUGAGUUUGGUUAUCAAGUUGUAUAAUUUUUUUUCAUUUCUAAUAUUUGUUAAAUUAAAAAAACAUGAUAACAUCACGUCCAUAAAUCUACAUAUCAAAAAAACAUCCCUAGAAUACAAUAUUAAUCCAAUAAUACUUAACGAAAAGUUUGAGAACGUCUAGUAUUACUUAAAGAAGAGUCAAAUAUGAACCAAAUUUCUAAUCUAUUUUUAAAAAAAACAUUCUAAACAUCAUAGUGUAAAACUUAAUAUAAAUGUAUAUAAUAUCAUUAAUUCAUAUUAGAUCUGGGAUAAACUAAAAUUUUCAAACCUCAAUCCUAGACUCAACCCGACCCUAAAAAACUUUCAACUUAAUCAAAAUUUUAAAAUAACUCAAUUAAACUUUUAUAAUAUGAAUAGAAAAGUGUAGGUUAUUCAAGUUAUUGUAAGGGUAAAUUUAAAAUGAAAAUGAUAGUAUGAUAUGGAUUAGAAUGAUAGAGAAUUUAAAAAGAAAAAAAAAAGGGAAAGUGGGAAGAAAAAAAGAGUGGUAAUAAGAAAAAGGAAAUUAUGCGUUUUUCCACUAAUGAAAUUAUGUCUGUUCAAAAUAAAGAAACAAAUUUGUUAUACCCUACCAACCCAUACCCAUUUUUCUUUUUUAAAUAAACAAAAUUAUUGUCUUUAUGCACCACACUAACCCCAUUAUAUAUAUAUAUAUAUAUAUAUAUAUGAAGGAUAGUUUGCUUCUACUAUAUUCAUAUAUCAAUCAUUCUCUCCUUUCUCUAUUUAAUAAAUAAAAAAGAAAUAACUCUUUUUCCUCUUUAAUCCCACCAAACAAAUUUUUAUAUUUUCUUUUUAAUACCACGAAUCUACACAUGUGAAAAAAAUUUAAUAGAAUGUGUAAAUAAAUUGGACCCAUUCAGUAUUUGUAAAUAGAAAUAUAAUGUGUUUUUAAUUAAUCUCACAUAGUACAAAUUGAAUAUAUAUGUAAGUAUUUGGUACUUACACUUAGUUUUAAUCGUAAGAAAUAUAUAUAUACAUCAUACUGAUUUUUAAAAUUUUAUUUUAAUGGCGAUAAAAAAAUUACUAAAUAUAAUUUAAUUUUUUAAAAGUAAUUAGUAGAUAUCUAUAUUAAGAAUUGAUUAAUAUGGACAUAACACAAAAUUGACACAAAAACUUUGUUGAAGUUGGAGUAAAAAAGGAGGUCAAAAUUAGAAAAAUGUUAAAAUAAUACGAGUUUAGAUUAAGAAAAUACCCCUACACUAAACACUAAAACACAAUAAAAGUAAUUAAUCUUCCGACUCCUAAUUUUAAAUCUAAUAUAUUCUAAGCAUGUUUGAAACAGAACUAAUUAAUAAUUUGUGUUAAAUUAAAAAUACUAAAUAAACAGAAACUUAAAAAUCCUAUGGACUAAUUUUUUAAUAGAACAAUAGGAUAACAGAACGAGACCAUGACUCAUGAAAAUUUGAAAUAUUUUAAGAGUAAAUUUUGAAGUCACGAUGAAUAAUUAAUAAGUAAUUUUUUAUAUAAAAAAAAAGUUUAAAUUUAGUGAUAGUAUAUAUAUUAGAUUAGAUUAUAAAAAAAUGGGAAUGGAAUGAUGGAAACGUGUAGGGAAUGUGGAGUAGGGUAACUGUGCUUUAUUCGGCGAAUAAAUAUGAUUUCACGCAACACCGAUUAGCUUCUCCAUUUUGGACGGAUCCAUUUUUCAUUUUAAAUUCACUUUUAUAUUCAUACUUAUCUCUUCAUAUAUAUAUACACACACACACAUUAUUUAUUUUAUGAGUCUUUGGUCCAAAGAAUGUAACCUUAAACAUAUAGUCGGAAUAAAAACAGUUCAAGAACAAAAUGAAGAGAAGUCAACAAAAGAAGAAACUAAUAUAUACAUGCAUAUUGGUUUUGAGCUUGGUCUCCUAGACUUUUACUGAUUGCACCAAAUUUCAAUUUGAACUUUACGAAAUUCCUACUCAUUUUUAUAGUUAACCCAUGUUUGAAUUCCUAUGUUCACAAUUUUUUAAAACAAAUAAAAUGACCAUCAUUGUUUUCAAAAAUGGUCUACUUCAUGAGUUUUUCAAAAUUGUUUCUAAAACGAGAAUACCAAACACAUUUUAAUUAUUUUUUUCUUUUUUUUCUUUAUGAAAAUCAAGAACCAAACGGUGUCUAAUAUUUAGUUAGUUUUCAGAAUUUAAAUUGAUUUUGAAAACAUUCAUAACACAAACAAAGAAAUUUAUAGGUAAGAAGGGGCGUUUAUAACUUAAAAUUUAAAAGACUUAGAGAAAAAAAAAAUCAAAGGGUUAUGAAAAAAUUAAAACCAACAACAUACAAAUAAAGGUAUGCUGUAUACUUUAUUUAAUUUCAAUUUGACCUCUCCACCUCGAUAAUUCAAUUCAAUCUUCCCCCAAUUUUACAAUGAAAAUUGGUAAUGUCAAAUUUUCAUUUUUGCAAAACUAAAAAGCAGAUGGAAAUUUUUUGAAACUUUCAACACAUGGAAGACAAAAUUGAAACAAAUUGAAUGAAGGGUGUGUAAUUAAUUUAGUCUAAAAUUACCAUAAACUUCAACUAAAAUCUGAGUCCAAAUGAGGUUGGACCCAACAGUUCUCCUCCAAUCUAUUCAUCUUCUGAUAUUUAUUCCUGGAUGCCUAAAAUAAUCACCAAGCAAAUCAAUCAAGACAACAACAUAAAUUGAGCAUUUCAUAAACAUUGAAUAUAAAAAAGCCAAGCUCAAUAGACAAGCCGACAAGAUAUUAAUUAACAUUUCAAAGAUGGAUUUGUUCAAUCCCCCACCCUAUAAUUAUUAGAGUUGAAAAGGAAAUUAAUUAAUUAGCACUAAACAUUGAAUGGAAUCAUAUAUUAUUCAAAAGAGUGCAAAUCUGCAAAAUACUGACUGAUCCAUACAAAGGAAAGGAUUCAUCUCCAUAAUACACAUGCAGUUUAAGCCGUUUCCAGGCACCACAAAAAGAAUAACAUAAUUUAGAGGUUCUUACGGCAAACCUUUAUGAUCAAGAAGCUCAAUUUUUCACGGAUGUCACAUGCUUCAGGAGCAUGUUCACAACAUCUGGUGAAAUUCUAGCAGACUCUUCUUUCAGGUGAUAAAUCUUUUCAUCUGUCUCGAUUUCAAGCCGCUUAACAUUAGCUCCUGAGUCUCCGCUACUCUAUAUGAUCAAGGAGGGGGCAGAGUUAGCAGAUAUAUUCCAAAAUCUCUGGAUGAUUUUUCCAUAAAAAGGACAAAGUGUGCAUGUUUGUAAUAGUUCCUAUACUAACCUCAGCAAGUUUUCUUUGGAAAUCAGACUCGACUUGGGCACGAUAUGCAGCAAUUUCCUUUUCAGCCUCUUCUUUGGCUUGUUUCAGUCUAGCCAAUUUUGCUAAAAGGAAAGGAAAAUCAAGUCGUUGAGUUAUAAAUUAUGUUUAACUUUACAGAUUCGUAAUGUAAUGAGGAACAGGUAGAUCAAUAGAAGGAAAAUAGGAUUUGAUAAUGAUCCAUCUUGAUAUUUCAUAAAGUCAGUGUCAAGCAAAUUAUGAACUGAACUCUGGAACUACAUGCCAUUCGAGGAAAUCAACAUAUUUGGACCAAAUUAAGACUUUACAUGCCUGUGAAUGUUAAAAAAAUAACAAAACCAAAAAUAAAGGGUAAGCUUACCAUUUCUGGCAGCAUUGACAAUGUGUUGAGCUUCUUGCUCCGCAGCAAGCAAUUGUUGGAUACCACCUUGACUCCUAGUUGCCAUAUUCUCCCCUACAAAAGAAAAUGAUUUUUGUGAAGAAAUUAAGUAAAAGAAGGUAGUGGAAACUCAGCAAAAUGACAUCCUGAUCAGAAACUGCGAUGCUAAAUGUGAUUAAUUUAUCUCUGAUGUGAUCAUGAAUCAUGAUUUGUUAAAUCAAGCCAAUUUCUUAACCAAAGUGUUAGUAGCAGCAAUCGUAAUGGAGCGUGUUUUUUUUAGUACAACAGAUUGAGGGGCGAUGGGAGAUUGAGCCUCCCACCACUAAGAUGCAAAGUCAUGACAAUUACCGUCAACUAUGCUCACUUCAACAUCAUGUCAUGUUUUAAUAUUCAAGGCUUCGAUACCUAUGGCUAAGAUUCCAACUUCCAUAAAACCCACGAGGCUUGUACCUUAGGCUAAUGGAGCCUUACUCAACUUAGAAAUGAAAACAAUUCAUAAAUCUUAACGCUUUAAGUGGGUGGUACUUCAAAAGGUAGUUGGCUCAAGAGUCUUUCCAAACAUCGUUAAGACUAUUUUAGUUUCGUCUCAUUUUAAUUUAGUGAAACCUAAAACUAGUCUAUAAAAUUUAAAUUAUAGUUUAUCACCUAAUCAACACACUAAUUUUAGUCCGACCUCUUAUUCCUUAAUCAUGGUCAUAUCAUUAACCAUAACAACCGAAGAUAAAAGCACAUGAAAAUGAUUGAAUUUUUCCUCACCUUAGGUUUCAAAACCAAGUCAACUUAGAAAUUUGAUGCACCGGAAUACAAAACAACCUCUAUCCAUAAACUCAACCCAAACCUAGUUCACCAAAAGAUUACUCUACAACAAAUCUUUUAAAAUCGUAAAUAGAUUGUGUACAUCAGAAGUAAGACUGAACUUAAAAACUUCAGAAAAAUCAAAUAAAUCUCAAGUUUGAAAUUCCCAAAUCCAACACUUAAUUACACUAUCCAGAUGCAGCUUCCUUGACCUGGCGGAAGCGGAUGCAGAUCGAAUAAGUGUCGAUUCGUCAAACUGCAAAUCUAAUAAAACAAAGAGAUCACCCUAAAAGAAACUUCUGAUAUCAAUCAAUCCAAAGAGAACAGGAAACACAAAACAAAAGGAUGCGGAAACACAGAUCUCAUCAGUGACCAGGCGUACACCAAUAUCGGAGAAACAAAACAGAGAGAAAGAAAUCGGCAAUCAAAGAAGUAGAAGAAUCAAUCACACGGAAGAGAAAAGCAAAGCGAUGAAGAAGAUGAAACGAGCAUAGAUUCAGAUUCCAACAGAGGAGAUCAUGACAAGGAUUAGUUAGGGGGAGAGUGAGGAAAUAGAAGUUAGAGAGAUGGUUACCUGAAGAUCGGAGAAUUUGCGGGUGCGAAGAAAUUGGAAGAUUCAGAGGAAAUCGGGAUCGGAGUGAUGAAGAAAAAAAGAGGGAGGAAGAGGAGUUAUGUGGUGAGGUGGAUUUUUGGUUUUAUCUUUUUUUAAGGGAGCAAAAACGACGUGGUCGCGAGGAACACGAUUCUUCUUUUGUUGUAGUGGGAAUUUACUGUUUUCCCAAUAAAGUUUUUAAUCCCAUCAGGAAUAUCUUAAAUUAUAAAUUUAUUUCUUAUAACUUUUAAUUAAACUGAAUUUUCAAAUAUUAAUUUCAUACAAAGUCCUCACAAACUUUUUAAGGUUGAUUGUAUUAUUGAAUUUGUACUUUCAAUGGUAUAGUUAAAUAAUUAUAAAAAAAACUCUAGAGUUAUUUUGGACCAUUAAAUCUUACUAUUUGUUCUACAUGAAUGACAGAAUUUUAGAUAUUAUCAUUGAAUUUGUUUGAUAACCAAGUAUCUUUAAACUAUAUAUAUAUAUAAGUGAUGGUUCCCAAAAUUUAUAAUAAGAGAGUUACCAAACAAAAGAGAAAUUGUUUUGAGGAGAAAGUUAUUUACAUUUCUCAAUAAGAAAAAGAAAUUUGUAACUCCAAUUUGUGAAUUAUUAUAUCAUUACCCUGAUUUGUUUAGGGAUUUCUACUUACUCACAAUGUGAAUUACAUAACAUCUAUAUUGAAUACAAAGAAAGCCGUGAAAUAUCAAACAACAGAUACAAAUGGUUAAGUUGGUGAGAAACCAUGUCUUUGAAAACUAAAAUUAUUCAUCCAUUGGUACAACAAUUUAUCUAGCAAUUCACUACCCAAAAUUACAAAAUCAUAUGUUUAUACAAAGAAUUCACUUACAAUUCUUUGAACACUUCUGUUCUACCUUUCUACUUGGGGAGGGAAAAAGAUUAUAUAAUUUAUAAAAGAAAAAAAAAAUACUCUUCUUACAAUUUGUAUUCUUCUCUACUACUCAAAAAAGAGAUAAUAGCGUGAUUUAAAAAAAUGUAAGUUAUGUCUAUGAUUUUAGAAGCGAGUUGGCGGUGAGCUUCUAAAAGAUCCGAUUGCUUUCACGGCGGAGGCUCGAAGAACAUAUUGAUAAUACAUUGCAGCAAUUGUUGAUCCAAUUAGUGGCCCAACCCAAAAAAUCCACUGCAAUAUUAUCAAACACAACCUAUUUUUAAGUUCAUAUAUAUUCAUAAUCAACCAUCCUAAUAUACGCUAAAAAACAAUCUUCCAUCCUAAACUUUCAUGAAAAAUAACAAUCUAGUUCAUAAAUGUUAACCGAUAACAAUUUAGUUCAUAUAUCAAAGGGAAGAAAGAAGAAAGAGAGUGUGGAUACAUACAUGAUCUUUCCAAACUUUAUGAUUGUUGAUGAUGACGGCAGGACCGAAGCUUCGAGCAGGGUUAAUGCCAGUGCCGGUGACGGGAAUGGUGGCGAGGUGAACAAUGAAGACAGCAAAGCCAAUGGGGAGUGGAGCCAAGACAGGAACAUGGGAAUCUCUAGCAUUGCGUUUGGGAUCAGUGGCGGAGAAGACAGUAUACAGAAGAAUAAAGGUGCCCAUAAUCUCAACAGCAAGGCCAGUGCCUCGGCUAUAACCAUCAACGAGCUGGUUAGCGCCACCGCCAUAGUGGUUGUAAUGAUCUCGCUGCAAUGUCUUGACUAAGGCGCACCCGCACAGGGCCCCUAUGCACUGAGCUAUGAUGUAGAGCAAGGCUCGGACCAACGAUAUCUUUCUUGUUAAAAACAUUCCGAAUGUCACUGCUGGAUUUAUGUGCCCUCCUGCCAUUUUUUACCCAUCCAUCAACCAAUUUCAUCCUUCUAAAUAAAUUCUACACUAAAUUACCCAUUCCUUUUACUUCAAAUGUAAUUUUGUAUUUGUUGAUGAAAGAUCAAACUAAUACAUAUAACUUUAAACGUUACAACAAUGAAAGAUCAAAGACCUAUAAAAUAUUUUUAAUGAAGUUUACAAAAAAUAUAUAAAGUUCGAAUACCUUUUGAACACAGAAUUGAAAAAUGUUUAGUUUGAGCUUCAACAAAUUCCAUAAAUUUUAGCUCUAAACUUGAAAAAUAAGUUGUGGUGACUAAUAAUUAGUUUGCUUAAUUAUUUUAAAUCUUAAUAAUUUCCAAUGUAAUCAUAUUAAAUGGUGUAAUUUUCAGAUGAAGAACUUUACCAGAGAUACCGGCGGUGCAGUAGACGAGGACGAAGAUCAUACCCCCGAAGACCCACGAGAUUCCGACGGGACCAACUCCGGCGCAUACAUUCCCGCCGUUGAUCGGGUCCAUCUGGCUAUUGUUUCCGAUCACCGUCAAAACGACGACGUACAGAAACAACAGAGUCGCCACAAACUCAGCGAUGAUAGCUCUGUAAAACGACCAUUUCCCGAGCUCCUCCAUGUCGAUCAUCGGCGCCGGCAGCGGAUCAAAAUAGUCUUUCCUCGACGCCGCCCCCCGACCUCCGAUUUCGAUGUCGCUGGUCGCCAUUGCUGCAGGAUCUCAGUGAAUGUGAAUGUGAAGUGAGUGAAAUUUUUGUAAGGGGUUGGAUUGUGAGUUUGGGAAUGGGGAAAUUUGGAGAUGGAUAUUUGAAUGAUAGAUGAGAUAUAAGUGAUUUUGUUGACAUCCAAACACUUCUUUGGUUUCGUCUGUGUUAAUCCGCAUCUCUCUAUGAAGGAAUUUGUGGUUCGUUCGUUUGAAUUGAAAUUUGAAAAUUUCCGCCACAAGAUGAUUUCUCUCCAAAUUUAGUCUUAGGAUUAGAAUGAGAGCGAUUACCAGAGAACCAUUUGUCCAUCCCCUUUCUCUCAAUUAUUAUUACAUUACUCCUAUUUUAUUUAUUUUUUAUUUAAUACAUAUUAAAUUUAAGAUUUAUUAAAAAUUUAGACACUAAAGUUAAAAUAAGAAUUAAAGUUUGAGUAAAUUUAUAGUAUAGGAACUAUUCAAUUUGUUUUAAAAAAUAUACUUCACAACCAAACCAAACUUUUUUUAAAAAAUUGAACAUAAAUUGUUACUUUAAAUCAUAUUAUACGAUCCGGACCAAAAAUUAUAUGGUAACUUUUAGGAAUAUUUAAAAGAAAAAAAUUGUUACAGCUUAACAUUUUUCAAAGUUAUGAUUAAGUGUUAUAUUUAUUUGUUAUUGAAAACAACUUUUCCUAAAGAAAUUAUUUCUUAUACUCUCUAAAAUCAUUUGCUUUGUUACCCACCAUUCAUAAAAAAAGAGUGUAUUGUAUUAUAUUGAAAUCCAAAUAAAAAACAAUAAACAAUGUAAAUUAGCAAGAGAAAAUUCAUAAAUAAAACACUAAAUUGCUUGCUUCCCAUCUCAUCAUAUGUUAUUGCACCCUUUCAUACCAUUUUGAACUAAGUAAACUUACUUAAUUUUAUCAUAUUUUAAAUUACUAAAUCAAAUACCAUAUGCAAAAAGACCAUAUUAUUUCCCAAAUAAACUCUACACUCUACCUUAUUGAUCUUAAUAUGUUGAAAUUUAACUUCUUGUUUCUUUUGUUUGAUUAACUUUUGAAAAUUGUUAAUACAAUGAGUUGAUUUCUUUUAUUUGAUCGACCUUUUAAAAUUUGUUAAUAACAUUGUAUGUUGACUUAUUCAUUUUGUACGUUGAAUUGAUCAUUGGCUUUUGAAUUGAUCAUUGGCUUUUUGAUUGACCUUUUAAAAUUUGUUAAUAACAUUGUAUGUUAACUUAUUCAUUUUGUACGUUGAAUUAAUCAUUGACUUUAUCGAUCUUUCAUCAAGCUAUUGCUGUUUAGUAUUAGUGUUAAUAACUUUAGGGUUUAUUAGUAUUAAUUUUAAUAACUUUAGGGUUUAGGGUUUAUACAAUGUAUAGUUAUCCAUAAUUUAGCUGGAUUGGAUCUAGCUAAUGACCAAAAAUAUAAAUAAAAUUAAAGUAUAGUAUGUUAAGUAAUGAGUAGUAAUCAACCGACACAAUUUUAAAAGACAAAUUAAAAUCAUGCAUAACACGUGCACUGCACGCUGCACCACAAUAAAAUAAUUUUUUAAAAAAUGGGAUUAAGGCAAAUAAAAAAUAGAUGGUUGAGUGGAGUGGGCCGCACGGCCCAAUGGAUAUUGAGAAGCCACGUCACCGCUUAACCACACACCAAUUAUUCAUACCCUUACACGUAAACCAUACUCGCCCACUCAAUCAUUACGGUGACACGUAGUGCCGGCACUCGCUACGUUUCGCAAGCCAUAAUGCUAAUUCUUUUCACACUUCUAAUUACAAAAUUUGGUAACUAAAUUAAUUUAUAAUCUGUUGCCUAUUGCGAUAAAUAUUUAUUGAGGAAUUGAAUUCAUUAGCACAAAAUUUUGGAACGUAUAUAUACCUAUUGAACAGAAGAAUUAAUUAGUACGCAAUCACUUUAAGACGAAGAAGAAGAAGAAGAAGAAGAAAUCCCAUUAUCGUAGUUUGAAGGAUAUGGAGAUUGAAUUUGAAUGUUUAGGGAGUUAAAACGAUAGACGACACAUGAGUGGAAGUGUUGAAGUUUAAACAUUUGUGUAAAUAAGAAGGAAUAUUUCGUCAUCGCUGAAACUGGUAAUACAAAUCAACUGCGACGCAAUAUAACAUGUAUACAAUGUAAAUUCAAGUAAGGAAGAAAAAGGGAAAAUCAAAAUUGAAAGCCGUAAACAAUUACAAUGGAGACUCCAUAUUCCGGCAUUCAAUAUAGUCGGAGAUCCAAAAGAAGAAUUGGAGACAUAUAAAUAUAAUGAGAUAGAAGAGAGCAGAAAAAUUGCUAAUCAGAAUUGUUAUCUUCGGAAUCGUGUUCAGGAAUAGUAUCCAAGGAAGGAGAAUUGGAGGAUUUGGAAGGAGAAAUAAGAGGGGGAGGAGCGACCUCGAUCCAGGAGGUAAAAUUAGAGAGGGCCGGCUUUGCCAUGGAAGAGAGGGAUGUGGGUUUAGUAAUAGUGGAAAUGAGAGGAAGAAUGUUUGAGGAGAAAGAGGGAGUGAAGGUGGAUAUUUAUAGAGAGAGGAAUAGGAAAGAGCGGAGGAAGAAGAGGGUAAUGACUCCAAACACGCACACGAGAGAAAGAGAAUUCUUGUAUUUUAUUCUUUUAAUUUUGGGAGGGAAACGCGGAGAAAUUGUUUAGGAGCAUGUGAAAAAAAUCAAACAAAUAACUUGAAUAAUUGAGAGCCACCUAACACCUUCCUUCCUCGAACCUACCUUCACUCUUUGGAUUUUAUGUCACCUUCAUCACCCUUUUUCUUUUCCUAUUUUCUUUUAGAGUUAUUUGGGUUAAUGAGAUUGGGAUAUGGAACAAAAUGUUCAACAACUUCACGUGACACUCAUGGUGAAGACAUCCCACACACAUUUGGACGCUUGGGUGAGAGAAUGAAAGAACGUGAUAGUGACUCAGUUUUCUUCCACUUUUGGCUUAAUUUUCCCACGUUCGUAUUUGAUAACAUUUACAAGGAGAUACCUCUUGAUUUACACUUUAAAGAAAUAUAAUAAUACCAUUAACUUCUUAUUUUGCAGGUUUCAAUUUAAAAGGCAUCAUAAUUAUCCUAAAG
rnacentral:lncRNA from 1 species